UUGCACUUAUGCGGGAGAUGCAGCUCAACUUUCAUCCAUUACACCUCCUUCAUCCACAAAUUGGCGAUUGGGAAAAUUGUUUUGCCUGUAGAUUUAAAAUCAUUGAAAGUAUCGAUUAUAGUUGUCGACAGUGUGAUUUUCACCUUCAUCUUCAUUGUGCUAAUUCCCUGAAGCUGGCCUUAAAAAUUAAGUCUCACGUGCAUAAUCUCUAUUAUUUUGGACCAGAUUAUGAGAAAUCCUACCAAUUAUGUAACAAAUGCAAAAGUUACAUUGGUAAGGAACCUUUCUAUUAUUGCGUGGAGUGCAAUAUGAAUUUGCACUUAAAAUGUGUUCCCAUACCAUGUUCAGUUAAAUCCAAAUGUCACAUGCAUCGUUUGACUCUUAAAGAUCAUUUUGUGGAAGAUGAUUCUGGAGAAUACUAUUGUGACAUUUGCGAAGAAGAAAGGAACUCAAAAAAUCAUUGCUAUUAUUGUGAAGAGUGUGCUGGACAAUUUGUUGCUCAUAUCGAGUGCGCGCUUCUUACAGUAAGUUUAUCACUAUCAUUUUCUCUGUAGAAGUUUUUUAUACCAUAUUUUGAAUUUUUAAAGGAAAAUAAAAAUCUAAGUUACACAUCACAUGAUCGUAUCCACCACUUCUUUGAUUGAUUGGACUUUAUUAAUGGUUAAAGUAACUCAUAAGUUCAUAUAUUAUAGAUUUUUCAUUAAUUUAAACUUUUUACCCAAAAGUGGUUAAUUUAGUCUUUAUACUUUCAGAUUUUAUGUAAUGGACUAAGUUUGCUUAGCUUUAUCUAAAGUAACCAUUAGUGGUACUAGUGUUACAUUGACAUGUAAGAUAAAAAAAAGGAAAUUGGCCAUGUGGUAUUUUUUUCUUUCCUUUUUUUUCUUCACUUAUUUGUUCAAAACUACAUUGUUUUAGAGUAUUAUUUAAAAGCACCUUUAGUUUUUAUUUUUCAUUUUCAUUCUUUCCUUCUCUCUAGCUCUUUUCUCUCCCUUUGAAUGCAAAUUCUGGCUGUCAAUCACUAGUGGUAUGAAAAUUUAAUAAAAAAAUAAAAAAUUCAUAUUUUUUUGCCUUAUUUCCCAUAAUAAAAAUAGCUUUUUCAAAAUCUAUUUUGAUUUUCCUAGAUUUAAAAUCAUAAACUUGUAAAAAAUAAACUUGUUUCUUUCCACUGCUAUGUUCUUGACUUGAUGUUAAUGAUCAAUGAUUGUGUUUUUAUGUUGUAGGAUUUUGAAUUUACAGAUGAAAAUUUUCAUGAAUUUUUCAACUUGAAAGAUGUUGACUCACCUAUUGAGAGUUCCUCUACGGAUGAGUUGCUUUCCCAACCCCAUGCUGAAGUUUACUUGAACCAAAACAGAAUGGUAGUUAAGUCUUAUUUAAGUUCAUUUUAAAGAUUUCAUCUUUUAUGCGAAAAUGAAUUUUAUUUUAAGAAUAGUUAAAUGAAAGAAAAGUUUCAAAAUUUUGUGGGUGCCAUUGUUGUUGCAGAAGUACUGGGUGGAUAAGAAAUUAAACAAAUACUGCUUCAUGUUGUUUGCAAGAGAUCUUUCAAUCACUUGGGCAGAAAACCACCGUUACUGGCGUUGGUCAUACCAAAGAGAAACAAACAGGUUAGCAUAGAUUUAUUAUCCAUUUAGAAUCUUUACUUCAUAGAUCUAGCUUGACAACUUUUCUAAUCCACAAACUUUUGAUUUUGCAGCGAUGUGUUGAUUGAUGUUGCCGAACUUCUAGAUGUGUGUUGGCUAGAAAUGAAUGUGAAAUUCAACGUAAAAAAGCUCUCACCGAAAACAUUGUAUGGACUUGUGUUCGUGCUUAUGUUGACAAAAGAAGCACGUGGAUGGGAAACUCCAGUGAACUUCGGAUUCACUCUUCCAAAUGGGUACAAGGUUGAACGCAAGGAAACUUUGAAGUCCAAGCCGAGAGGAGUAUGGAUAGAAAUCCCCGUUGGAGAAUUUACAACUUCAUCUGAAAUUGUUGGAGAAUUUGAUAUUUACUGUCACGAAUAUGCUACAGGGAAUUGGAAGAGAGGACUUAUUGUUAAAGGAGUUACUAUUCUGCCAAAGAAUUAAACAACAAAUUAGUAUUUUCUCACAAUAAAUCUGAAAGUACUGUAGUUUUUCUAUUUGUUCAUAAUCUUGCAAAUUCGAAAAUGACAUGAACCUAAAAGGAACAAACUCAUCCAAUUAUCACUUCAACAACCAGUUCUUUGGUCCUCAUUUUAAUGUAUAGGUUCCAUGCUAAAUGCAACAAACAAGGCCAUUGAUUUUUUUGGUAUUUUUUAUAAGAUUUUAUGACCACUAGUGGCUAGUGGUUGGCUGUUGAAAUCUGGGUUUGGGGAUCAAAGUCUAAAACAGAAUGAUUAGAUAGAGAGCAAGAGAGAGAAGGAAAGAAGGAAAAAUGAAAAAAGAGAAAAAUAAAUGUCCUUUAAAUUGUAGGUUUACAAUGAUUGGUUUUGGACAAAAGAGAGAAAAAAGAAAAAGAUAAGCCAUGUGACCAAUUUCUUCUUUUAGUCUAACAUGUCAACAUUAGCAUUUUUUUUUAUAUCAAUUUAACUUUAGUAUCACUAAUAGUUAAUUUGGAUGGAGUUAGACAAAGAGACUCAAUGGUACAAAUUCUGGGUAUACAAGGACUAAAUUAAUCAGUUUUGGAUAAAUGGACUAAAUUGACAAAAAAAAAUCUUUAAUAUAGGGAUCUAUGAGGUACUUUGACCAUUAAUAAAUUUCAAUCAAUCAAAGAGGUGAUGGCUAUGAUCAUGUAAUGUGUAUGUGUAAUUGAGAUUUUUAUUUUCCUUCAAAAAAAUUCAAUAAUGUGGUAUAAAAGAAAUCUAUAAAGAGAAAAAAUAAUUGUUGUCUCCUCAGCAUUUUUUGAAACCUUUUCAGCACUUUGAAGCUUUGUCCAUUAAUUAAUCAGCUUGUUUUAGGCAUGUUCAUAUAGUAACACAAGUCUUUACGUUGUAUAGAACCUUUUGUUCCUUUUUGAACUCCUAUAAUCUUGCGCAAGUUGUGUAUAUAGGGAGAUACAUGCCUAAGCUGCAGGGAUGGUUUUUGUUCACCUGCUUUUUUGUAUAUUGAUUUUGCUUAAGGUAUAAAGAUAUAGAAUUUUAAAAAAAAGAUACAAAAUUGUGGGAUUAGCAAAUUGAUAGCCACAUUUGGAAUAAAAAAGUAGCAAUUAAAAGAAGCAUUUUAUCUUUAAUGAUGAGUAAGCUGUCUUUAGCUUUUUUCUUUUUUAUAUUCUCUCAAUAAUUUCCUACUUUAAAUAGAGAAAAAAAACCACCGUUGACAGGGCAUGAAACACAUGCCACUUUCUUGUUUUUGGUAUAAAGGCUUGAGGGAAUCUUUGUUUAGGUUUUAUAUUUAAAUACACUCUCUCAUUAAGAGGCUAGUAGUUGAUCAUCUUUCUCUUCAUCUACCUAAAUUUCUUUCUUUGUUUGUUUCAGAAAACAAGAUAGAGAUUGUUCUGCUAUGAGGAUAUUCUGUACUUGUUUUUGACAGAAAUUUAGUACCUCCUUAAGUCCUCAACCGUCUUGGUGUUGCAAAAAGGGGGUUGUAGCUAGAAAUUAACAACAAAAAAUAUGCAAGCAAGGCUGUUGAUGUGAAUGAUUUAGCUUAGUUUGGGUUAUACAAGGCACAACAAUUCUUUGAACGUCAAAUACACUUUCCUAUAUUUAAGCUUUUUCUUCAUAAUGUGUAGGAUUGCAGGGCAUUUUAUUCAACUAUAUUUUGGUUAGAUUGUAGGGAAAAAGACAUAAAGGAGAGAAACAUUUUUAGAUAAUGAUUCAAAAUUUAAUUUCAUUAAUAAGUUAAAAAAUUAUAGCAAAUUGUCAAAAAGGUUCAAAAAAAAUUUUUCUGCUCCUUUUAUUCUCUCUUAGCCAGAAGCGAUGUGCAUUCUCGAACUAGUGAGUUGCAAAUAAGUGGCUGCUUUCCUGCAUAUCUUUGAGUUGAAUGACCAUAUACUUAUUUAUUUCGUAUAUUUCGAUAAAUUUAUGUUAAUAUUCAAGUUUUUAAUAUUUAAAUGAAUUUAUAUUUGAUGCAUUAACAAUGUAUAUAAGAUAUAUGUCAGUAUAUCAAAUAUGAAUCCUAUUUAAAUAGAUUAAGAGUACAUAGUUAAGAAUUACAGGGAGUUUAAUUUGAGAUAGUAGCUUUUUGUAUGAAAGAACAAAAAUAAGAUUUUAUUACUUUUUUUAUUUGUUUUUGUUAAUUUUAUUGUGUCAGCUUGAUUUUAUGUCAAUAGACCUAUUAAUUCAUCAUGGUUAGUAAUCAACUGCUUCAAUAACGAUGCUUCCCAAGUUUAAAAGGGAAAAUAGGAGAUUCCAAACUUAAAACCUUCAUGUCCUUGAUGCUUUUCUUAUUUCUCUGUCCCUUUUUAUUUGUUGUUUUAGUUACAAAAUUGUGGAAGUAGAAUCUUGAUUGUUGCAUUUUCAAUAAAAAGUACCAAUUUACAGAAGCAUUUUAUCUUUAAUGAUGAGUAAGUUUUCUUUGGCCUUUUUCCUUUUUUUGAAAGACAAAGAGAAUAGUAUUUCAUAAAAAAAGGUACAUCUUAAUUAAAUUAUUUGAAGGCAAGAAAUUAAGAUUAGCAUCAGUAUUCACUUCCAAAUUCUCACAAUCAUUUCUUUUUUUAAAUAAAAAAAAAUAAUGUUGUUUUUAUCACCCACUCAAUUAAUUAAUCUGAAAUUGUCGUUGUAUUAGUAAAAUGAAUCGUAAUCACAAUAUAUGCGCGAUGUGUUUUCAUUGGGCAAGUAAUUGUUAUAUAACUAAAGCAAAAAUAAAGUAAUUGCUAUAUAGCAUUAUUUUACUUAGAGGGAAAUAUUUAAUUAAAGAAAAAAAAAGUAAUUCCAAACUUAGAACCUUUAUCCUUUUAAAAACCAAUGAAUAGAGUAAUGUUGAUUCUCUAUAAAGUGAUUUGAUUUCAAAAUGCCAAAGGUCCUUGAUGCUUUUCUUCUUUUUUAAACAAAACACUCCCCUUGCUAAACUAAAGUGAGAAUCAAUUAAGUUUGGUACAACUUAUAGAUACAUUUAUGCCACUAGUAAUACUUUGUUUCAGAAUUAUCUUUUCUUUUUAAAAACAAUAAAGAUGAAUUAUAUAUUAAAAAAGAGUAUUCCUUUACAACUUAACAAAAAAGACCCACGACUACAUCAAAGGCAAGCAAUGGGACUUAAAAAUUUGGGUAGACCAGUACUUGCCUAAGGUCCCGCCAACUAGCAUUAAAAAGAAAAUAUUACAAAAGGUAAGAAAACUCACUCUAUACAUAACAAAAGGACCUCCGAAAAAGUGUUCAAUCAAUAUCCCUUAAAAAAAAGGCAGUAUAAACGAAGAAACAUCAGUGGUUCCAUAAAGGUAGCAGCAAGCAUUAUGAUGCACAACAAAAGUCAAUAAAGCAGGGGACAGAAUACCCCACACUAGGUUAAUGUAUAUUCUUCUCCGAGGUUGGCAGAGAGUCAUUGAUCCAAAACAAAUCUGUUGAUCUUGAGACACCUUCUUUGGCUAGGGUGUCAGCUUCUUCAUUAGCAGACCGAAAAAUGUUUUUAAUCACCAACCCAACGUCCUUGGUCAACUUCUUCCACAUACGUUGUCCAAUAAAAAUCACUCAAGUGUCUCGCAUUGCUUGAAAAGGACAAAAAGACUGCCACGUGCUACCUUAUUGGCAAUUGCUACUAGCGUUCUCCACCGCCCGCUUGGUGUCGCCUGUACAGCCAGAACCACAACCACCACCAUUUGCAAUUCUCCUGAGUCUGAAUUCUUAUCACAUUACUACUGUUGGAAAAGUGUUUGACAAACAACUUUCAGCUAGUAAGUUAGACUCACUAUAACCUUUAUUAUCAAAAAUUUUAUACGCAUCGCUUUUGGAUUACAAAGCAUUACAAGGACGAAUUAUAAAGCAUUUUAAUUCUCAUGGUUUUUUUUUUUUUUUUAAAGAGUGAUUUUGGGUUCAACUUUAAGAAAUUGUCUGCCACUUGUUCAUUGUUACAAAACAGGGUCGGAAGAGAAGCAGCUUCAACAUCAUCCACUUGUUCAGUCAACCAAUAAUUAACUGCUGUUUUCAUUAACCAAUUUACAUUUGAGAAACAACAAAAACAAUGGCAAAAGCACUUCUUUCCAUGAUCCUGGAGCAGCAGUUGGGUGGUUCGUUCAUUCCUCAAGAGAUAAAGCAUCAUGUCGGAUUGGCUGUAGGUCUUGAAGAAGAAAUCCAAAAACUCACCAGCAACUUUGACGCCAUUCAAGCUGUGCUUGAAGAUGCGAAAGGAUAAACCAAACAGGGCUUGCCUAACCCAAGGCGCGGAGGAUAAGGCAUACCGAUGUGGAUGCGGCCCAUAUCCCAAGCUGUUUCCCCACAGACCCUCCAACAGUGUCCCAUAACUCUAGUCCUACAUCCACCACGGAAGAAUUACAAGACUCCCAAGGAGCGGAGGACGGCAAUGGAGGCGGCUGGCUCCGAUUCCGAUGGCAGAGAAUUCAAGAACCCACAGGAAAUGUGGAGGGAGCAAAUUGGAGAUGCAGAUGCAGGAGAUAACCAUAAGAAGACUCAGUGGUACCGUGAAGGCGUUGCCUAUUGGGAAGUAAGUCUUUCUUAACUCUGGUUCUUACAUUUGUAUGUGGGUACCAUUACCGAACUCAUAAUAUAGUUAUUGGUUUCUUUGGUUGUGCUAAGAGAAGGGUGUGGAGGCAUCGGUAGAUGGGGUGUUGGGUGGAUUUGGGCAAGUAAAUGAGGCAGAUGUCAAGGGUAGUGAGGUUUUUCUCAAUACCCUUUUGCAUGAAAGAUUCUCGAUGGCGGUGGAAGAAAUCACCAUCUUGUUGCUCUUGGUACUUCUCUGUCUCUCUCUGUGUGCUCAACUUUAUAUUGUUUUUAUGAAGUUAUAUACCCAUAUAUGUUCUGUUGAGGUAGUUUGGUUUAUGUUAUUAUUAUUUUUUUUUUUUACACUAAAAAUCAACCUUAGGUUAUUAUGCGCCAUUAAAUGUGGAAGUGCAAAGUUGGUGAUGGGAUCCUACUUCAUUAGAAUGUAGCAUUGGUGGAAAACCUAAUUAACUAUAAAUUAAACAAAAAACAUAGUGGUGACAGCAGAAAGGGAUGUUGUGAUAGAUGAAAUUUUGAGUUAAAUAUCCGCAAUUAGUGCUUGAAACCGGAAACCAAGAUAACUUGAUAACACAACCAUGAAGAGUUUAUGUCCCAUAAUCCCACCCCAUAAAAGAAAAUAAAUAAAUAAAGAAGAGGAAAGCAUGGAAAUUUGCAUGAAUAUGCAUUUUCUGAAUUAAUUUGCAUGAUAUCUUCACCAAAAAUCAGUCUUAGUAGUGCAAGAAUUAUGUCAUGCAUUAGAGGUGUUGCUUUGAUUUAGAAUGCCAGCGUUAUAGGUGUUGCUCUUAUUUAGAAUGCCAUAAUGCAAUUGAGAAUUGGGUUUACUACAUGCUAUUUUGCUUAAUAAAAAACCAUCUUUAAGCAAUAUUCUUUUUUAAAUUUGGGAAGAAGCUUGCUGGGAGUUCUCUCUGUCUCUUAAGGGUUGUGUGCUUGUGGGGGGUGGGGGAUGGGGCACCCCUGGACCCAAUUUGAGGCCGUUGUGAGUGCUCAGAAUAAAGGAAAGAAAUUUCUGUGUUUAAGAUUGAAAAAUUACUUUCACAUUUCGUCAGCAGCGAAGAUGCUCUAUCUUGCUAAUAUUCUGGAACUUGUUAUCCUUUGAAUGGCAAAAAUUAGAUAUGUCUUCAGUAUGUUUUAUUACUAGGAGAUUGAUUCUUCGACAUGAGUAGGAUCUAUAAUUGCCUAUAUAUGAAGUUGGUCUUAAUACUUGUGAGUUGGUGGACUAUACUGGGGCAACUGACUGAAAUCUUGCGAAGGGGAAUUGUAGGGGAAAUUAUUUAGGAAACUAAGCAGUUGGAGUUUGGCUUUAAUAUAAAGAUAUUUAGAUAACUAAGCAGUAAUGGUUUGGCUUUAAUAUGAAGAUAAUUAAGUGAUUUCCACAAGUUUUAUUUUAAGUAAUAUGAUAUAAGAUGCACUUAAGCACUUGGCUCUAUGAUAGGUGCAUGUAUCCCCUGCUAAAAGAGCUGGGUUUAAAUUACCAUCACCAAAUAAAAUAAAAUAAAACAUGAUAAUUGAUGGUUGUGCCCUCAAACUUUUGCCUUCAUGUGGUUUAUGUUGGUGGAAUCAAAACAAACUCUUUUGAUGAUCUCAGUGCAGAUGAAUCUGGUACAUUUUAGGGCCUAGCAUACUAAAUUAAACUACGUCAUAAUUCUCAAAACACUGCAUUGCUGACCUUUAUUUUAAGUCCAUACAUUUAAGCAGUAGUAAUACCUGCAAAUGGUUCUAAAGCAUACUUGAAAUAUUGCUGGAGUACUGAUCUGUUUGGUAUUUCAUUUUUCUUGAUGUUUUUAAUUCUAAUUGAAAAUCAUAAAUCUAGUUGACAUUCUGAGCUUUUAGUUUCUAUGUUAAUUUAACAUACUGCAGAUUGUGGUUCUAGCAUAGGGAGAAUAACCAAUAAUCUGUUUGGUCAUUUUUCUCUUUCUAUUAGUUUAUUUUCAAUAUUCCUGACAUUUACCAUCUUUUCAAUUAAUUGAUAACAUGGUUCAUAGUGCAUAAUUUUUACUAGCUAAUGAAUUUCUCUGAUGUUUUUGAAUUGAAAGCAAAAUUGGGCGGUGCCUUUUAAAAAAUUCAAGUAGGACAUGAGGAGGGUAUACGUUAAUUUCGAGGUACCUGAACCCUAAGCUUAUAAAAAAUCAAAUACCCAAACCUUAUUAAUUACUUGAAUAAUUUUAAAAAUUACUACUUUAACCUUAACCCUAAUACAUUUUCACUGUUCUAUAAUUAUCCUAAUCUGUUAGAAAACCCCAAUUAGAUAAAAAAAUUAUUAAAAUGUUCUUCAUGAGUACCCAAUUACUCGAACCCAAACCCAUAUCCAUAUACAAUAAUAUUUAUCCUACAUAUUUCAUAUAAUUAACUACUAAUUAAAUUAAUAAAAACACAAAUAAUAAAAUUUAAAUUUAAAUAAUAAAAAAUUAUAAAGUGUGUUUAUAAAUGAACAUAAUAUAUGAUAUAAAUCAAUAUUAUUUUAUUAUUCAGUAAUUAUUAACUUAUAUAAUAGUAAUUAUAUUCUUUAUAAAUAAACAUAAUAUAUAAUAUAAAGUGUAUGUAUUAAAAGACAUUAAAAGUUAUAUACUCUAAAGUGUGUAUAUAUAUAUAUUAUAAUUAAUAAUUUUAUAAGUUAUAAUUUUUGUAAUGUUAACACAAAAUAAAAUGUAAAUAUAUUUAUAUUUAAAGUANNNNNNNNNNNNNNNNNNNNNNNNNNNNNNNNNNNNNNNNNNNNNNNNNNNNNNNNNNNNNNNNNNNNNNNNNNNNNNNNNNNNNNNNNNNNNNNNNNNNNNNNNNNNNNNNNNNNNNNNNNNNNNNNNNNNNNNNNNNNNNNNNNNNNNNNNNNNNNNNNNNNNNNNNNNNNNNNNNNNNNNNNNNNNNNNNNNNNNNNNNNNNNNNNNNNNNNNNNNNNNNNNNNNNNNNNNNNNNNNNNNNNNNNNNNNNNNNAAACAUAUCUCAGAAGUCAGAAAAACAUCACAGCCCCUUCCUUUUCAGCAUCAAAUAGAAAACAGCCCUGCCCCCUCAUCCAAUAAGUACCCAUUCUGUGCAACUCUGGAAGAAGAGCUCAAAUCAUGUGCUCUCAUUCUGCUUUCGUACUCCUGAAAAUACUCACAUGUACAGCAUAUAUUUGUUAAAUCUACAUUGCAUGGUAUAUGUUGUUGUCACCAGUAGAACAGGGAAGAGGCCAUGAAUCCUGCGGAUAAUUGUAUGGAACGUGCAGCGAAGAGGCCAUGGAACAUUAGUCAAUAUUGCAAUUUUGUAGCGUUUUUUCUGAGAUAACCACUCCACAGACUAGGCUCCAACUCAACAAAAGAAAAAAAAUUGCGGAGUCAUAGAUCUCCCAUGUUGGAAUUUUGAUUAGUGAUUUUCUCUUAACCAAUUCAAAACAUGUUAAUUUCUAUAUUUGUUGACCACAUGAGGCUAGGAAAACUUUCACCAAAACGUUCAAGGAAAAAACAGACCAGAAAUGGAAGUUUACCUACUUGAUUGUUCAGAGUGACUCACCUUCCCCAUCAGAAUCAAUUCUCCACCACCAUGAAUUGUCUCUUCCUCCUUCAGACUUUCACUGAUUUCGCAGUUUGCCCCCCUGCUAAGCUGCUGCACUUCGCACUGCUUCCUUGAUUGGGUUGACUAUCGCCAUGCGGAUUAUUAUUUGGACCCUUCUUUUUAAUGGGCUAAAACAUACCAGCUUAAUUCACAUCGGCCAAACCCAACUACAGGAGAGUGGCUGGUGGAUCUCUCCAUGGACCAAGUUAUCAGCAGAAGCCUGCAGGCCUGAUAGGACAGGCGGCCUGGAUAUGAUUUUCUAGGCUCAGGUUCUACAAGGUUUGACCCAAGAAUACUGUUAUUUUUAUUAAUAAAUACUUUAUUUUAUUAUAUUUUAAUUCUAAAAUAUAUUUUCAAAUACUAAUGUAAAAUUAUUUAAUAUAUAUAAUAAUAAAAUAUAUAUAAACGAGUAUUGGAAUUGGGUUUGGGACGGGUACCCACGUAACCUGAAUAUUAACAUAAUCAGGUUCAGGUAGCGGGUACUCAAGAGAUAGUACCUGAAUCCGAUAUGGGUAGUGAAAUCACUAUUCGAACCCGUCUUAAACCCGAUUAUAGAGUAUCAUAGUAUGAGUUGGAGCUAUGAUCUUAAUAAAGCUGCAUAGUACUUUGUGAUAGCUAUGCUUUCUGACCCCUCUUCCGUUUACCAUUCUCCAGGUUGAUCUACUUGAGCCAGUUUCACAUUUCUUAGAUGCUGCCCGUCAAAGUUUGUCUCAGGAAUAUUUUGUAGCCUCUGAUGCGCACAAAGCAAGUAAUUUCUACUGUGUCCCCCUUCAGGUAAUGUAGUUCAAGACUAUAUUCACACAUAGAUACAUGCUUCUUGAUGUGUUGAAGUAUUCAUAACUAUGGUUAAGUCUAUGUAAGCUAUGUAUUUCCAACUUUUCACUUUACCCUUUAUUGCGGAUGUAGCCAUGUAAUUGACACCUCAAGCAGGCAUGUUGUUUGAGUACAAUCCUGGGAAAAACUUACAAAAUUUAAUGUAAACAUGUUAAAUAUGGGUUUGCACCUGGAACUCGCAUUUGAAUCUGGGCAACAUAGUCUGUAUUCUGUAGGCGGCUUUAGUCAUGAAUCAUUAUAGGUAUAGCCUAGAAGAGUUAAUAUGACUGAUAUUAUGGGGAUGGGAUGGGUGGGAAGGAGAUUGGACAUGUGUAGCUUUAGCUUGCAAUGUGAAACUUAGAUGAUUAGACAACCUUUGGAUUCAAGUAAAUUUUUGCAAACAAUUAUUUACUCUUUUGUGUGUGUUGUGGGGGGGGAAGAGGGGAGCAGCAUAUUGGGUAGUGAAUGAGCUCUCUAAGUUGGUGACAUAUGUACUUGUCUUCUUCUGAUGCUUCUGGCUGCUAAAUUUUACUUUAUAAAACAGAAAUUUGACAACCAUAUUUUUUUGUCUUUUUCUUUUUCAGGAGUUCACCCCUGAUGCUGGAAGGUACAAUGUUAUUUGGAUUCAGUGGUGUAUCGGUCAUCUCACAGAUGAUGACUUUGUCUCAUUUUUUAAGAGAGCAAAGGUGAAUAAAUCUUCUUCUUGAGACAGAACUUACUUUUUAUUUGACAUGUUGUGCUGUGUGGAAGUGCAUGGAAAGAUCAAAAUUAUGUAUUGAAAUUUUCUUGCCUGCUGUCUACUAUACAUUCGAAUUGCCUUGUUCUGAUUUUUGAAUUAUGAACUGUCAGAUCAUUGCAAUGGUAUCUCAAAUUUUCCUUUUCCAAAUUUAUUGCUUCUAGCUUUCUCUCUUGUAACUUCUCUUAAACCUUCUUACAGCUAUAGGAAUUAAGGUUGUCUAGAGAACAUAACAUAGCAAACACCAGAAGGAUGAUAUAGUCAAACUCUUUUUUCUUUUUGUCCUUUCUUUUUUUAUUUUAAUUUUUUUUUUUGCAAUGUGUCGUGUUGUUCAUUCUAUUCUUCUUCCUGCUAGGUAAGUAGCGGAUUUGAUGGGUUGGUUUGGAGUGUUUGGGCCCAUCCCUAGCACCACAGAAACAAGGCUUGAUAAUGCUUUACAAUUCAUACAGCUAUUUUGCUAUCAUCCGUUUUCUCACCUUACAAAAGCUUGUGACCAAAUUUUGUUGUGCCUUGUGCAUUGAAAUAAGUUUUAAGAAAUGAUGGUAGUUUGACUUUUGUCCUUUAAGUUUGUAAAUGGUGGGAAAUAAAAUUAAAUCUAGAAAGUGCCAUAUUCAUUUCAUGGCACCUUGAGUCCCUACUCUCCUGCUUCCCUUGCUGCAACCUUUUUUUUUUUCCAGGUGCUGUUGAGCAUAACUUUUUGCUCUGCCUUCAAUGUAUUUUCAUCAAAAUUAAGCAAAACAUAUUAAUAAUAAAAAGCUCCAACAUGGAAAUUCUUGGGCAUGUGUAUGUGUAUGUAGUUUGGAGGCCUGAUCUCUAAGUUGUGUCCUGGAAAGACCCUUGUUGAAAUUUAUUAUUCUUGCAUAUAUGAUUUAAAAGAUUAUAAUUUGCACUUUAAUUUGAUACAGUAAUUAAUUUGUUGAUUCCAGGUAGGCCUUAAACCUGGUGGAUUCUUUGUCCUGAAAGAGAACAUUGCUAGAAACGGUAUUGUCUUUAUGACUCUUUGAUUUUUCUAAGCAUGUUUGUUUGCCCUCCCUCCCUCUCUCCCUCCCCUUUUUAAGAAGUGCUCAAGUUUUGUUUAAUGCAUUCCUCAAACUUUCUUAUGUUUUGGUAUUCUGUGGUAAAUUUUCAUAAAGUUGUGUUUUUCUUUUUUGAAAUGCCGCAUGUCAUCUCACGUAUGAGAAGGCAUAAAGUUGCUUUUUUGAGCUGAUAUUACUUUCUAACUUUGUCUUAUUAUGUAAUUAUCUGGCCCCUCUACAACUUUGAAGUAACAUCAUAGUUAAUAAUAAUUAAAAGAUAAAUGGAUAAAGGAAAUUUUAAGCUCCAUUUUCUCGUUCCAUUGCUUGAUACCAAGGGAAGCAGCAAGUUUUUGUUUUAUGCAUUCCUCAAACUUUCUUAUUUUUUGGUGUCCUGCUGUAAAAUUUUCAUAAAGUUGCUUUCUAGAGCUGAUAUUACUGUUUAAAUUUGUUUUAUUAUGUAUUCAUCUGCCCGCUACUGCUUUGACUUAUUCUAGUUAAUGUUUUAAAUGUUGAAUUAAGGAUAAACGGAUAAAGGAAUAUUUAAGCUCCAUUGUCUUGUUUCAUUGCAUGAUACCAAGGGAAACAGCAAAAAAGUGUUGAAACUUAUAAUUCGCAGGUUCAGGGAUGAGUCUCAUCUGCUCAAAUGGGUAUGGGGUAUAAUUUUACUAUGCUACCAAUUUGGGACACCUUUUGGUAACACUGUCUAUGUACAACUUUCUUCAGUGAAAAUUCAUGAAGGAAAGAUGACCUAGUGAUGUAGUGAGGAAGUAGAAACAAUAACAAGAAACCAAAACAGUGAACAAAACCAGAACAAAGGUUAAAAUUGAUGUAAAAUCAAAGUCGGAACAAGUUACAAGCCAUUAGGACCAAUUGUCGAGCAUCUUAAGGUUAAAUAAACAAGUCACUCCCAUCUGUAAUAGAUUGAUUCAAACCAGCUAGAUAACAAGAAGUCAACUGCUCAUUAGUCUCUUUGAAACCAACACUAGGGAAAGGUUGUUGAAACCUGAAGUGUACUCCUCAAUGGACAUACUAUUUUGCUUGAGUGAAUGAAAUAUCUCAUUCAACUCCAUUUAAUCAGCUGGCAGAAAUUUCCUCAUCUUCAUUUUCAUGUGUUCCCAAGUGUUGAUUUUUGGCUUGCCUUGAUGUGCUUGCCGCUCUUCAACGCUCUUCCACCAUUGAAGUGCAGUCCCUUCAACUUAAGCUUCACAAACAGCACCUUUCUUUGUUCUACCAUUGGUUUCUACUAAAAAUAAUUUUACAAACUCGCUUUCUGGUCUAAAUAAUCUUUUGCAUGCAUCUUUUUCCGGAAGUCAUCUACCUUAAUUCUAACUCCACCACCAUUUAAGUCUAGGCAUGUAACAAUCAGCCUUCCAAUCUACCACAAACAGCAUUAUUUGCUGCUCGAGCAUUAUGAAAAGGGUUUUCAGCCUCUCCAUAUUCAAUUUCAUCCUCAAGACCACCUUCCGGUAAACCGAAAGGGUCAGGAUUGCCUUGCGGAUUCUCCAUUCGGGCUCCCAUUGGUUCCUGUCACUUUAAAGCUUGCUCAGCCUGCAACAAAUCUUCAAUCAUACCCUUAAACUCAGCCGAUUCUGUUUGCUGGUCUUGAUUUCUUUUCCACGUCCACUAACAAGUCCUCUAACACGAUUAGCCAUGGUUUAUAAGCUAAAAUCCUAGUUCAACUUUAAGAUCUGUUCAUCUGAUACCUCUUUGAUGUAGCAUGGAAGUAGAAACAACAAAAACAAAAGAAAAACAAUGAAGAAAACCAGAACAAAGGCUAAAAUUGAUCUUAAGAUCAAAGUAGGAACAAGUUACAGCAGCUUUUAAUUGUAGCCCUUCGAUACAAACAAGCCCAUCUAAUCCUAGCCAUUCAAACUAAUUAAAAAUGAUCACAUGCUGAUCACGACACAUGACUAGAUAGAAAACAUAAUUACAAACUUUUAACUAAAGUAAAACAUAAUAAGAUAACCAAUUGGAGAUAAAUUUAAGAAUGCUCUUGCAUAACCUAGCCCAACAAUUAAACUUGCCUAAGGCUUGACUUAAACUAGGACUCAAGUCUCAUAAUUUGCUUGCAUUCAACUCACAAAAUGCUUGGAUUCAAUCAGUUUAUUGUUGAGUUAUUCUUGAGCUCAAGUGACCAAUCGAGUCUAGUUCAAGUGUUUAUAUUACUCAGUCAAGAUGGUUCAAGAGCGUAAUCAACUUUUAAUUUUUUAAUAUAUUUUAAUAUUCCAUGUAUGUAAUACUCGUAUAACACUGAAAAAUAUAAAGCUCUAUCAAGUCCAGCUUGGAGGUCUCAGACAUAUGUACCCUCCAAAAAAUUGUUCAAGUUGAGCUUCAGGUCUUAGUUUUGUAAUUGAGUCGUGUCAAGUUCAAGGUUGUCAUUUUGUCAACUUGAUUUGGCUCAGUUAUGCACCUAGACUUUAACCAGCUCAAACUGACUAAAAGGUUACUGAAUUGAAAGUUGAGACAGGGACAAUUCAAACACAAAGUAAUCUGGAAUUCCAAAAAUCCAAACUUAACACCUAAAAACCUUUAAAUGACAAGUGGGUAGUUAUACCCCUUUCGCAGUAAUUGCAUAAAUUCACUUAACUUGGCUUGCAUGUGGAGAACUUGUCAGUGGAAUUGUUCAGUGGCAAAAUGAGUUUCACUGAGCUAUCACUUGUUUGCAGGAUUUGUCUUGGAUAAAGAAGAUUGAAGCAUCACCAGAUCUGACUUAUACUUCAAGGCCCUAUUUCGUCGAUGUGGAUUGCACCUGUAUAAAAUAAAGGUACCUUCUAUUGCAUAUUGACCACUUAAUAAGCUGUUGAUAACGCUUUUUUAAACUGAAUAUUCUGUUAGUUUACUCGUAAAUGCUUUUGACAGUUGUUGUUUCAUGAGGCCUAAUCCUAACUAUAUUUUGACUUUGAAAGAAUAUACAAUACAUAAAGCUACACAGGUCUGCUGUGGUAUCUUAAAUGGUGCUCAAAGUUCUUAAUCAGCCCCAACUUCCAUUGUUUUGAUUCUGAAAAGCAAAACCCCCCUCACUGGCUAAAAUAAAGUGGGAAUCAAUUCAGUAUGGUACAAUUUAUAGAUAUGGUACAUUUAUGGCACCGAUGAUACUUUGCUGCAGAGUUACCUAUAUCAUGUAUUCUUUUAUCUUCCCUAUUAUCAAUCACUUUUACAGAGAAAUUAUGGUCUUGAAGUCAAAACUGGAUACUUUAAUAAUUAAAGUUAUAAUCAACCUCAAAAUUGUGUGCUGGGUUAUGGCGGUAAAGGGGUCAACUUGAUGUAAGUUACGCAACUUGGACUCACACCAUAAAACUCAACCAAAUUCCAACAAAGAUUAGUUGCCAACCCAUCCAGUUGUGUCUGUUACACAUAACCUUUGACUUGCAACAUAACAAUCCCAAGAUGACACAUUGAAAACUGAUAAGUUUAUAUAGAUCAUGCACUAAUAGCCUCAUAUGUUGCCAUUGUCUUAACAACUAAGUCUCUAAGCCAACAUUCAAAAAUUUAGAUCUUGAAACGUUAAAAUACAAGGUCUAGCUAAAAAUCCAAUGAUAGGUGCGGGCUUUAUAGGAUGAGAGAGGGCUUCUCCUAUUGUGAAGCCCUCGUUCCAUUGACUUUCAGAUGUGCCCCAAGAGCAUAACAUUAGUGAGAGGCGUUGUGUGAUCUAUGUUGUUUGGUAAGUUUUAGAUAUCAUAUCAUCUUUUGUAUCCUUAUAUUCUUAUUUGAUGUUGCUGAGUUGAAUCGAUAAGGGUGUGAUUUCUAGUUGCAUGUUCAAAGUUUCCAUUAGAAAUAGGGGCAGGUUUGGUUUGCAAUCCCCCUACUUCAUUUUAGGGUUUUCAACUAUCAUAAUGUAUCCUUCCUUUUGUUAUUUAUUUGUUUGUUGUUUUGAAAACAGGACCAGAAAGGACUCCCUGAGGAAUUGUUUGCUGUAAAGAUGUAUGCUUUAACAACUGAAGGGCCAAAGAAGGUUCUCAAGACAAGAUCCAAGGCGCAAGCCAACAGACCUGACAUCAUCAAAUGAUUUGUUGCCUCUACCUUGUUGCAUUGUUGUAGGAGUACUCAAACUUUCUGGUGUAGGAUGUGAUUGUAUCUUCUUCCUAUGUAAUUUGUUAGCGUAUUACCUCAAAUUGUUUUUACUUUACAAGCUCCUUGUGGACUAGUUUUGUUCUUUUUCGUUUGAAGCUGUAUAUUUAUCCCCGGCAUACCUUUGAAGCUGUAUAUGUUCCUAAAUUCAAUUAUUGCUUCCAUAUUUUAAUUUUAUCUUUAAUUUUUUUUUUUUACCUUUCAAACAAAAAUGAAGAGUAAAUUUUACUAUUCCUUUUUACCAAUUCUUUAAUCCUUAGUCUAAUGAUACUUUAGAUGGAUACUUUUGCUCCUAUUCGCAAGACCAGCCCUCACCCUUUUUGUAGUGUUAUUUUCCAAACGGUGCCGUUUGGCACUUUGCUCCUUACAACCCUAACUAUAAAUUCCUCCUUUUCUCUCUCUCUCUCCUUCAUUUUUCCCCUUACUUUCUCUCUCUACCGCCGGCGGCUCUCUCUCAUUUCUCUCUGAACCUUCAGCUCACUUUCUUCUCUCUUUCUCUUUCGCUUGGAAGUAAUGAGAAUCUCCCAAUCCCAAAAGAGGAAAUCAACUUUCUCUCCCGCACACUGCCAGAACCUUCCUUUCGCUCUCACAAAUCAGUCCCCAACCGAACCCAUUUCCUAGAUCUACGUCUUUGUAAACAUUGGAUUUUUGUUUUGAUGCUUUUUGCUUUUCUUUUUUUUUGCCUUUUGCCAUUUUGGUUGUGGUAUCCGGCUGCUAGAUUAAAAAGUUAGAAGUUUUUGGCUUCUAGGUGUUUGCUCUUUUCUGGAGAUUUUUGUUGAAAGAGCCCCUCCUUUUGUGAAGAUUUCUGCUUUUAUAUAUAUAGGGGCCGAAAAUUCUCUCCUUAGUACUCGGUUAGCCAUUGAUUUAUCCUAAUUUUUAUUGAAUAAAAAUGAAAAUGAAAAAUAGAAUAAUAAGGUAAUAAAAAUAGUAAUAAAAGUACAUAAAAAAAUAGUAUCUACAGCUUGAGGGAAUCUAUGUUUAGUUUUUUAAUAUGUAAACACCCUUUUCCAUGGAAAGGUUAAAUUUUUUUUUCUUUGUUUGAGAUGGAUAUCAAACCCUUUCUUCAUGAACACCACUUGCUCUUUGAUGACUACAUUGAAUCAGAGGCACCUUGUAAUAUAUGCAAUCAGAAAAUUGAUGGUUUGGCUUAUUAUUGUGAAAGAUGCAAGAUUUGGUUUCAUAAUCCCUGCGUUCAUCAUCAGCUACCUCUGCAGAUAAGUGCACAUCCUUUCCAUUCUCAACACAAUCUUAGUCUCUUAUGGUCAAAUCACAUAGAUUACAUAUGUGCUAAAUGUUUCAAUCUUUCUCGAGGUCAUAGGUACCAUUGCAAAGAUUGUGAUUUUAGCCUUGAGUUUCAAUGUGCUUUUUCAAUCAAUGAUGAGAAAAAUAGACUCAGUGACGAGACAUCCAAAAAAAUUGGUCGUUUCAACAAGUCGUUGACCCUCUUUAACUAUAGGAGAGUGAGAAAGUAUGAGUAUAUAUGUAGUUGGUGUGAGAAUCAUUUGUCUGGAAUGUCUUAUGGUUGUCUUGACGAUGGAGUUUAUAUCUGGUUCCACGAUUCGUGCCUAAUCAACAUGCCUAGCAUAAUCUUCAAACACCCUUUUCAUCCAUCACACCCUCUUUCAUUAUGCAACAUUCAUUUCGAUAAUAGAUUGUGCAAUGCUUGUAACCUACCAAUAUGGGAGUUCAGAAAAGCCUUUUGCUGUAGAAAAUGUAAAUUCCACCUUCAUGUUCAUUGUGCUGAACUACGACCCAGUCUGAAGGUUGAGUUACAUGAGCAUAAUCUUACUUAUUUUCGAAUAAAAGCUAAUAUCUCUACCCACCUAUGUAGGAUUUGUGGUUUUAAUUUUGAUGCUAUAGGGAACGAAAGUGCUUUUUAUCGUUGUGUUGAGUGUAAUUUCAAUUACCAUUUCAAAUGUCUUACAAUACCACAUUCUACUUCACACAAGUAUCAUAGGCAUGAUCUCAUGCUUAUGGAUUCAUUUAUAGAAGAUGUUUCUGAAGAAUAUUAUUGUGAUAUAUGUGAAGAAAAAAGAAAACCCAAGCAUAGUGUUUAUUGUUGCAAGAAAUGCAAAUUUGUUGCUCACAUCGAAUGUGUACUCAAUAAGGUAAAGAGAAAUUUACUCUCUCUCUAAACAAAUUUAAUAAAUGAUUUUUUUAUUAGAUAAUCUAUUAAUUAUUUGAUCAUAGGUCACAUAUACUGUGCCAUUUAGAAAAAUUUUGAUGUUAAAUAGUUUCACUUCCCCAGGUUAUAGAUAUAAAACUUGAUCAAAGUGUGACCUCUAGUUUGUUGGAUGGCGAAGCUUCAACAUUGAAGGUGGUGUAUGUUGAUAUUAUUGUGAUGCUUUCACUUGCCAAUAAUUUUUUUUUGAAGGUUACAUCACUUUAGGUCUUUUAUAAUUCCUUGGAUUUAUAUAUUAUAAAGAUUUUUUAGUAAUAAACACUAUUUACGUUUUUGAAUAAAAUUUAAUGAAAAAAAAACUAAAAAAUGUAAAUAACAUAGGUAAGAAACCUCUACUUAUAUAGCAGUAUUCAAAAUCAAUUUGAAGAAGGCUUUAGUAAAAAUAUUGAAUGUUGAAUAAAAUAAAAACAUAUACGUGCAUCAUGUUAAUUUAUGAACAUAUAUAUUUGAUUAUUUAAUUAUUACUUCCAUAUUUUAGUUUUAUUUUAAAUUUUCAUUUUUUUUACUUUUCAAACAAAAAUAAAGAGUAAAUUUUACUAUUAAUUUUGACCUAUUUGUAAUUUUUCGUUUUCAUUUGCCAUUUUGAAUUUGUUUCAAAUCCAUCUGUAUAUUAACAUGCCAAUAAAAUGGAAGUGAAAUUUGUCACGUAAAUUCCACAUAUUAUGUGAAUUAUGUGAAAGUAGUCACAUGGACAUAACUGUAGUGUUUAGAUGGCAAAUUCGUUCCAUAUUUAAUAGUGUAUUGAUGGAUAGAUGAAUUUAAAAUAAAUUCCAAAAGAUGUAGAUGAAAAAAAUCGAGUUUGUUUAGUCAUAAAUGAAAAUAAAAUAUUAUGACAAUUUACAAAUUAAGGAUGCACUCUGCUUAACAAAUGGUGGAAGAUUAGUAACUUUCUUCACUCAACCUGGUUGUGCAGCCGCAGAUUGAACAUUUUGAUCAUCAACAUCCCUUGAGCUAUAAUGGGGCAAUUGAACGGAAUGAAAGUCUUCUCUGCAAUGCUUGCUGUCAAGAAAUUUUUGAUCAACACUAUGCUUGUGGAGAUUGUAAAUACUACUUACAUGAAACGUGCACUGCAUUGCCGUUUGAGGUGUCACACCCUUUUCAUUGCCAGCAUCCUCUCAAGCUCUUCACAGAUAUAGUUGAAUUUACAUGUCAUGCAUGUAGGGAACAUUCUAGUGGGUUUGCUUACAUGUGCCUUCCAUGUGAUUUCCAACUUGAUGUAAACUGUGCUACCACUCCAAUCCCACAAAAAAAUGAGGGGCAAAAGCUGAAAGAGAUGGAGAAAGUUUCCAAGUUGUGCCCUUUCAAUCAAAAUCAUAAGCUAGAUUUCUUCAAUCGUAGAUCCAGUCUCAAAGAUUUGGCUUUGGAAUGCGAUGCUUGCAAGCUACCAAUCUUGGGUCCAGGUUAUACAUGUCGUGAUUGUUUCAAUAUCAAAAUUCAUGAAUCUUGUCUUGCAUUUAUGCGGGAGAUGCAGCUCAACUUUCAUCCAUUACACCCCCUUCAUCCACAAAUCGGCGAUUGGGAAAAUUGUUUUGCCUGUAGAUUUAAAAUCAUUGAAAGUAUCGGUUAUAGUUGUCGACAGUGUGAUUUCCACCUUCAUCUUCAUUGUGCUAAUUCCCUGAAGCUGGCCUUAAAAAUUAAGUCUCACAUGCAUAAUCUCUAUUAUUUUGGGCCAGAUUAUGAGAAAUCUUACCAAUUAUGUAACAAAUGCAAAAGUUACAUUGGUAAGGAACCUUUCUAUUAUUGCGUGGAGUGCAAUAUGAAUUUGCACUUAAAAUGUGUUCCCAUACCAUGUUCAGUUAAAUCCAAAUAUCACAUGCAUCGUUUGACUCUUAAAAAUCAUUUUGUGGAAGAUGAUUCUGGAGAAUACUAUUGCGACAUUUGCGAAGAAGAAAGGAACUCAAAAAAUCAUUGCUAUUAUUGUGAAGAGUGUGUUGGACAAUUUGUUGCUCACAUCGAAUGCGUGCUUCUUACAGUAAGUUUAUCACUAUCAUUUUCUUUGUAGAAUUUUUUUAUACCAUGUUAUUGAAUUUUUUAAAGGAAAAUAAGAAUCUAAAUUACACAUCACAUGAUUGUAUCCACCACCUCUUUGAUUAAUUGGACUUUAUUAAUGGUUAAAGUACCUCAUAGGUCCAUAUACUAUAGAUUUUUCGUUAAUUUAAUCUCUUUACUCAAAACUGGUUAAUUUAUUCUCUAUAUUUUGAGAUAUUAUGUAAUUGACUCAUUUUGCUUAACUCCAUUCAAAUUAACCAUUAGUGGUGCUGGUGUCGCAUUGACAUGCAAGAUAAAAGAAAAAAAAAGAAAUUGGCCAUGUGGCAUUUGUUUCUUUCCUCAUUUGUUCAAAACUACAUUGUUUUAGAGUACCAUUUAAAGCACAUUUAGGUUUUAUUUUUCAUUUUCCUUCUUUCCUUCUUUCUAGCUCUCUUAUCUCUCUAGAUUCCGACACCUAAAUGAAAAUUUUGGCUAUCGUUCAUUAAUGGUAUGAAAAUCUAAUAAAAAAUAAAAAAAUUCAUUUUUUUUGGCCUUAUUUCCCAAAAUUAGGAUAGCUUUUUCAAAAUCUAUCUUGAUUUUCCUAGAUCUAAAAUAAUGAAACUGUAAAAAAGAAAUUUGUUUCUUUCCACUAAUGUGUCCUCAACUUGAUGUUAAUGAUCAAGGGUUGUGUUUUUCAUGUUGUAGGAUUUUGAAUUUGCAGAUGGAAAUUUUCAUGAAUUUUCCAACUUGAAAGAUGCUGACUCACCUAUUGAGAGUUCCUCUAUGGAUAAGUUGCUUUCCCAGCCCCAUGCUGAAGUUUACUUGAAUCAAAACAGAAUGGUAGUUAAGUCCUAUAUAAGUUUAUUUUAAAGAUCUCAUCUUAAUGCGAAAAUGAAUUUUAUUUUAUGAAUAGUUGAAUGGAAGAAAAGUUUCACGAUUUUGUGGGUGCCAUUGUUGUUGCAGAAGUACUGGGUGGAUAAGAAGUUAAGCAAAUACUGCUUCAUGUUGUUUGCAAGAGAUCUUUCAAUCUGUUGGGCGGAAAACCACCUUUACUGGCGCUGGUCAUACCAAAGAGAAACAAACAGGUUAGCAUAGAUUUAUUAUUCAUUUAGAAUCCUUCAUAGUUCUAGCUCGAGAGCUUUCCUAAUCCAUAAACUUUUGAUUUUGCAGUGAUGUGUUGAUUGAUGUUGUCGAACUUCUAGAUGUGUGGUGGCUAGAAAUGCAUGUGAAAUUCAAUGUAAAAAAACUCUCACCAAAAACAUUGUAUGGACUUGUGUUCGUGCUUAUGUUGGCAAAAGAAGCAUGUGGAUGGGAACACCCAGUGAACGUCGGAUUCACUCUUCCAAAUGGGUACAAGGUUGAAUGCAAGGAAAUUUUGAUGACCAAGCCAACAGGAGUGUGGAUAGAAAUCCCUGUCGGAGAAUUUACAACUUCAUUUGAAAUUGCUGGAGAAUUAGAUAUUUACUGUCACCAAUAUGAUGAAUUGAUAAGGAAGAGAGGACUUAUUGUUAAAGGAGUUGCUAUUCUACCAAAGAAUUAAGUUAUAAGUUAGUAUUUUGUCAUAGUAAAUAUGAAAGUAUUAUAGUUUUUUUAUUUGUUCAUAAUCCUGCAAAUACCAAAAUGACCUUAACACUGGAACCAGUUUUUCGGUUCUCAUUAUACAAUAUAGGUUCCAUGCUAAAUGCAGCAAACAAGCCCGUUGAUUGGGUUUUUUGUAUUUUUUAUUAGAUUUUUGGACCACUACUGAUCAGCGGUCAGUGAUCGAAAUCUGGGUUUGGCGAUCAAAAUUUGGGAUGGAAGGAUUGGAUAGAAAGUGAGAGAGAGAAGAGUGUUAGAGAGAGAAGGAAGGAAAAUGAAAAAAAAAAAAACUAAAUGUGCUUUAAAUAGUAAGCUUAAAACGACGUAGUUUGAGACAAAAAAGAGAAGAGAGAAAAAUAAAAGCGACAUGAUCAAUUUUUUUUAUUAGUUUAACACGCCACUUCUACGUUAGCACUUUUUGAUAUGUCAGUGCGACGUUAAUACCACUAAUGGUUAAUUUGAAUGGAGUUGAGCAAAGAGAUUCAAUGGUACAAAAUAUGAGAGUACAAGGACUAAAUUAACUAGUUUUGGAUAGUUGGACUAAAUUGACAAAAAAAUCUUUAGUAUAAGGACCUAUGAGGUACUUUGACCAUUAAUAAAUUCUAAUCAACAAAAGAUGUGGUGGAUUUGAUCAUGUGAUGUGUAUGUGUAAUUUAGAUUCUUAUUUUCUUUUAAAGAAAUUCAAUAAUGUGGUAUAAAAAAUUUCUACAAAGAUAGAAAAAUAUUGUUAGCACCUCAACAUUUUUUAAAACCUUUUCAGCACUUUAAAGCUUUGUCCAUUAAUUAAUCAGCUUGUUUUAGGCAUGUUCUCAUAGUAACACAAGUCUUUACGCUGUAUAGAACCUUUUGUUUCUUUUUAACCUCCUGCAAUCUUGAGCAAGGCUGGUUGUGUAUACAGGGGAGCAUAGUGGUAUAUCCCAGCACAGUUGUGUAUAUAGGGAGAUGUAUGCCUAAGCUGUAGGGAUGGUUUUUGUUCACCUACUCUUUUGUAUAUUGAUUUUGCUUAAAGUAUAAAGGUAUAGAAUUUUUAAAAAAAGAUACAAAAUUGUGGCUUAGCAUCUUGAUAGCCACAUUUGGAAUAAAAAGGUAGCAAUUAAAAAAAGUAUUUUAUCUUUAAUGAUGAGUAAGCUUUCUUUGGCCUUUUUCAUUUUAUAUUCUCUCAAUAAUUUCCUUCUUUAAAUAGAGAAAAAAAAUGUUGACAGGGCAUGAAGCACAUGCUAUUUUCUUGUUUUUGGUAUAAAGGCUUGAGGGAAUCUUUGUUUAGGUUUUACAUUUAAACGCCCUCUCUCAUCAAGAGGCUAGUAGUUGAUCAUCUCUCUCUCUCUCUUCAUCUACCUAAAUUUAUUUCUUCGUUUGUUUGAGAAAACAAGGCAGAGAUUGUUCUGCUAUGGGCAUAUUCUAUACUUGUUUUUGACAGAAAUUUAGUACCUCCUCAAGUCCUUAACCAUCUUGGUGCUGCAAAGAGGGGGUUGUAGCUAGAAAUUAACAACAUAAAAGAUGAAAGCAAGGUUGUUGAUGUGAAUGAUUUAGCUUGGUUUGGGUUAUACAAGGCGCAACAAUUCUUUGAACGUCAAAUACACUUUCCUAUAUUUAAGCUUAUUCUUCAUAAUGUGUAGCACUGCAGGGCAUUUUAUUCAACUAUAUUUUGGUUAGAUUGUAGGGGAAAGAAAGGUAGAGAAAAAGACACAAAGGCGAGAAACAUUUUUAGACAAUGAUUCAAAAUUUAAUUUCAUUAAUAAGUUAAAAAAUUACAGCAAACUGUAAAAAAGAUCAAAAAUUUUUUUGUCUGCUCCUUUUAUUCUCUAUUGGCCAGAAGAGAUGUGCAUUCUUGAACUAGUGAUUUGCAAAUAAGUGACUGCUUUUCCUACAUACCUUUGAGUUGAAUGACCAUGUACUUAUCCAUUCUGUAUAUUUCAACAAAUUUAUGUUAAUAUUCAAGUUUCUAAUAUUUGAAUGAGUUUAUAUUUGAUGCAUUAACAGUGUCUAUAAGAUACAUUGUCAGUGUAUUAAAUAUAAAUCUUAUUUAAAUAAAUUAAGAGUACAUAGUUAAGAAUUACAGGGAGUUUAAUUUGAGAUAGUAGCUUUUUGUAUGUAAGAAGAAAAAGAAGAUUUUGCUGCUUUUUAUUAUUUGUUUUUGUUAAUUUUAUUGUGUCAGCUUGGUUUUAUGUCAACAGCCCUAUCAAUUCAUCAUGGUUAGUGAUCAACAGCUUCAAUAACGAUGCUUCCCAAGUUUAAAAGGGAAAAUAGGAGAUUCCAAACUUAAAACCUUCAUGUCCUUGAGGCUUUUCUUGUUUCUCUGUCCUUUUCUAUUUGCUGUUUUAGUUGCAAAAUUGUGGAAGUAGCAUCUUGAUUGCCACAUUUUUCAUAAAAAAGUACCAAUUUAAAGAAACAUUUUAUCUUUAAUGAUAAGUAAGUUUUCUUUGACCUUUUUCUUUUUCUCAAAAGACAAAGAGAAUAGUAUUCCAUAAAAAAGGAUAUGUGUUAAUUAAAUUAUUUGAAGGCAAGAAAUUAAGAUUAGUAUCAGUAUUCGUUUCCAAAUUCUCACAAUUAUUUCGUUCUUUAAAUAAAGAAAAAAAUAAUAUUAUUUUUGAUCACUCACUUGAUUAAUUAAUUUGAAUUGUCAUUGCAUUAGUACAAUGAAUCGUAAUCACAAUAUACGCGCGACUUGUUUUCAUUGUGCAAGUAAUUAUUGUAUAACUAAAGCAAAAAGAAAGUAAUUGCUAUAUAACAUUAUUUUACCUAAAGGGAAAUAUUUAAUUAAAGAAAAAAUAAGUAAUCCCAAACUUAAAACCUUUAUCCUCUUAAAAACCAAUUAAUAGAGUAAUGCUGAUUCUCUAUAAAGUGAUUUGAUUUCAAAAUGCCAAAGGUCCUUGAUGCUUUUCUUCUUGUUUAAACGAAACACUCCCCUUGCUAAACUAAAGUGAGAAUCAAUUAAGUAUGGUACAACUUAUAGAUACAUUUAUGCCACCAGUAAUACUUUGUUUCAGAAUUAUCUUUCCUUUUUAGAAACAAUAAAGAUGAAUUAUAUAUUAAAAAAGAGAAGGAUAAGAGUAUUCCUUUACAACCAGUCAAAAAAAAACCCACGACUACAUCAAAAACAGCCAAUGGGGCUUAAAAAUUUGGGUAGACCAGUACUUACCUUAGGUCCUGCCAAGUAGUAUUAAAAAGAAAAUAUUACAAAAGGUAAGAAAACCAUAACAAAAGGACCUGUACAUAAUCUUUUCCUAGAAGAAGGAUCCAAAAAAGGGUUCAAUCAAUAUCCCUUAAAAAAAAAGCAGUAUAAACGAAGAAACAUCAAUGGUUCCCAUGAAGUUAGCAGCGAGCAUUGUGAUGCACAACAAAAGUAAAUAAAGCAGGGGACAGAACACGUCACACUAGGUUAAUAUUCUUCUCCGGGGCUGGCAUGGAGUCGUUGAUCCGAAGCAAAUCUGUUGAUCUUGAGACACCUUCUUUGGCUAGCUUGUCAACUUCUUCAUUAGCAGAACCAAAAAUGUGUUUCAUCUCCCAUCUUCCAAUCUUACGAAGAGUAUUAAAUGUUUGAAUUAUCAGAGUCUUCGCUCUCCAUAUCUUCUUUUUGUCUUUCUUAAUAUUAAUCACUUUUACAAAGAAUUUAAUUUUAAUUUUACAUUUGAAUUGUUGCGCUAGGGUAUGGCCGUAGAGGGGUCAACUUGAUGUAAGUUAAGCAACUUGGAUUUACAGCAUAGAACUCAACUAAAUUCCAACAAAGAUUAGUUCCUAGCCCGUACAGAAAAUUUGUAUAUGUUACUUGACUGAUUUACAUUGAAGAAGUAAAUUUGCAUAUCACCCACAUUAUAAACUAAUCAAUUACUGAAAAUAAGAAAUUACCACUAGUGCUUGCUAAAUCUCAUAAAUAAAUCAUCUUAAUAAGCAAUAACUAUGUAUGGGAGGGCUAAUUAUUGUAGUUAACAUUCCUUGAAUUUUACCUCAAAAUUUGUGUUAAUAUUCUAGGUUGUGAUCAAGUCAAAUAUUCAAGUUUCUAACAUUUAAAUAGAUUAGGAGUACUUCAUGAAUGAAGGGGUUUAAUUUGAAGUAAUAGCUUCAAGUAUAGAAGAAAAAAAACAAAGAUUAUGCUGCUUAUUUUUUUUUAUAUUUUCUUGUCUUAGGUUGAUUUUAUGUCAACACUCCUAUCCACUAUUCGGUAAUUUUGGACGUGUGUAUUUCUGUAGCAAUGUUUAUGAAAUGGUUUGGACAGCAUUGAUAGCUGUGGAUCAUGAGACAUAUAUACACUUUGGACAGCUAUUUAUUGAGACGUGCUGGAAGGUGAUUUAAUUAUUUCUGUUGAUUGGGUUAUGUUUUCAGAGAUUGGGCGGAUUUGUUAAAGAGUCCAACUGGACCUAUUUAUCCCCAAAGUUGAGUUUAAUUUUGGCAUUUGGCAUGUGGCAUUGCCAAAGCUCCUCAAGGAAGAGCACUAUGCGAUGAGUGAAGGCCAAAUAAAUAAGAAGAAAAAAGAAAGAAAGAUAGUACACAUCUUGUCAUCACUCAUCAAUUAGACAUUCCAUCCCUCACCAACCCAACGUCCUUGGACAACUUCUUCCACAUAUGUUGUCCAAUAAAAAUCACUCCAGUGUCUCGCAUUGCUUGAAAAGAAAAAAAAAGACUCCCACGUCCUACCGUAUUGGCGAUUGCUACUAUCGUUCUCCACCGCCCGCUUGGUGGCGCCUAUACAGCCACCACCACCACCACCACCAUUUGCAAUUCUCCUGAUUCAGAAUUCUUAUUGCAUUACUACUGUUGGAAAAGUGUUUGAUAAACAACUUUCAGCUGGUAAGUUAGCUUCACUAUAACCUUUAUUAUCAAAAAUUUUUUACGCAUUGCCUUUGGAUUACAAAGCAUCCUGGUCAAAUUGUUUCCGUAGUGACGUAGAAGUUGUCAUUCAAGAAAAAUUACAAGGACGAAUUAUAAAGCAUUUUAAUUCUCAUGGUUUUUUUCUUUAAAGAUUGAUUUUGGGUUCAACUUUAAGAAAUUGUCUUCCACUUGUUCAUUGUUAAAAAACAGGGUCGGAAGAGAAGCAGCUUCAACAUCAUCCACUUGUUCAGUCAACCAAUAAUUAACUGCUGUUUUCAUUAAUCAAUUUACAUUCGAGAAACAACAAAAACAAUGGCAAAAGCACUUCUUUCCAUGAUCCUGGAGCAGCAGUUGGGUGGUUCGUUCAUUCCUCAAGGGAUAAAGCAUCAUGUCGGAUUGGCUGUAGGUCUUGAAGAAGAAAUCCAAAAACUCACCAGCAACUUUGAGGCCAUUAAAGCUGCGCUUGAAGAUGCGAAAGGAUAAACCAAACAGGGCUUGCCUAACCCAAGGCGCGGAGGAUAAGGCAUACCGAUGUGGAUGCGGCCCAUAUCCCAAGCUGUUUCCCCACAGACCCUCCAACAGUGUCCCAUAACUCUAAUCCUACAUCCACCACGGAAGAAUUACAAGACUCCCAAGGAGCGGAGGACGGCAAUGGAGGCAGCUGGCUCCGAUUCCGAUGGCAGAGAAUUCAAGAACCCACAGGAAAUGUGGAGGAAGCAAAUUGGAGAUGCAGAUGAAGGAGAUAACCAUAAGAAGACUCAGUGGUACCGUGAAGGCGUUGCCUAUUGGGAAGUAAGUCUUUCUUAACUCUGGUUCUUACAUUUGUAUGUGGGUACCAUUACCGAACUCAUAGUAUAGUUAUUGGUUUCUUUGGUUGUGCUAAGAGAAGGGUGUGGAGGCAUCGGUAGAUGGGGUGUUGGGUGGAUUUGGGCAAGUAAAUGAGGCAGAUGUCAAGGGUAGUGAGGUUUUUCUCAAUACCCUUUUGCAUGAAAGAUUCUCGAUGGCGGUGGAAGAAAUCACCAUCUUGUUGCUCUUGGUACUUCUCUGUCUCUCUCUGUGUGCUCAACUUUAUAUUGUUUUUAUGAAGUUAUAUACCCAUAUAUGUUCUGUUGAGGUAGUUUGGUUUAUGUUAUUAUGAUUAUUUUUUUACACUAAAAAUGAACCUUAGGUUAUUAUGCGCCAUUAAAUGUGGAAGUGCAAAGUUGGUGAUGGGAUCCUACUUCAUUAGAAUGUAACAUUGGUGGAAAACCUAAUUAACUAUAAAUUAAACAAAAAAACAUAGUGGUGACAGCAGAUAGGGAUGGUGUGAUGGAUGAAAUUUUGAGUUAAAUAUCCGCAAUUAGUGCUUGAAACCGGAAACCAAGAUGACUUGAUAACACAACCAUGAAAAGUUUAUGUCCCAUAAUCCCAACCCAUAAAGGAAAAUAAAUAAAUAAAGAAGAGAAAGGCAUGGAAAUUUGGAUGAAUAUGCAAGAAGCAUGUCAUGCAUUAGAGGUCUUGCUUUGAUUUAGAAUGCCAGCGUUAUAGGUGUUGCAACUAUUUAGAAUGCCAUAAUGCAAUUGAGAAUUGGGUUUACUACAUGCUAUUUUGCUUAAUAAAAAACCAUCUUUAAGCAAUAUUUUUUUUUAAAUGGGGAUUUUUUUAAAGCCCUUUUAAAUAACAUGUUUUUGUAAAAGGCCGACAGGAUACUUUUAACUAUUUUUAGCCAUCAGAAAAGAUUUUGGGAUAAAAAUACCCUUAAUGAGCCGUCUUCGUUAGCGUACACUCUCAAACAGGCGAAAAAUGAGAAAAAAAAAUAUGCAAAGAUUUGUUGUGCAAAAUACCCUUUUUUUUUCGAAGGUUGUGCAAAACAAAAUAAAGUUACAUGAGAUGGUUUUUUAGAGAUUUUGGACAUGGCAUUCGGAUAAUAGGAGAAGAGAGAUAUUAAAUCAAACGAGGAACAGGUCUUCAUGAAUGGAAAGCUUGGCUAAUGAUGUGAAACCAGAAAUCCUUGAUACGGUGGUAAAUUGAAAGGAGAAAGAUGUGAAUCCAAGCAGGAAAUGGUCCUGCUAUAGCAGGCCAUAUGUUAGAUGGCUGUCGCAGGGCAGGUCAGGGUUUAAAGUUUGUGAAACGUCAUGUUGGGAAUGUAUGACACGACACCGCUCAGAGUUGGUGAGACGCCAUUGAGGGAAUCUAUGACACGCUAGAGUUAAGAGUUGGUGACANNNNNNNNNNNNNNNNNNNNNNNNNNNNNNNNNNNNNNNNNNNNNNNNNNNNNNNNNNNNNNNNNNNNNNNNNNNNNNNNNNNNNNNNNNNNNNNNNNNNNNNNNNNNNNNNNNNNNNNNNNNNNNNNNNNNNNNNNNNNNNNNNNNNNNNNNNNNNNNNNNNNNNNNNNNNNNNNNNNNNNNNNNNNNNNNNNNNNNNNNNNNNNNNNNNNNNNNNNNNNNNNNNNNNNNNNNNNNNNNNNNNNNNNNNNNNNNNNNNNNNNNNNNNNNNNNNNNNNNNNNNNNNNNNNNNNNNNNNNNNNNNNNNNNNNNNNNNNNNNNNNNNNNNNNNNNNNNNNNNNNNNNNNNNNNNNNNNNNNNNNNNNNNNNNNNNNNNNNNNNNNNNNNNNNNNNNNNNNNNNNNNNNNNNNNNNNNNNNNNNNNNNNNNNNNNNNNNNNNNNNNNNNNNNNNNNNNNNNNNNNNNNNNNNNNNNNNNNNNNNNNNNNNNNNNNNNNNNNNNNNNNNNNNNNNNNNNNNNNNNNNNNNNNNNNNNNNNNNNNNNNNNNNNNNNNNNNNNNNNNNNNNNNNNNNNNNNNNNNNNNNNNNNNNNNNNNNNNNNNNNNNNNNNNNNNNNNNNNNNNNNNNNNNNNNNNNNNNNNNNNNNNNNNNNNNNNNNNNNNNNNNNNNNNNNNNNNNNNNNNNNNNNNNNNNNNNNNNNNNNNNNNNNNNNNNNNNNNNNNNNNNNNNNNNNNNNNNNNNNNNNNNNNNNNNNNNNNNNNNNNNNNNNNNNNNNNNNNNNNNNNNNNNNNNNNNNNNNNNNNNNNNNNNNNNNNNNNNNNNNNNNNNNNNNNNNNNNNNNNNNNNNNNNNNNNNNNNNNNNNNNNNNNNNNNNNNNNNNNNNNNNNNNNNNNNNNNNNNNNNNNNNNNNNNNNNNNNNNNNNNNNNNNNNNNNNNNNNNNNNNNNNNNNNNNNNNNNNNNNNNNNNNNNNNNNNNNNNNNNNNNNNNNNNNNNNNNNNNNNNNNNNNNNNNNNNNNNNNNNNNNNNNNNNNNNNNNNNNNNNNNNNNNNNNNNNNNNNNNNNNNNNNNNNNNNNNNNNNNNNNNNNNNNNNNNNNNNNNNNNNNNNNNNNNNNNNNNNNNNNNNNNNNNNNNNNNNNNNNNNNNNNNNNNNNNNNNNNNNNNNNNNNNNNNNNNNNNNNNNNNNNNNNNNNNNNNNNNNNNNNNNNNNNNNNNNNNNNNNNNNNNNNNNNNNNNNNNNNNNNNNNNNNNNNNNNNNNNNNNNNNNNNNNNNNNNNNNNNNNNNNNNNNNNNNNNNNNNNNNNNNNNNNNNNNNNNNNNNNNNNNNNNNNNNNNNNNNNNNNNNNNNNNNNNNNNNNNNNNNNNNNNNNNNNNNNNNNNNNNNNNNNNNNNNNNNNNNNNNNNNNNNNNNNNNNNNNNNNNNNNNNNNNNNNNNNNNNNNNNNNNNNNNNNNNNNNNNNNNNNNNNNNNNNNNNNNNNNNNNNNNNNNNNNNNNNNNNNNNNNNNNNNNNNNNNNNNNNNNNNNNNNNNNNNNNNNNNNNACAGCAUUUUACUUGAUAUGCAUGUCGUGUCACAGAAUUUUACUUGUUAUGCAUGGCGUUUGACAGCAUUUUACUUGUUAUGCAUGGCGUUUAACAUCAUUUUACUUGAUAUGCAUGUCGUGUCACAGAAUUUUACUUGUUAUGCAUGGCGUUUGACAGCAUUUAACUUAAUAUGCAUGGCGUGUUACAACAUUUUACUUAUUAUGCAUGGUGUGUCACAACAUUUUACUUGUUAUGCAUGGCGUGUCACAACAUUUUGAUUGCAAUGCAUGGUGUGUCACAACAUUUAUUCCUUAUAUAUGUGUUCAGUGUACCUUGUUGCACAUGACUGCUUAACUCUCUGGUGUAUGUGUGCCAUAUUUUGCAGAUCCAACGCAGAGAGUAUGAGGAUCUUGAGAGUUUGCUGAUCGUGCCGAGGGAGAAGUAGGCGUUCAAUGUCGCAAUUAACACUCACUAUAAGUGGUCGCAGCUGCAUUCCAUCACAAAGACUCUCUAACAGAAGGGGGAGUACGAUCCAGUUAAGCGUACCUGCUUCGGAAUGCUCUUGGACGUAUAUCCACAGGGGUACUUUUACGUCGGUCUCUUGCACAACAUCAUGAUUCACCGGAUCACUGAGAGGCAGUCAAUGGACCACGAGCUAUGGUUUGCCAUUGGCAAGAGCAAGGCGCGACUAUCAAAGCGGGAGUUCUGUCUCAUCACCGGGCUGAAGUUUGGUCCAAUGCCCGAUGUGUUCAGACGAUCAUACGAGGUUGCUGCAGAUGGAAUUCAUGCAAGAUACUGGAACGGGGAGGACAGCGUUAAGCUGCAGGCUUUGCUUGAUACCUUCCGCGGGGGUAACUUUCAGCGACCAAGAGAUGCGACCAAGAUGGCACUCGUCUUGAUCGCGAAUAACAUUUUAUUUGGUCAAGACUACCAUAGACGGGUGACGCCUUAAUUGCUGUCAUUGGUGGAGGACAUCGACGUUUGGAAUGUCUUCCCAUGGGGGCACUAUGUUUGGAAACUGACCUUGGACUACCUUUUGAAGGGGUUCGAAGUUCCUGACUUGAGCGUGACAAAGGAAACUCGGUUACGUUACAACAUUUACGGAUUCGCAUGGGUGAUACAGGUACUAAAACGUAACAUUUUUCAAUUUCCUUUCGAAAAAAAAAUUUAUGGGUGUAGUCGUUUAUGAUUGACGGUCUGAUAAUGGUUACAUUUGGCAUGCAGUUAUGGGCAAUGGAGACAAUUUCGGCCCUCCGAAAAAUAGUUGCCCUCUCUGGUCAGAAGGACAACGUCCACCCAUGAAUGUGCAGAUGGGAUUGCAAUCAGAAGCCAAAAGACUUCUACAGGACAAUUCAGAAGUUAGAGUCAUCUGACCAAGUGAGUGAACAACUGUUAAUUUUUACGUUAUAUUUGUAAAAUAAUUUUCCUUAUUCGAUAAUGACAACAUUUUAUUUGUUUAUUUGUAGUUGUGGGCACUGGAGGCGUUGUAACCCACCACGGAUGAGGCCCUCCGGGAGUAUUUUGUGGACCUUGAUGUCCCGUUAUCAGAGGGCAACGAGUACGUGCCAAUAGGGCACAUGGAGGAUCGGUCAGCUUGGGGCUUAGGUGCGAGGCUAAAAAGGAAAAGCUUGAAGGAGAAAAGAGCCUCUGGUGGCACGAAGAGGAUGCACACCGCCGCUGCUUUAGUUGAUGAGUUGAUGGAUGAAGGGGACGACCAUGGUCAAGGCAGUGAACAGCCAGUAAGGACAAUUGUAACAGUUUUGUGUUCUCCAAUUCCAUUUGUGAUUAUCGAAUAACAUUUCUGUGUUUGCGGUUGGACCAUGGGUCGGCAGCUCCAGAACCACCCACCGGUCUUCCUCAAAUGCAAAGUGGAAACGACCUGUCGGUAAGAUCGGUUCUAACGGUUUGUGUUCUACAUUCUCACAUAUGUUUAUCGAGUAACACAGUAAUUUAUGUAAUUGCAGUUUACGGAAGCGACGACAGGUCCUCAAGCACCGAUAGGUCCAGCUCAACCGCAGACUGCUAACUAGCCGGCGGUAAGGAUAUUAAAGUUAUAACAAUUAAUGUUCAACAAAUUCAUACAUGAUUAUUGAAUAACACAAUUAAAUAUGUAAUUGCAGUAUGCGGAAGCGACAAUAGGUCCUGAAGCACCAAUCGGUUCGGCUCCACCGCAGACUGCUAACGAGCCGCCGGUUAGGAUAUUAAAGUUGUAACGGUUAAUGUUCAAUAAUUCCAUAUAUGAUUAUUGAAUAACAUAAUUAUAUAUGUUAUUGUAGUUGACCUAGUCGAGAACAGUCAAUGACGGAGCAGUCACAACUCGCCAGCUCCGAUGGAUCAUGCGCAAGCAUGAAAAAGAUAUGUUGGAGCUGAAGGCUUCAAUUCAGUCAUUGAGUGUAGCAAUGUAGACGAUUGAGGACCAUAUUGUUGGUCGGAUUCUUGACGGCCUUAAAUCACAAGUACGCUAUUCUAUCUUCGCUUGUAUUUUGAUGGUUUACGUUUAGCAACUAUUUAGACUGUGUUUUCUUGAUGGUUUUAACUGCUUUUUGGUCAUUAGCGGGUCAAGACAUUUCUAUUAUAGUUAGUUGUUGUCGUGUCAGCUUUAGCGUGUCACAACAUUAUAUAUGUUAUUUAUGGCGUGUCACAACCUUUGAUUUUGAUAUGCAUGGCGUGUCAGAACAUUUUGCUUGUUUUCCUUGGCGUGUCACCAAGUUUAUCUUGUUAUGCAUGGUGUGUCACAACAUUUUCCUCAUUAUCCUUGGCGUGUCACCAAGUUUAUCUUGUUAUGCAUGGCGUGUCACGACAUUUUACUUGUUUUGCAUGACAUGUGACAACAUUUUACUAUUUAUGGGUUGUGGUAUUUUAUAAGCUAACUAACUGUUUUUCCAAUUUUGUAGGGCGGUCCAUCUCACAGUGCUGGUCUGGAGCACGAUGAUGCUGAUGAUGGACAACAUCAUGAACUUGGUGUUGACAUUGACGAUGACGUUUUUGGUGCUGAUGGAGAGCACGUAACUCAUGUAGAUGACGUCGUCGAAGAAGCUGUGGCAGUGGAUGUCACCCUUCAGUCAGAUGCUGAAGGAGAACAUCUUCCUCCGGCCUAUGCAUUCAUCGACGCAGCAGCAGGAGCUAUCGUUCAUUAUCGUGAGAGCACUCCUGAUACAGUUGAGAUACGGUUGUCGUCACCAGAGUCAUUUGCUGUCCAUCAUGGUGCAACAAAAGUUUCAAACCCAACUGAGCGGGCACGGUUGAAAAUGGUGAACAAAUACAUGGCAAGCCCAUUCGUCGACCCCUUAGUGACCCGUCGAAAUGUGAGGGAUAAUAUAGGAAAAGACUACGAAGCUUUCAAGAAAGAGGAGUCUGCGAGGUAAGCUCAUAAAUAAAAUUGCAAAUAUUGUUUUUCAAUGAAACAGUUAUCCACCAAGACUUAUGAAAUUAAUUAUGUUACAUAUGCAAGUGUAACAUCGGCAUCUUAGGGGAUCAAGGGGCUGACUUUUUCAUAACCUUAGAGGAUCCUAAUAAGGAAAUGACAAGUGAACAUAUCGACGCAUGCCUCAGCCUAUUCUGCAAGCGGAUGACAGGGCCGAAGUCGAAGUUGUACACUACCCGUGCAUGCAUGGUUGACACGAUAUUCUCCGUAAGUUUAUUUGAAAAUUGUUCAAUUCUAUAAAUACUAAGUUUUUGAUUGCAUGAAGUGUAAGCUAAUAUUUACAUGUUUUACAAGACACCAUCCGUAUACUACACACAGAAUUUCCAACAGAAGAUGCCCAAGCCAAAAUGUAAAUUCGAUGAGUUGCGGGGCUAUGUGGAGGGUGAAAGGCCAACGUACGCCAAAAAAUGGAAAGAUGUUGAUUUCAUCAUCGUGCCUUGCAACGUUGGUGGGCAUUGGGUGGUUGCGAAGAUCGACUUGGUGAGGUGGACGAUCAAGGUUGUGGACGAAGCAAUAACUUCGAAUGCUAAGGAUAACGGAGUUCGUGCGGGUCAGAUGACACCCUUGACGACAAUGAUGCCAUUAAUCUGCCACCAAGCCGGUUAUUUCAACAACAUACGUAGGAAGAGACGGGAUUUGACACCGAUGCCAUUGGAUAUUCAUUUACCAAAAACUAAAGUGCAUUGGCAGAAUGAUAGUGUCAGCUGCGGUAUGUUCAUGAUAGGGUACAUCGAGCAUAUUUUGCAAUCAGAAAAGAUCAGAAUUAAGCAGAAUAUGAUUGCAAAAAUGCGUCGGCAAUAUGCUCUGGAAAUUUUUUCCAACAAUUGGGAGAGUGAACCUUGAACAUAUAGGCCCUUGUUUGUAUAAUUUUUUUGGUACACAUAAAUUUUUUUAUACAAUUCAUUUUAUACACAUUUUUUGUACACACUUUUUAUUGAAUACAAUUCAUUGUAAACAGAUAUAAUUCUUUCUGUAUACACAAUAUACUUUGUAUAAUUAUUUGAUACACAAUUAACUUUUUUGCCUAUACACAAUUAAUUUGAUACCAAUAAUUUUUUUUCUUUUCUAUAUACAAUAUAUUUAAUUUGAUACACAGUCGGAAGAAGUCAGCGUGUGACACCUUAAAUAUGAUACCACUCAACGUGUCCCAACAUACAUCUGCUUGCACUAAGCGUGUCACCCAAAAAUUUAGCAAUUAGUCAACGUGUGAUGCCGUAAAUCCACUAACACUCGGCGUGUCAGCCGAUAAAUAUACUUCCACUCAGCGUGUUAGAAGAAUUGGGCCGUCGUGUGUCACCCCAGGUUGGCAUUAAUUAAUUUCUAGGUUCGUCGUCUUUCUUUUCCAGGCACACCGGCUGCACCAACCCAACAUUACAUUGAUUAACAUUGAAUAUAUAGAUUUUUCCAUCCAUCUAAUUGCUUCCAGCAUGAAAUUGUUCUGUAUCCAUCCUCCCUUAUUUUUCCAGUUGUUUCCAGGCCAAAAUUCUAUCCUGCCAUUAUAAAAUCAUACGUCUAAAUUUACACACCAGAACUUGUUAUGCAUGGCGGGUUAGAACAAUUUAAUUGUUAUGCAUGGCGUGUCGGAACAUUUUGCUUGUUAUCCUUGGCGUGUCACAACCUUUUACUUGUUAUGCAUGGCGUGUCAGAACAUUUUGCUUGUUAUCCUUGGUGUGUCACAACCUUUUACUUGUUAUGCAUGGCGUGUCAUUUCAUUUUUCUUGUUAUGAAUGGCGUGUUACAAUAUUUUAUUUGAUAUGCAUGGCGUGUGACAACAUUUAACUUGUUAUGCAUGGCGUGUCUCACAUUUAUUCUUUAUUUAUUUCUUCUGUAUACCUUGUUGCACAUUAUGGCUUAACUCAUUGGUGCAUCUGUCCUAUGUUUUGCAGAUCCAACGAUAUAGUAUGAGGAUCUUGACAUUUUGUCUGCUCGGUAAUUCUAUGAGGCCUUUUUAGUUACGGACUUUGUUGCCAAACAUUUCAGACAGAUAAGCAAAUACAUGGCUCUUGUCUGAUAAAGAUUGUAAUUAGAAACAUUUUUUACAAACAAAUAAGAAUGUACUUUAACACGAUCUUGAUCAGAUAGAGGCCUUGACAUGCUUAUCUGCCUGAAAUGUUUGGCAACAAAGUCCGUAACUAAAAGUGCCUCAUAGAAUGAUCGAGCAGACAAAUCCGUAAAGCAAAACGAAUUCAACUACAAUUUUCAGAUACAUUUAGUUAGGCGGUCAGGCUGUCUUCAUUCACAACACAGCUUACAUUUUCAGACAUUCUCCUUCGUAUUGGACAGUUGUUGCGUGUGUGAUCGAUUUGUCUGCAACUUGAACAUGCUUUGGGUCGGCGCAGUCGUGGAGUCGCCGAUUGACUUGGAGAUGGUGCUGGAUUUAUGGAUGGAACUGCAAAUGGGUAUGGGCAGUUCUGUCUGUCAUGCCCGUACCUCUUGCAUUGCGAACAUCUCCGUGCUUGACUGCCUUCACCAGCUGAUGGAAUCCUUCUCCUCCUAGGUUUUUCUGUUUGGCCUCGCCAAGGUGAAGGUAAGACGACAAUUUGUUUCACAUGAGGGAGGAUGCCCCACUCACUAGAAUGCCCUACCGGCCUAAUGGAUCCUGAAUAACCCUCCACGAAAACGGUUGUCUUGUAGUAGUCAGCGCAAAAUUCAAUGGCUUCACGAUUGCAUUUACUGAAAAACACUAAAAACUCAAUCUUCAAGCACAAUGUAAAGGCUAUGUCAAUUACGGUUCAAAUAAGAAAUAAAUAUAUUCUGACCUUAUUACUGCAAUGGCAUGGCUGCAUGGCAGUAAAUCUGUUUGGAACUCACAACAUGAACACGUCUUCCUGGACAAGUUUACAAGUCCAUCCAUCUUCCCGUCUUUAACUUCAAACUUCACUCGAUUGAUAAGCUUAACUAGAAAGCGAUGUGCAUCAUUGAACCUUUUACUCAACUACCUGGCAACCCAAGGGCUGAGGGGCGUGGUCACCUUGACGGCCUCUUCGUACCGUUCAUGGAACCAACACUGGAACAUGUCUUUGAUGAACUCGAUCAAAACAGUGAUCGGCAUUUGUCUUGCAUGCUUCAAGCAUGAGUUAACACAUUUCGCAAUGUUGAAUGUCAUCAUUUGGUAUCGCCUUGUCGGUGAACAUGCACGUGCCCAUUUCUCAGGCCCUAUUCUUAUAAAGUUCGCGUGGGCUCUCAGGUGAAUCUGCUGUAUUUGGUUCAUAUGUCUGUUGAAAUCAGCCACCUUAUAGCAAUCUUAAGCAAGGGUGAAAAGCAUACAAACAUCGUCACGCUUGAACUUGUUUUUAAAAUUUUUUUUCAAGUGGUAACCGCAUAAACCAUGGUGCGCUUCUGGGUAUGCAUUUUGGAUUGCUUUCUUAAUGCCGAGAUGCUGAUAAGAAAUGAACAUAGUGUUUUCAGGACAACCAACCGCAUCAUGCAGCUUAAGAAACCACAUCCACGAGUCUUCGUCCUCAACAUGGCCGAUGCCAAACGCAACUAGAUAUAUGCACUCAUUCACAUCUUUGCAUACAGCGACAAAUAAAACACCUUUGAACCUGCCUUUCAGAUGUGUCGCAUCAAUUGCAACCGUAAGACGCAUUACAUCCCUAAACCCCCGAAUACAAGCCCUGUAUGACCAGAAACAAUAUUUGAAUCUCUCUUCCUCAUCAGUAGCCAUUGCAGUCACUGUGCCAGGAUUUUCUUGUUCCAACAUAUAAAAAUACGAUGGUAGUAGUUGGAAUGACUCCUCCGGUGGACCGAAAACAAGCCUCUCUGCAUACUCCUUCGCUUGCCAAGCCUUACCAUACAAGCAUUCCAAUCCCCACUGAACCCUCAUCUCACAAAUUAUGUCCUUAAGUCUCAAUGCUACUCCAUUACCCCGAAUCUUGUGUGACAUAAGUUCACCAAUCAUCUUCCCACUCGUAGUUGGAAACCGUCCUUGCAAACCAUCAAUGGUACAGGUAUGUACUUUGUGGAAUGUUCGAACUUUCCAAUAUUCUCCUCUAUCAGGUAACUUCAUUGCACGAACACUGAACUUGCAUGCCUUGUCCUUGCAACCAACCUCAUAACGAGCUUUACAUGACUUUUUUACUCUUAUCGCAAACUUCUCUUUUAUAACCAACAUGUUCAAAGCUCGUUUCAACUUUGCCUUCGACGAAAACAUUCUUCCUUUGUAUAAGCGAUCUUCGGCACAUGUCGACUCCUCAGUGGUAAUUGUUUGGAAGAAGAACCUUUCUGCACCUGUAAUUACCUACAUACGAGAUAUCCUUGCAUUUCCCCUUUCCUGAUCACUAUCAUCGAGCAAUGUAUCAAAGGAACGAAUCUCGUUCUCACCAACGAUGGGGUUAUUGUAUAUGGGGUCAUCACACUGAACAUCUCCUACAUUAACACCUCCAAUAGGUUCCGUUUCGCCUUCAACAUUAUUGCAAACUCGAAUGUCACUGUCAUAAAGGCAGUCAUCGUCUAAACUGUCACCUUGCGAUUGUUCAAGCCCAUCAUCUGAAGUGUGAUCAAAUCUAUCUUCACCGGCAGCGAACAAAUUCUCAUUUCCCUCAUCAAAUGCAGUAUUAUACUCCAACGUCGCAGUGUCACCCUCCAACCUCACAUUGAUAUCCUCAACUAUCGUAUUCUCAUUUGACAAUGGCAUUUCACACUCUACAGUUUCACCCGAUCAUUGCAUUUGUUCAAGAGAAGAAAGAAAUUGGUUUAAUGCACAUCCUGAUGGAAAUUGUGCAGCCAACUGUUCUGUUAAUGUCGUUUGUCUACCGGGCUGCACAAACUCUUGUGCAUACCUCAAUUGCCAUUGUUGUGGGUUACGGACCGAAUGCUGUGGUAUAUGUGAAGCAUUUUAAAUCUCAUUUUAAUUCAGUUGAUUACUAUGUUGUCCAACUUCUCCAUGUGACAUAACAUUUGUUUGGCGUCUCUUAAUGCUGACAUACACAGCCGGAACAUUCCUCUGUUCUAGCAAAAUUAAUGCAACAUCUUCAUCGUCCUUGAUAAUUGGCCGUGAUAGCUCUCCAAGUGUACUGAUCAAUGCAUGUAACUCAAUCUCGUCAAUUUCUAAGUUUACCCCAACAACAUCUUCAACCAGCUUUAUCAAGCCCAUAAACGACAAAUCACUCUUAACCCCCCGCAUUCGUGACUCACCACCCUUGUAAAUGCCAUCCAGCCACUGACCAUCGUGUCUUAUCACAAGUCGCAUAAUUGAAACCCCACUGAAAUUUUGAAAAAAAAAUUAUCAAUCAUUUUACACAAUACAUGCCGUGAUAAAAAAUUUGUCAGUCGUGUUGUUACACGCCAUGCAAAUAACGUAAAAUGUUGUAACACGCCAUGCAUAUCAAGUCAAAUGUCGUGACACGCCAUGCAUCAGUAUCGUUACACGUCAUGCAUCACUGUCGUGACACACCAUGCAUCACUGUCUUGACACGCCAAUCACUGUAAUUACUGACUGGUUACACCAACAUCCGUGACACGCUAAAAACCCAAAAAACCAGUUAACCCAUGACACACCAGGAACAGCCAUGACACGCCAAAAACCCAUAAAUUCAGUUAACCCACCACACCCCAAGAACAGCCGUGACACGCUAAAUAACUCUUCACUCAUGUUAUAGAUGCAUGGCGUGUAACAACUUUGGGCAAUGUUUCUAAUCCAUCUUAUCAUUUACACCAAAUGUUUCAAAAAUUUAAGUGUGUUGCAGAAAUAAACCUAAUAACAGGUACCUUGAUGUCAUCUCUGCUAUAGGGUGUGUUAAUCUACGACAAUGUGGCCAGAUGUCGAGAGAUAAACCACAGCCCGAUGACGAUGGUGCUCAACAGAGAGUUGACAGAGCUCAUACAAUUCAAAGAUUUGAGAGAGCUGACAAUGAUGGUGCUCAACAGAGACUUGCCACAGUUGAGACAAAGAAAGAUGACCGAGCCCAAACAGCUUUGUGCAUUUAUUUUUAAUGUUUUUCAUUUUCUCUCUGGUAGGAGGCAGAUAGCUCAAACAGCUAAGCAUUUAUUUGAAACGAUAUUUUUAAGGGCAUUUUGGUCUAAUUCAUGUUUAUUUUUGGGUAGAAACAGAUAACUUUAUAUGGGUGGUUAUUUCUGAAAUCACCUUAUCACGAUAUCCUUCUCUCACAAUUUCCUCUUUUUAAAUUUGGGAAGAAGCUUGCUAGGAGUUCUCUCUCUGUCCCUUAAGGGUUGUGUGCUUGUGGGGGGUGGGUGUUGGGGCACCCCUAGACCCAAUUUGAGACUGUUGUGAGUACUCAGAAUAAAGGAAAGAAAUUUUUGUGUUUAAGAUUGAAAAAUCACUUUCACAUUACAUCAGCAACGAAGAUGCUAUAUCUUGCUAAUAUUCUGGAACUUGUUAUCCUUUGAAAGGCAAAAAUUAGAUAUGUCUUCAGUAUGUUUUAUUACUAGGAGAUUGAUUCUUCAACAUGAGUAGGAUCUAUAAUUGCCUAUAUAUGAAGUUGGUCUUAAUACUUGUGAGUUGGUGGACUAUACUAGGGCAAUUAACUGAAAUCUUACGAAGGGGAAUUGUAGGGGAAAUUAUUUAGGAAACUAAGCAGUUGGAGUUUGGCUUUAAUGUAAAGAUAUUUUGGUAACUAAGCAAUAAUGGUUUGGCUUUAAUAUGAAGAUAAUUAAGUGAUUUCCACAAGUUUUAUUAUAAGUAAUAUGAUAUAAGAUGCACUUAAGCACUUAGCUUUAUGAUUUGUGCAUGUAUCCCUUGCUAAAAGAGCUGGUUUUAAAUUACCCUCCCCUAAUGAAAUAAAAUAAAACAUGAUAAUUGAUGGUUGUGCCCUCAAACUUUUGCCUUCAUAUGGUUUAUGUUGGUGGAAUUAAAACAAACUCUUUUGAUGAUCUUAGUGUAGAAGAAUCUGGUACAUUUUAGGGCUUAGCAUACUAAAUUAAACUAUGUCAUAAUUCUCAAAACACUGCAUUGCUGACCUUUUUUUCAAGUCCAUACAUUAAGUAGUAGAAAUACCUGCAAAUGGUUCUAAAGCAUACUUAAAAUAUUACUGCAGUACUGAUCUGUUUGGUAUUUCAUUUUUCUUGAUGUUUUUAAUUCUAAUUGAAAAUCAUAAAUCUAGUUGACAUUCUGAGCUCUUAGUUUCUAUGUUAAUUUAACAUACUGCAGAUUGUGGUUCUGGCAUAGGAAGAAUAACCAAGAAUCUUCUCAUAAGAUAUUUUAAUGAGGUAAGGUCAUUUUUCUCUUUCUAUUAGCAUAUUUUUAAUAUUUCUGACAUUUACCAUCUUUGCAGUUUAUUGAUAACAUGGUUCAUAGUGCAUAAUUUUUACUACCUAAAGAAUUUCUCAGUUGUAUUUGAAUGAAAAGCAAAAUUGGGUAGUGCCUUUUAAAAAAUUCAUGCAGGACAUGAGGAGGGUACCCAUUAAUUUCAAGGUACCUAAACCUUAACCCUAUAAAAAAUCAAAUAUCUAAACCCUAUUAAUUACCUGAAUAAUUUUAAAAGUUACUACCCUAACCUUAACCUUAACCCUAAUACAUUCCCGCUAUCCUAUAAUUACCCUAACCUAUUUAAAAGCCCGAUUAGAUAAAAAAUUUAUUAAAAUGUUCUUCAUGGGUACCCAAUUACCUAAACCCGAACCUGUAUUCAUAUACAAUAAUAUUUCUUCUACAUUUUACAUAUAAUUAACUACUAAUUAAAUUAAUAAAAGCACAAAUAAUAAAAUUUAAAUUUAAAUAAUCAAAAACUAUAAAGUGUGUUUAUAAAUUGAACAUAAUAUAUAAUAUAAAUCAAUAUUAUUUUAUUGUUUAAUAGUUAUUAACUUAUAUAAUAGCAAUGAUAUUCUUUAUAAAUGAACAUAAUAAAUAAUAUAAAGUAUAUGUAUUAAAAGACAAUACAAGUUAUAUACUAUAAAGUGUGUAUAUAUAAAUUAUAAUUAAUAAUUUUAUAAAUUUAUAUUUUAUAANAAAUUAUAAUUUUUAUAAUGUUAACAAAAAAUAAAAAGUAAAUACAUUUAUUUUUAAAGUGUAUAUAUAUAUAUAUAUAUAUUAAAAGUAUUUUAGUGUAUAUAUAUAAUAGUGAUUAUAUUCUUUAUAAAUGAACUCAAUAUAUAUAAAGUAUAGAUAUUAAAAGAUAUUACAAGUUAAUUAAUAAUCAUAGUUUCAUUAAUUAAUUUAAUUAAUUAUAUGAGUUUGUCCUUUACUACAAGAAAUUAAAAAAAAUAGUUAAGUUUCAAAACUAUUCUAAUCUCACAACUUCUUUUUAGAUAAUUAAGUUUAUCUAUAUAAAAGUAUCUAUAUUAUAAUUAAUAAUUUUAUAAGUUAUAAUUUUUGUAAUGUUAACACAAAAUAAAAAGUAAAUAUGGUUAUAUUUAAAGUGUGUACACACACUAAAAAUGUUUUAUUAUAUGUAUAAUAGUAAUUAUAUUUUUUAUAAAUGAACCCAAUAUAUAUGUAGACACUAGUUUUUUAGGUGAAAUAAACAUUAAAAAAAUAAAAGAAAAAAGAAAAAAAGAGAGAAAAUCAAAAAAAUAAUAAAACAAAAAUCAUAAACAAAAAUGAAUUAAAAAUAAUAAUAAUAAAAAUAGGAGAGAGAGAGAGAGAGAGGGGUACGACUGGUAGGGUGCGGACGCACCCUGCCAGGCACCACCCUCACUUUGCUAUACACGAAAAAUUCGCGUCUAGCAGAGUAAUGGGAGCGUGCCCCCUUUUGCCCAGUAUAAAGGGGGCACUAUAGCACAGGGAUCGGAGGAAUCGAUAAUAAAAAAAAUACCUUGGUAACAUUCAGCAACCAAAAAACCCUAGGAAUCUCUUAAAACCGAAAACAAACCCAGAAAAAAAUCGCUUGGAGUAAAAAACCUGCAAACCAAAAAUUCCUAAGAAUCCCUAGCAAAAUCUAGCAACCAAAACACCCAGCCACAAUCAAAAACAUCCUAAGCUUUCUAGCAGCCAGAAACCAUCCACAAUCGAAACAAAAAAAUUAAAAAAUCACAAAAAGGGAAAACGGGUAGCCGUGUUCUCUUUUUGGGGAUUUUUAGUUUGUUUUUUUAGGGGAGAUUUGGAGGGGAUUUCAGCAACCGAUGAGGUAUUUGAGUUUGGGGAUUUCGUGCCGCCGUAGUAGAGAGAGAGAGAGAGAGAGAGAGAGAGUGAGUGAGUGAGUGAGUGAGGAUUUGGGGUUUUUGGGAUACCACCGGUUUUAGAGAAAUAGAGUUAGGGCUUGGGUUUGCUACCGGUUCAAGGAAGGAUUGACCGGCGACUAGAAGGGAAGAUCUAGUCGGUCGACGACAGGGAGGGUAGAGCCAGAUUCAGACGGUAAAGAGAGAGCAGAAUCAGGCGAUCGGCGGUGAGGAGUGUGAUGCACCGUUUGAGCAGGAAAGGAACAGGAAAGUGGCUGUCGGUGAAGGGUUUUUGAGAGAGAGAAGCUGACGCCGGUGAAGAGGGGAAGGAAGAAGAGUUUUUUGGAGAGAGAGGACAGUAAUCGGCGGCUAGACAGAGAAACAAAAGGUAGAAAAUGAAAGGUUCUAGGGAGAAGAAAGAAAGGUGAGCGGUAAGGGAGAAGAAAAGAAAAAAGAAAAAAAAAGGGAAGGUUUUUCUCCAUUGCACCAAACAAUGCCGUUUUGGGCAUACCAGGGGUGGCUGUGUAAAGCACCAGACAGUGGGCUUAGUGAAGAUCGUGGGUCAACAGGUUAGCUUGGGCCCACUUAGCCCAAUCAGGUAAAAUAUUACUCAUUGCCAAAUGGGUCUGUGGUGAUUUGGGCUGUCUAAACUGUUAUGAUAUGGCUUGUUUAGAUUUAACCCAAUUUAUUUAGUUAGAGCUUUAAUACUUGAUGAUAUAAAAUUAAUUUUAAGUUAUUAUAAUGUUCUAAAAAUUUCUGGAUAAUAGUCCUAGGGUUAGGAAAUUACUAAAGAACAGAAUAACAUAAAAAUAAGGAUAGCAAAUAUAUAUAUAAAAAAUAAUAAUAAUAACAUUUUAGAAAGCGUUUAGUUAUGCAAAGAACUUAAGUUUAGGAGAAUGUUUAUUGCAAAUAUAUAAAUAACCCUUUUAAAUACAUGUAUAUAAAAAUAAUAUAUAAAAAAAUAUAUAAAAAUUACCAUGACAUCAACUACAAAUAUAAUACUGAUGAUGGGAUGAUUGGUCGGGACGGUAGGAGUCGCAAUCCCAAGCUAAUUUUCUUUAGGUUCGGAAUCCAAAUUAAGGCUUCACCAGUACGAUGGGAGGGCCUCGAUUUUGAGAUUCUGAGAUUUUUAUUCUAAAUAAAUAAAAUUUUACUACAUAAAGAAAAAAUUAGUCAAAAAAUAAUAAAUAAUAAAUAAAUAAAAAUAGAAAAAAUAAAAAUAAAAUAAGCAUAAACUUCACGAACAUAACAUAUAUUUUUAUUGCAUCAUGCAUACCAUUGCAUAUAAGUAUUUUUGUUUACGAGUUAAGCCCCGAUGAUGGGAUUUUUCGAGGAUCUUGUGAAGGUUAGUAUUUCUUGGAAAGUUUCCUAGGUGAAAAGAUGUCUUCGGGUCCCACCAAUAUGAUGGGAGGGCUCGAAAAAACAUCUUUAAUAAAAGGCUUUCGCUCGUAUUAGGUUCAUUAUUCACGAAAAUAUUAUUUUUUAAAGAAAAACGUGCGAUAACCCCGAUGAUAGGAUUUAUUCGUUGAAUUUGUGAAGGCGAAUUUCUUGGAUAAUUCUCUAAGUAAGAGAACACCCCGGAUCCCACCAGUAUGAUGGGCGGAUUCGGGAGAACGUCUUCGAUAAAAGGUUAUUCGUUCGACAUUUUUUAUCUCACGCCGUGCAUUUCAUUUUACCUUACACUUGCAUUUCAUUUUAAAAUCAAACAAAAUAAUUUAAUAAAAUUGGAGAUAUAAUAAGCAAGUUAUAGCUAAGGAAAUUAAAUGAACUUAAAAAAUAAAGCCUAAUAGGAUAAUCUAAAAAUAGUACCGUUCAUGGAACGGGCGUUUCAGGGGUGUUAAUCUUUCUCCGGGCGUAACCGUACUCCCGAACCUAGAUCUCGAAAAAUGUAGAACAAUUUAAGAUUCUUUCGACGGGCUUAAAUCUAAUUAAAACUCUAUCGAUUAGAAUCGAGUUAAUAGAUGGCCAAUCACACUUAGUAAAAAAGAUUGGUAGCGACUCCUAGUUUUUAGAGUUUUCACUCACGUCUAGCGGUUGGGUUCCCGGACCUGCACGUUACGACAAUAUAUAAAGUAAAUAUAUUAAAAGAAAUUACAAGGUAAUUAAUAAUCAUAGCUUUAUGAAUUAAUUUAAUUAAUUAUAUGAGUUUAUCCUUAAUUAUAUGAAAUUAAAAAAAAUAACUAGGUCUCAAAACUAUUCUAAUCUCACAACUUCUCUUAAGCUUUGCAUAUUAUAAGUUUAUAUAAACAAAGGUAUAUAUAUUAUAAUUAAUAAUUUUAUAUGUUAUAAUUUUUUUAAUUUUACUACAAAAUAGAAAGUAAAUNAUAUUUCUCUUACAUAUUCUAUAUAAUUUACUAAUGAUUAAAUUAAUAAAAACACAAAUAAUAAAAUUUAAAUUUAAAUAAUCAAAAACAAAUAUCUCAAAUAUAACUAAUAGAAAGUAAAUAUAUUUAUAUUUAAAGUACAUAUACAUACACACACAUUAAAAGUAUUUUAAUAUAUGUAUAUAUAUAAUAGUAAUUAUAUUCCUUAUAAAUGAAUCUAAUAUAUAUAAAGUAUAUAUAUUAAAAGACAUUACAAGUUAAUUAAUAAUUAUAAUUUUAUGAAUUAAUUUAAUUAACUAUACGGAUUUAUCCUUAAUUACAUAAAAUUAAAAAAAAAACAUAACUUGGUUUCAAACUAUUCUAAUCUCACAACUUCUCUUAAGCUUUGCAUAUUAUAAGUUUAUAUAAACAAAAGUGUAUAUAUUAUAAUUAAUAAUUUUAUAUGUUAUAAUUUUUUUUAAUUUUAAUACAAAAUAGAAAGUAAAUAUAUUUAUAUUUAAAGUGUAUAUAUACUAAAAUUAUUUUAGUAUAUAUAUAGUAGUAAUUAUAUUUUUUAUAAAUGAACUCAAUAUAUAUAAUGUAUAUAUUAAAAAACAUUUCAAGUUAAUUAAUAAUUAUAGUUUAAUAAAUUAAUUUAAUUAACAUAUAUGUUUGUAUUUAAUUAAUGAAAUUAAAAAAAAUAGUUAGAUUCAAAAACUAUUCUAAUCUCAAAGACUCUCUUUAAGUAUAUAUAUUAUGAGUUAUAAUUUUUGUAAUAUUAAUACAAAGUAAAAAGUAACUAUAUUUAUAUUAGAAGUAUAUAUAUAAUAGUAAUUAUAAUCCUUUGUAAUAUGAUAUGAUAUUCAUAUUAUUUAAACAUAAUUUAUAAUCUAAUAAUUUUUUAAUUGAAAUAUUUUAAUGUAAUCACAUUAAUAAUUUGAGUAACCAGACUUUUUAAUAUAUUUGUCAGCUUUUAAUAAAUAUAUUAAUGUUGAUUAUUUUUAAUUUAAUCAUUUAAAUAACAACAAAAUAUAUAUAAACAGGUAUUGGGAUCGAGUUCGAGGUGGGUACCCGUGUAACUUGAAUAGUAACAUAAUCGGGUUCAGGUAGCGGGUACCCAAGAGGUACUACCCCGAACCUGAUAUGGGUAGUGAAAUCACUAUCCGAACCCGUCCUAAACUUGAUUAUAGGGUAUCUUAAUCCGAUAUAACCGGGUUGGAUACCUGUGGGUAUCUUAUAAUAGGGUAUGCAUUGCCAUCCCUACACAUUAAUAUGUAAUUCCAAUACAGUGAACAUGAUGUGGAACAUGGUGGACUUUUUCUUUUUCCUCUCUUUUUCUUUCAUCGAAUGAUAUGAAUCAGUGACAUAGUAUUAGUUGGAGCUACUAUCUUAAUAAAGCUGCAUAGUACUUUGUGAUAGCUAUGCUUUUGGACCCCUCUUCCCUUUACCAUUCUCCAGGUUGAUCUACUUGAGCCAGUUUCGCAUUUCUUAGAUGCUGCCCGUGAAAGUUUGUCUCAGGAAUAUUUUGUAGCCUCUGAUGCGCACAAAGCAAAUAAUUCUACUGUGUCUCCCUUCAGGUCAUGUACUUCAAGACUACAUUCACACAUGGAUACAUGCUUCUUGAUGUCUUGAAGUAUUCAUAACUAUGGUUAAGUCCAUGUAAGCUAUGUAUUUCCAACUUUUCACGUUUCCCUAUAUUGCGGAUGUAGCCAUGUAAUUUGCACCUCAAGCAGGCAUGUUGUUUGAGUACAAUCCUGGGAAAAACUUACAGAAGUUAAGGUAAACAUGUUAAAUAUGGGUUUGCAUCUGGAACUCACAUUUGAAUCUGGGCAACAUAGUCUGUACUCUGUAGGCGGCUGGAUUCAAGUAAAUUUUUGCAAACAAUUAUUUACUCUUUUGUGUGUGUUGGGGUGGGGGGGGUAGGGGACAGCAUAUGGGCUAGUGAAUGAGCCCUUUAAGUUGGUGAUAUAUGUGCUUGUCUUCUUCUGAUGCUUCUGGCUGUUAAAUUUUACUUUAUAAAACAGAAAUUUGACGACCAUUUUUUUUUUGUCUUUUGCUUUUUCAGGAGUUCACCCCUGAUGCUGGAAGGUACAAUGUUAUUUGGAUUCAGUGGUGCAUUGGUCAUCUCACAGAUGACGACUUUGUCUCAUUUUUUAAGAGAGCAAAGGUGAAUAAAUCUUCUUCUUGAGACAGAACUUACUUUUUAUUUGACAUGUUGUGCUGUGUGGAAGUGCAUGGAAAGAUCAAAAUUAUGUAUUGAAAUUUUCUUGCCUGCUGUCUACUAUACAUUCGAAGUGCCUUGUUCUGAUUUUUGAAUUAUGAACUGUCAGAUCAUUGCAAUGGUAUCUCAAAUUUUCCUUUUCCAAAUUUAUUGCUUCAUGCUUUCUCUCUUGUAACGUCUUUUAAACCUUCUCACAGCUAUAGGAAUUAAGGUUGUCUAGAGAACACAACAUAGCAAACACCGGAAGGAUGAUAUCGUCAAACUCUUUUUUCUUUUUGCCCUUUCUUUUUGCAAUGUGUCGUGUUGUUCAUUCUAUUCUUCUUCCUGCUAGGUAACUAGCGCAUUUGAUGGGUUAGUUUGGAGUGUUUGGGCCCAUCCCUAGCACCACAGAAACAAGGCUGGAUAAUACUUUAUAAUUCAUACAGCUAUUUUGCUAUCAUCCGUUUUCUCACCUUACAAAAGCUUGUGACCAAAUUUUGUUGUGCCUUGUGCAUUGAAAUAAGAUUUAAGAAAUGAUGGUAGGUUGACUUUUGUCCCUUAAGUUUGUAAAUGGUGGGAAAUAAAAUUAAAUCUAGAAAGUGCCAUAUUCAUUUCAUUUUUUCCAGGUGCUGUUAAGCAUAACCUUUUACACUGCCUUCAAUGUAUUUUCAUCAAAAUUAAGCAAAACAUAUUAAUAAUAAAAAUCUCCAACAAGGAAAUUCUUGGGCAUGUGUAUGUGUAUGUAAUUUGGAGACCUGAUCUCUAAGUUGUGUCCUGGAAAGAACCUUGUUGAAAAUUAUUAUUCUUGCAUAUAUGAUUUAAAAGAUUCUAAUUUGCAUUUUAAUUUGAUAUACUAAUGAAUUUGUUGAUUCCAGGUAGGCCUUAAACCUGGUGGAUUCUUUGUCCUGAAAGAGAACAUUGCUAGAAACGGUAUUGUCUUUAUGACUCUUUGAUUUUUCUAAGCAUGUUUGUUUGCCCUCCCUCCCUCUCUCCCUCCCCUUUUUAAGAAGUGCUCAAGUUUUGUUUAAAGUAUUCCUCAAACUUUCUUAUGUUUUGGUAUUCUGUUGUAAAUUUUCGUGAAGCUGUUUUUUUUUUUUGGAAAUGCCGCAUGUCAUCUCACGUAUGAGAAGACAUAAAGUUGCUUUUUUGAGCUGAUAUUACUUUUUAACUUCGUCUUAUUAUGUAAUUAUCUGCCCUCUACAACUUUGAAGUAAAAUAAUAGUUUAUAAUAAUAGAUGUUCAAUUAAAAGAUAAAUGGAUAAAGGAAUUUUUAAGCUCCAUUUACACAAUCCAUUGCUUGAUACUAAGGGAAGCAGCAAGUUUUUGUUUUAUGCAUUCCUCAAACUUUCUUAUUUUUUGGUAUCUUGCGGUAAAAUUUUCAUAAAGUUGCUUUCUAGAGCUGAUAUAACUGAUUAACUUUGUUUUAUUAUGUAUUCAUCUGCCCGCUACUGCUUGAAGUAUACUAGUUAAUGUUUUAAAUGUUUAAUUAAGGAUAAAUGGGUAAAGGAAUAUUUAAGCUCCAUUGUCUUAUUUCGUUGCUUGAUACCAAGGGAAACAGCCAAAAAGUGUUGCAACUUAUAAUUCGCAGGUUCAGGAUGAGUUUCAUCUACUCAAAUGGGUAUGGGGUAUAAUUUUAUUAUGCCACCUAUUUGGGACACCUUUUGGUAACACUGUCUAUACAACUUUCUUCACUGAAAAUUCAUGAUGUAGUGGGGAAGUAGAAACAAUAACAAGAAACCAAAACAGUGAACAAAACCAGAACAAAGGUUAAAAUUGAGGUAAAACCGAAGUCGUAACAAGUUACAAGCCAGUAAGGCCAAUUGUCGAGCAUCUUAAGGUUAAAUAAACAAGUCACUCCCAUCUCAUCUGUAAUAGAUUGAUUCAAACCAGCUAGAUAACGAGAAGUCAACUGCUCAUUAGUCUCUUUCAAACCAACCCUAGGGAAAGGUCGUUGAAACCUGAAUGAAAUUUCUCAUUCAACUCCAUUUAAUCAGCAGCGGAAAUUGCCUCCUCAUCUUCAUUUUCAUGUGUUCCCAAGUGUUGAUUUUGGCUUGCCUGGAUGUGUUUGCUGCUCGUCAACUCUCUUCCACCAUUGAAGUGCACGCAGUCCCUUCAACUUAAGCUUCACAAACAGCACCUUUCUUUGUUCUGCCAUUGGUUUCUACUAAAAAUAAUUUUCGAAACUAUCUUUCUGAUCUGAAUAAUCUUUUGCAUGCAUCUUUUUCCGGAAGUCAUCUACCUUAAUUCUAACUCCACCACCAUUGAAGUCUAGGCAUGUAACAAUCAGCCUUCCAAUCUACCACAAACAGCACUAUUUGCUGGUCGAGCAUUAUGAAAGGGGUUUUUAUCCUCUCCAUAUUCAAUUUCAUCCUCAAGAACACCUACCGGUAAACCGAAAGGGUCAGUAUUGCCUUGUGGAUUCUCCAUACAGGCUCCCAUUGGUUCCUGUCACUUUAAAGCUUGCACAGCCUGCAACAAAUCUUCAAUCAUACCCAUCAACUCAGCCAGUUCUAUUUGCCGGUCUUGAUUUCUUUUCCACGUCCGCUAACAAGUCCUCUACCACGAUUAGCCAUGGUUUAUAAGCUAAAAUCCUAGUUCAACUUUAAGAUCUCUUCAUCUGAUACCACUUUGAUGUAGUAUGGAAGUAGAAACAACAAAAACAAAAGAAAAACAAUGACGAAAACCAGAACAAAGGCUAAAAUUGAUCUUAAGAUCAUAGUAGGAACAAGUUAAAGCUGUCUAAAGUUACAGCAGCUUUUAAUUGUAGCCCUUCGAUACAAACAACCCCAUCUAAUCCUAGCCAUUCAAACUAAUUAAAAAUGAUCACAUGCUAAUCACGACACAUGACUAGAUAGAAAACAUAAUUACCAACUUUUAACUAAAGUAAAACAUAAUAAAAUAACCAAUUGGAGAAAAAUUUAAGAAUGCUCUUGCAUAGCCUUGCCCAACAAUUAAACUUGCCUAAGGCUUGACUUAACCUAGGACUUAAGUCUCAUAAUUUGCUUGCAUUCAACUCACAAAAUACUUGGAUUCGAUCAGAUUAUUGUUGAGUUAUUCUUGAGCUCAAGUGACCAAUCGAGUCUAGUUCAAGUGUUUAUAUUACUCAGUCAAGAUAGUUCAAGAGCGUAAUCAACUUUUAAUUUUUUUAAUAUAUUUUAAAAUUCCAUGUAUGUAAUACUCAUAUAAAACUAAAUAAUACAAAGAUCAAUCAAGUCCAGCUUGGAGGUCUCAGACAUAUGUACUUUCCGAAAAAAUGUUCAAGUUGAGCUUCAGGUCUUAGUUUUGUAAUUGAGUCGUGUCAUCUUCAAGCUUAUCAUUUUGUCAACUUGAUUUGGCUCAGUUAUGCACCUAGACUUUAACCAACUCAAACUGACUAAAAAGGUUACUGAAUUGAAAGUUGAGACAGGGACAACUCAAACACAAAGUAAUCUGGAAUUCUAAAUAUCGAAUUCUUAAUCAGACUCAACUUCCAUUUUUGUAAUCUGCUGUGGUAUCUUAAAUGUGCUCAAAGUUCUUAAAGUUCUUAAAGUUUUUGUAAUCAGACAGGGACAAUUUUGUAAUCUGCUGUGGUAUCUUAAAUGGUGCUCAAAGUUCUUAAUCAGACUCAACUUCCAUUUUUUUGAUUCUGAAAAACAAAACCACCUUCACUGGCUAAAAUAAAGUGGGAAUCAAUUCAGUAUGGUACAAUUUAUAGAUAUGGUACAUUUAUAGAAAUGCUGAAUCAUUUGUCACUGGCUAACAUAUUAAUUUCAAUUCAGACAUCGAAUUUUGUGAUUAGAAAUGAAGCAGCUGAAUAUGGGUAUUAAGUGGAAGAAUUGGUUUAGCUUUUCAAAAGGAUAGGAUAGAAGCAGAAUUAUGCUUUGAGCAAAGAGAGAAGAAGGAGCCACUACGAAGCUCGACUUGAACAUCGCAAGCAAGUAAAAGUUCUUUAAGGCUUUUAAUGCUCUUUAUUUUUUUUUAAAUGAAAUUGUUAACAUUGAAUAGUAGAUGAUUGGGUAGUAGAAAUGAGAGGUUGGUGUUGUUAAUGCUUUAGGGGACUUAAAUUAGAAAGUAGUAGACUACAGAACUUUUAGAGAAAUCUAGGGGGAAACAGCUAUAUAUGUAAAUUCAUUAGAUUGGAUUUGGUAUCAGAAGAUUUAAGGGAUUUAUUCAUUUAUUUAUUUAUUUGGGGGUAAGAUGGGCAAUUUAGAGGCAUGAGGGGUUGGGGGGGGAGGGAUAAAAGUCCAAAAAUUAUAAGGAGAAAGAUAAGGAAGGAGGUUAGUGGUGGGAUGCAGGCUCUGUUUUGGAGAAGUGGCCUCAUGACAGGAAAAUUCAGACAAGUUAGGUGAAAAAAGUUAGAUAAGGUGAAGAGUUGGACUUUGUUUAAUGUGCUGGGCAAAGAUGGUGUGUAGGGGGUAGAAGGCUAGGACUUUGACACUAUUGUUGUCAGAAGGGGCUUUAUGUGUUGUUGAGGGGGUGAUCAUGGUAGUGAACUUGUAACUUUAGGAAGAAUCCAGAAGUGGUAACAUCCUACCCUAUCGAUCAAGGAUUCAUGAACUGGAUUCAAUUACAGAUGUUAAGCGUGAAAUUAGUUUGGAAAUGGGUUCGGUUGCAACUCAAUUAGGACUUUGUACUGCAGCAAUAACCAUUGGCAUUACCUGUAAUAAUAACUAAAAGAUUUACUUGAGCUUUCAGUUCUUCAAUCUCGUCUUGAAAAGUGCUCAAUGCAUCCCUUGUCUCAUCACUCAGGAUAUUAUUCAUCUCGGACAGUUCUCAUUAGACUGUCUCAAUUUCAUCAAUUCCUUCACGGGGAACCAUUUGAGCUUUUACUGUGGCCACUACGGCCUCUGGCUCAUAUCCUCUGAUGGUCCUCUAGUGCACUCCACGUGGUCAUCAUUUGUACACUUUAAAUCAGCACCUCUCGCUCGUGUUCUGAUACUAACUGUUACGAACUACACUAUUUCGCCUAAAUAUACAAUAGUCUAUGCGGCACUUGAGUGGACGCUUCCACGCAAGUCAACCAAUACUCGGUUAUAUCUAAUCCAACAUUAAUAAUAACAACAAAUCAGACUAAGAGAACUCGUAUCAAAAUCAAAAGGCAUACCGAAUGCUAUAUGUGUAACCACUGAGUUAUAAAAAGGAAAAGUGCUUUAUUAAUAUAAAAUUAAUUACAAAGAGAUCGAGAUAGGUCAUCGUCAGGCCAUAGGGACAGCCUUAUAUGAUUCACUACAAAUAUACCCUUACCAAUGAAGCAGGCUAACAAUCCGCUGAUUGUUCAUUUUCUAUAAAGAGUUUACGAGAUUUUAUAAGUAUUCUAUUAAUAAUCAUUACAAUGCUUGAAGUAAGGAUAUUUCUUUUCUAAAAGAUCUCCUUUCUAAAAAUUUGACAAGUAUUUGUGAAAGUAUCACCACGAGCCAUUACAUUGUUUGAAAGAGGAACAUUUCCCUUAGAGGUAUAAAAGACUCAAGCUCCAAGAUAAUUCUACGCUAUCAUAAUCCGAUACAAGGUUGGCUCAUGACACAAUGGCCAGCUCGUUCAUCCUUGUUAUAGCCGUUAGUGCACAGAAAAAGUUUUCUGUGAUUUGCAAUCCUGUUUUGUUGGUUUUAUUUUUCCUAGGCUAGAACUGUGGGAGUGAUUUUGUGAUGAGUAUAAAUAUCAUUUGUAACAGUUGUUGCAAUUGAUUUUUUCCCUGAUCAAUGAAAAGUAUAUUUCCUUUCUCUCCCGCAUGACUCUGUUUUCUUCUUCUUCAUUUUAGCCUUCUUUGCAGAAAUACUUUUAAGUUUCUUAAAAUCCUUUCAGGAACAAAGCAAAUGAAAGGUGCAAAUUACUGUGUUUUGUGGAUUUGGUGUUUAUCAAUCACCAAAUGAAGAUUAUUUUUAGCUCACUUCCAUGGUCUCUUGCUGGCCUGGAGAUACGGUAUACUCAGGUUUAAAGCAAAGGAAAUUGUGUGUUGGUUAUGUUGAUGUUUGGUGCCUGAUCUUUGCAAUGAGGAAGCUGAAAUUACAUUGAAUCUGGUUGCUUGGGAUAUUUGUUUUACUACAGGUCUUAUGCGAUGGUCAUUGGGAUUAAUAUGUUUCAAGCUACUGGUUUUUCUUAUCCACUUUUUGAUGGCUAUAAAUUAAGUCUUCUCAAAAGCUGACUUGAUAAGAGUACUUCCAUCCAGUCAUGCACGACCAACUUAUUGCAGUGGUCCUAUGAUUUAAUCAACUGGAUUGCCAUUAAGGUUACUAUUUUCAAGCCAUAAGUUUUUUCUGCAACGUGCUUUGCAGUUCUCAUGUGUCUAUUUAUUAUUUGCUCCAUUGACAACUCUUCAUUAUCCUUUUUUGAUCAAAAAAUUUAAAUUUUAUUUUUUAAAUUAAAAAUGUAUAUAUAUAUAUAUAUAUAAAUUAUUUAUAUAUUUCCUUCUACUUUCUCAUUGCCACAAUUGGACUAUAAGCAGCAAGAAAUUUUCAUUUUGGCCCAAUAGGAGCAAGAACUGAAAAAUACAUGUUCUUGAUUUUCUGCAAAAUACGAUUUGAAUCAUGCAAGCAUAAGUGUUGAAAGUGUAGAAAGUUCUAACCCUAACAAUACGGAAGUGUAGAAAGUUUACGGUUGAUUUAAGUCUCAUAUAAUAAACAAAUUGCAAGUCUACGUCGCAAUCUGAUCCAUUAUUUUUUAUAGGGCUUUUUGUGGUUAGAAAUCUACAAAUAUAAAGAAAAAAAAUUGUAAAAUUGCCAAUAAAACUAAUUGAUGUAUCGAUUUAGAUAAGAUAAUUUUGAGUAUAGAAAUGCUUUUCGGUAAAAGUUGUAGUCUAUAAACUUAAACAAAUAUUAAAUCAGAGUGCAGGAACAAUUAGAAUACUAAUUCCACAUAAUAGCACCUAUAAAUGUGAAAUUGUAGAUCCAAGAAUUUUUCAACUAAUUUCUUUGUAUUCAGUCAAGGGUUUUUUUUCGUCUAAUUCUUGUUGCUGGUGAAAUUGUAGACACAUCCCUCUCAUUUACCCUCAUGCAUCCAGUCAUGUCAAUUGCUGGUAAAAAAUAAUUGUAGCGAGUUGUGCACGGUGAAGUUAUUGCAGUUGGCCAUGUGACCCUUCAAAUCGACAAGCUACUAGUUUUUCUUGUAACGUGCUUUCCAAUUCCCUUCUAGUCAUCAUUACUCAAUUGACUAUCUUUUGGAUUCACACGUCCAAUUUGAAUAUGCAGGACAUUCCUUGACUUUUGAUUGCUUUUCCAUAUUAAUUGACAAAUGAUACUUGAAUAACAUAUUCCAAUGACCCAAGAUAUGGGACUUCCUAGUUGUCAAUUGCGAUGUCCAAAAUUGAAGACCCUGAAACUAGUGCACUGUCCUGGCGGAUUCAGAUCACUACUAACUUCCCAAUUCCAUGAUUAAGAUCACAACUAUGCAAAAUUGAAUCUGGCUGGUCCCAUUGGGCUUCCUCUUUUAAAACCUAAGUUUGAUUCCAGUCCUACUUAUAAAUAAUGUUAAGAGAUUUAAUUUUAAUGAAUAAUAUUUAAAUUAAAUCAUAAUUUUAAUAUAAUAUAAUUUACAUCUAAAUUUAGAUAUAUAUAAUAAAACUUAAGAGUUCAAAUCAAAUUACACUCUUUUAUCUGACCUACUCAACUGUUUAUAAAUUAAUAUAAAUAAUAUUUUUUACCGAUCCCACUUUAUAUAUAAAUUAAUAAUCUACUUAUAGAUCAAAAUUUUAUACACACAUAUAUAUAUGACUCAAUUAGGAAGUUUUAAUAAAAUAUGACUCUAAUGUUACUUGUUUCGUCUUGAAAUUGAUAUCUUAUUGACUUUAUCUCUAAUUUUUCUUAGUGCAUUACAAAGGUCUGGUGUAGUGUUCUCGUAUGGUAAGAGAAAAUUAUGCAAUGUGAUGGUUGCUUGAGUGCAUCUUUGCACGAGACAAGCUCUAGUAUAGAACUAUCAUCUUCAACUUCAUUUUCUUUAUUAUUUCUCAUGUCGUUCUCAAUAAUUUGCUUGUCACUCAACAACUUUGAAGGUGGCUCAUUUUCUCCUUGGUAGUUUAAAAGGUACUCAAUAUCUAUUUUAUCACAAUACUUCAACUAUUUGAUUAGAACAUGUAAUUGUUAAAUUUGUCUAUCAUGUGAGCGUUGAUCCAAAUUUUUUGAAGUCACGUUAUCCAUACACCUAAUUUUACAAUGUUGAAAACAAUUUGCAAUUGUACCAUUUGUUGACCAAGCUGAGAUUGCAAGAUUCAUUAUAUCCAAAACAUUUAUCUUUUUUGGAUUUGAGAUUUCAAUUUCAUAACCCUCUAAAAGAUUUCGAUAAAAUUGAAGAUGAUAAUGCAUCUCGAUAGAAUAAUAAUAAUUUGUAAUUCGAUAAUAUUCGUAUAAUCACAAUACAGAGUACAUGUAUUAAGUUUAAUGUUUUGAGGAAAAAAAAAAGAUAUCUAGAUAAAUUAAUUUUUUAUUAAUUAAUGUAUAAAUUAAUAAAUUAUUAAUUUAUUAAUUCAAUAAUAUCUUAAUUAAUUAAUAAAUUUUCAUGAUUCCAAAGGUAUUAAUUUAUAGAGAUUUUAUUAUUGUAUUUUAAGCAAGUGUUAGAUUCCUUUGUUUAACAUAUAGAUUAAUAAAAGAAGGAAAGCAAAGAUUGGAUAUCAAGCUUAUAUUGACAAUAUUCCUUUUUACUUUCUCAUUGCCAUAAUUGAACUAUAAGCAGCAAGAAUUUUUCAUUUUGGCCCAUAAGGAGCAAGAACUGAAAAAUACAUGUUCUUGUUUAUUGCAAAAUACGAUUUGAAUCAUGCAAGCUAGUAAUGAACAACCACUAGUUUCGGGCCUAAAGAAACCCAGAAUAGGCUAAUCAAAUAUUAUGCAAGAUAAAUAAUCAAUUGUAGUUCCGUCAGUGGAGCUAUUAAUUAUGCCAGCGAUCGCCACAUCACACUGAAUUUUUACUUGUUGAUGUUCCAUAACAGUGUAGGCAAUCUUCCAUAAGAAUCUGCUAGGACCUCUCAAUCUCUCUGAUCUGGUUUCUCCUAAAACAGAAUGUGUUGCUUGGCACCACUGUACAUGUUGAAGCUGCCUUUAUAAAUUAUGAUAGCAGAGGGGAAAAUUACGACAACCGACCCAUAGGCAGGUCUAAUACUGUGUUCAUAGAAAGCAAAAGCACGAAGUAGGUUGACUGUUUUGGUUCCUAUUUGACGUCACAUAUUCAAAUCCAAUCCCUUUCACACAGUUUUUUCUCUGAUCCUUAGCUCACGUUACCCCCUUUUCUCAAGGUUUUUAAGUUCUAACCCUAACAAUACACUAGAAGUGUAGAAAGUUUGUGGUUGACAUGAGUCUCAUAUAAUAAACAAAUUCUACCGUUCAACCCAAAUUGCAAGUUUACAUCGCAAUCUGGUCUUUUGGUCUUUUGUUUUCAAUAGGACAUUUUGUCGUUAGAAAUGAUCUACCGUCCAACCCAAAGUAUAGGUUUACAUUGCAGUCUUGUCCAUUGUUUUCAAUAGGGUAUUUUGUGAUUAGAAAUCAACCGAUAUAAAGAAAAGACAUGUAAAAUACUGUUAUCUAUAUACAGCAAGAAGGAUUACUAUGAGAUAUUUAUAAAAGAGAGAUAGCCGUUGAUUCACUCUACGCUAAUUUUUAUUUAAUAAAUUAAUAAAAUAAUAAAAAUGAAUAUAAAAUAAGAUAAUAAUAAAAGCACAUAAAAAAUAGUAUCUACAGCCUCUUCCUUCAAUCAUCUCUCUCCAUCUGCCAAAAUUUCUUUCUCUGUUUGAGAUGGAUAUCAAGUCCAUCCUUCAUGAACACCACUUGCUCUGUGAUGAAUAUGAUGAAUCACGGGGACUUUGUGAUAUGUGCAAUCAGGAAAUUUGUGGUAUGGCUUAUUGUUGUGAAAGAUGCGAGUUUUCAUUGCAUGAUUCUUGCGUUCAUCAACAGCUACCUCCUCAGAUAAGUGCACAUCCUUGCCAUCCCCAACACAAUCUUUCUCUCGUAGGGUCAAAUCACAUGGAUUACAUAUGUGAUAAAUGUUUCAAUCUUUCUCGAGGCUAUAGAUAUCAUUGCAAAGAGUGUCAUUUUAGCCUUGGGUAUCAAUGUGCUUUUUCAACUAAUGAUGAGAAAAAUAGACUCAAUGGCGAGACAUUUAAAAAAAUUGGUGGUUUUACCCUCUUUAAUUAUAGGAGAGUGAGAAAGUAUGAGUAUAUAUGUAGUUGGUGUGAGAACCAUUUGUCUGGAAUGUCUUAUGCUUGUUUUGACAAUGGUGCUUAUACCUGCUUCCACGAUUCCUGCUUAAUCAAAUUGCCUCCCAUAAUAUUCAAACACUCAUUUCAUCCAUCACACCCUCUUCAAUUAUGCAACAGUCACUUUGAUAAUGGGUUGUGCAAUGCUUGCAACCUACCAAUAUGGGAGUUCAGAAAAGCCUACUGUUGUAGAAAAUGUAAAUUUCACCUUCAUGUUCGUUGUGCUAAACUACGACCCAGUCUCAAGGUUGAAUUACAUGAGCAUGAUCUUACCUUUUUUCGAAUAAAAGCUAAUAGCGCAACCCACCUAUGCAGGGUAUGUGGUUUUAAUUUUGAUGCUAUAGGGGACGAAAGUGCUUUUUAUCGUUGUGUCCAUUGUAAUUUCAAUUACCAUUUCAAAUGUCUUACAAUACCACAUUCUACUUCGCACAAGUAUCAUAGGCAUGAUCUGAUGCUUAUGGAUUCAUUUAUAGAAGAUGUUUCUGAAGAAUAUUAUUGUGAUAUAUGUGAAGAAGAAAGAAAACCCAAGCACAGUGUUUAUUGUUGCAAGAAAUGCAAAUUUAUUGCUCACAUCGAAUGUGCACUCAAUAAGGUAAGGAGACAUUUACUCUCUCUCUGAAGAAAUUUAAUAAAUGUUUUUUUCAUUAGAUAAACUAUUAAUUAUUUGAUCAUAGGUCACAUAUAAUGUGCCCCUUAGAAAAUUUUGAUGCUAAUAUUUUUACUUCCCUAGGUUGUGGAUACGAAACUUGAUCAAAGUUCGACCUCUAGUCUGUUGGAUAGUGAAGCUUCAACAUUGAAGGUGAUGGAAUUGGAUCUUUUAUAUUGAUAUUAUUAUGAUGUUUUCACUUGCCAAUAAUUUGUUUUUUUGAAGUUUACAUCGCUUAAGGUCUUCUAUUCCUUGGAUUUAUAUAUUAUAAAGAUUGUUUAGUAAUAAACACCAUUUACAUUUUUGAAUAAAAUUCAAUGAAAAAAAACUAAAAAAUGUAAAUAAUAUAAGUAAAAAACCUCUACUUAUGUAGCAGUAUUCAAAAUUGAUUUGGAGACGGCUUUAGUCAAAAUAUUGAAUGUUGAAUAAAUUAAAAACACUUACGUGCAUCAUGUUAAUUUAUGAACAUAUAUAUUUGAUUAUUUAAUUAUUGCUUCUAUAUUUUAGUUUUAUCUUAAAUUUUCAUUUCUUGUACUUUUUAAACAAAAAUAAAGAGUAAAUUUUACUAUUAAUCUUGACCUAUUUGUAAUUUUUUGUUUUCAUUCAUCCAUUUUGAAUUUAUUUCAAAUCCAUUUGUAUAUUAACAUGCCAAUAAAAUAUAGAUGGAAUUUGUCACGUAAAUUUCACAUAUUAUGUGAAUUAUGUGAAUGUAGUCACAUGGACGUAACUGUAGUACUUAGAUGGCAAUUCCGUUCCAUAUUUAAUAGUGUAUUGAUGGAUAGAUGAAAUUAAAAUAAUUUCAAAAAGACAUAAAUGGAAAAAUUCGAGUUUGUUUAGUCAUGGAUGAAAAUAAAAUUAUGACAAUGUUAUAAACUAAGGAUGCACUUUACCUAAAAAAUGGAGGAAGAUUAAUAACUUUCUUCACUCAACUUGGUCGUGCAGGUGCAGAUUGAACAUUUUGAUCAUCAACAUCCCUUAAGCUAUAAUGGGGCAAUUGAACAGAAUGAAAGUCUUCUUUGCAUUGCUUGCCGCCAAGAAAUUUUUGAUCAACACUAUGCUUGUGAAGAUUGUAAAUACUACUUACAUGAAACGUGCACUACAUUGUUGUAUGAGGUGUCACACCCUCUUCAUUGCCAGCAUCCUCUCAAGCUUGUCACGGAUAUAGUUGAAUUCACAUGUCAUGGAUGUAGGGAACAUUCUGAUGGGUUUGCUUACAUGUGCCUUCCAUGUGAUUUCCACCUUGAUGUGAAAUGUGCUACCACUCCAAUCCCACCUAAAAAUGAUGGGCAAAAGCUGAAAGAGAUGGAGAAAGUUUCCAAGUUUUGCCCUUUCAACCAAAAUCAUAAGCUAGACUUCUUCAACCGUAGACCCAAUCUUAAAGAUUUGGCUUUGGAAUGCGAUGCUUGCAAGUUACCAAUCUUGGGUCCAGGUUAUACAUGUCGUGAUUGUUUCAAUAUCAAAAUUCAUGAAUCUUGUCUUGCAUUUAUUCGGGAGAUGCAACACACAUUUCAUCCGUUACACCCGCUUCAUCCACAAAUCGGCGAUUGGGAAAAUUGUUCUGCCUGUAGAUUUAAAAUCAUUGAAAGUAUCGGUUAUAGUUGUCGGCAGUGUGAUUUCCACCUUCAUCUUCAUUGUGCUAAUUCCCUGAAGCUGGCCUUAAAAGUUAAGUCUCACAUGCAUAAUCUUUAUUAUUUUGGACCAAAUUAUGAGAAAUCUUACCAAUUAUGUAACAAAUGCAAAAGUUACAUUGGUAAGGAACCUUUCUACUAUUGCGUGGAGUGCAAUAUGAAUUUGCACUUAAAAUGUGUUCCCAUACCAUGUUCAAUUAAAUCCAAAUGUCACAUGCAUCGUUUGACUCUUAAAGAUCAUUUUGUGGAAGAUGAUUCUGGAGAAUACUAUUGCGACAUCUGCGAAGAAGAAAGGAACUCAAAAAAUCAUUGCUAUUAUUGUGAAGAGUGUGCUGGACAAUUUGUUGCUCACAUCGAGUGCGCGCUUCUUAUAGUAAGUUUAUCACUAUCAUUUUCUCUGUAGAAUUUUUCUAUAUCAUAUUAUUGAAUUUUCUAAAGGAAAAUAAGAAUCUAAAUUACACAUCACAUGAUCGUAUCCACCAUCUCUUUGAUUGAUUGGACUUUAUUAAUGGUUAAAGUACCUCAUAGGUCCAUAUACUAUAGAUUUUUCGUUCAACUAAUCUUUUUUCCCAAAAUUGGUUAAUUUAAUCUCUGUACUUUGAGAUUUUAUGUAAUGGAGUCAUUUUACUUAACUUCAUCCAAAUUAACCAUUAGUGGUACUGGUGACGCACUGACAUGUCAGAUAAAAAAAAAUUGACCAUGUGGCAUUUUUUUCUUUCCUCCUUUUUCUUUGCUCAUAUGUUCAAAACUACAUUGUUUUAGAGUACUAUUUAAAGCGGAUUUAGUUUUUUAUUUUUCAUUUUCCUUUUUAUCCUUCUCUUUAGCUUUCUUCUCUCCCUAGAUUUCGACCCCUAAAUGCAAAUUCUGGCUAUCGAUCACUAGUAAUAUGAAAAUCUAAUAAAAAAUAAAAAAAUUAGUUUUUUGGCCUUAUUUCCCAUAAUUAGGAUAGCUUUUUCAAAAUCUAUCUCGAUUUUUCUAGAUCUAAAAUCAUAAACUUGUAAAAAAGAAGCUUGUUUCUUUCCAUUGCUGUGUCCUCAACUUGAUGUUAAUGAUCAAGGGUUGUGUUUUUCAUGUUGUAGGAUUUUGAAUUCGGAGAUGGAAAUUUUCAUGAAUUUUCCAUCUUGAAAGAUGCUGGCUCACCUAUUGAGAGUUCCUCUAUGGAUAAGUUGCUUUCCCAACCCCAUGCUGAAGUUUACUUGAACCAAAACAGAAUGGUAGUUAAGUCCUAUAUAAGUUAUUUUAAAGAUCUCAUCUUUUAUGCGAAAAUGAAUUUUAUUUUACGAAUAGUUGAAUGAAAGAAAAGUUUCACGAUUUUGUGGGUGCCAUUGUCGUUGCAGAAGUAUUGGGUGAAUGAGAAGUUAAACAAAUACUGCUUCAUGUUGUUUGCAAGAGAUCUUUCAAUCAGUUGGGUAGAAGAGCACCGUUAUUGGCGUUGGUCAUACCAAAAAGAAACAAACAGGUUAGCGUAGAUUUAUUAUCCAUUGAGAAUCCUUACUUCAUAGUUCUAGCUUGACAGCUUUCUUAAUCCACAAACUUUUGAUUUUGUAGCGAUGUGUUGAUUGAUGUUGUCGAACUUCUAAAGGUGUGUUGGCUAGAAAUGAAUGUGAAAUUCAAUGUAAAAAAGCUCUCACUGGGAACUUUGUAUGGAGUUAUGUUUGUGUUUAAGUUGACAGAUGAAGCAUAUGGAUGGGGAUGUCCAGUGAACUUUGGAUUCACUCUUCCAAAUGGGGACAAGGUUGAACGCAAGGAAAAUUUGAUGACCAAGCCGAGAGGAGUAUGGAUAGAAAUCCCUGUCGGAGAAUUUACAACUUCAUCCGAAAUUGUUGGAGAAUUACAUAUUUGCUGUCACCAAUAUGAUGAAUUGAAUUGGAAAGGAGGACUUAUUGUUAAAGGAGUUGCUAUUCUACCAAAGAAUUAAGUUAUAAAUUAGUAUUUUGUCAUAAUAAAUCUGAAAGUACUGUAGUUUUUUUGUUUGUUCAUAAUCUUGCAAAUUCUAAUAUGACAUGAACUUGAAAGGAACCAACUCAUCCAAUAAUCACCUCAACACUUGAACCAGUUUUCCGGUUCUCAUUAUACAAUAUAGGUUCCAUGCUAAAUGCAACAAACAAGCUCAUUGAUUUUUUUGAUAUUUUUUAUUAGAUUUUUUGACCACCAGUGACUAGUGGUUGGCUGUCGAAAUCUGGGUUUGGGGAUCAUAAUCUAGAAUAAAUUAUUGGAUAGAGAGCGAAAAAGGAAAGAAGGAACAAUGAAAAAAAAAACUAAAUGUCCUUUAAAUAGUAGGCUUAAAAUAACUAGUUUUGGACAAAUAAGAGAAAAAAGAAAAAGAAAAACCAUGUGAUCAAUUUUAUUUUUUUAGUUGAACAUGUCAACGUUAGCAUUUUUUGACAUGUCAGCUCGUCGUUAGCACCACUAAUAAUUAAUUUGGAUGGAGUUAGAUAGAGAGAAUCAAUAGUACAAAAUCUAGGUAAGAGGGACUAAAUUAAUCAGUUUUGGAUAGACAGACUAAAUUGAUAAAAAAAAAAAUCUUUAAUAUAGGUAUCUAUGAGGUACUUUGACCAUUAAUGAAUUCCAAUCAACCAAAGAGGUGAUGGAUAUGAUCAUGUAAUGUGUAUGUGUAAUUGAGAUUCUUAUUUUCCUUCAAAAAAAUUCAAUAAUGUAGUAUAAAAGAAAUCUAUAAAGAGAAAAAAUAAUUGUUCACGCCUCAACAUUUCCUGAAACCUUUUCAGCACUUUGAAGCUUUGUCCAUUAAUUAAUCGCCUUGUUUCAAGCAUGUUCUCAUAGUAACAAAAGUCUUUACACUGUAUAGAACCUUUUGUUUCUUUUUGACCUCCUGUAAUCUUGAGCAAGGCUGAUUGUGUAUAUAGUGGAGCAUAGUUGUGUACAUAGGGAGAUGCAUGCUUAAGCUACAGGGAUGGUUUUUGUUCACUUGCCUUUUUGUAUAUUGAUUUUGCUUAAGGCAUAAAGGUAUAGAAUUUCAAAAAAAAGAUAUAAAAUUGUGGUAUUAGCAUCUUGAUAGCCACAUUUGGAAUAAAAAGGUAGCAAUUAAAAGAAGCAUUUUAUCCUUAAUGAUGAGCAAGCUUUUUUUAGCCUUUUUCAUUUUUAUAUUCUCUCAAUAAUUUCCUUCUUUAAAUAAAUAAAAACAAUGUUGACAGGGCAUGAAGCACAUGCCAUUUUCUUGUUUUUGGUAUAAAGGCCUGAGGGAAUCUUUGUUUAGGUUUUGUAUUUAAACACACUCUCUCAUCAAGAGGCUAGUAGUUGAUCAUCUCUCUUUCUUCAUCUACCUAAAUUUCUUUCUUUGUUUGUUUGAGAAAACAAAGUAGAGACUAUUCUGCUAUGGGGAUAUUCUAUACUUGUUUUCGAUAGAAAUUUAGUACCUCCUCAAGUCCUCAACUGUCUUGGUGAUGCAAAAAGGGGGUUGUAGCUAGAAAUAAACCACAAAAAAUAUGCAAGCAAGGCUGUUGAUGUGAAUGAUUUAGCUUGGUUUGGGUUAUACAAGGCGUAACGAUUCUUUGAACGUCAAAUACACUUUUCUAUAUUUAAGCUUAUUCUUCAUAAUGUGUAGGAUUGUAGGGCAUUUUAUUCAAUUAUAUUUUGGUUAGAUUGUAGAGAAAAGAAAGCUAGAGAAAAAGACAACGGAGAGAAACAUUUUUUGACAAUGAUUCAAAAUUUAAUUUCAUUAAUAAGUUAAAGAAUUAUAGCAAACUGUCAAAAAGGUCAAAAAAAACUUUUUUCUGCUUCUUUUAUUCUCUCUUGGCUAGAAGAGAUGUGCAUUCUUGAACCAGUGAUUUGCAAAUAAGUGACUACUUUUCCUGUAUACCUUUGAGUUGAAUGACCAUGUACUUAUCAAUUAUGUAUAUUUCAACAAAUUUAUGUUAAUAUUCAAGUUUCUAAUAUUUGAACGAGUGUAUAUUUGAUGCAUUAAUAGUGUCUAUAAGAUACAUUGUCAGUGCAUUAAAUAUGAAUCCUAUUUAAAUAGAUUAAGAGUACAUAGUUAAGAAUUGCAGAGAGCUUAAUUUGAGAUAAUAGCUUUUUGUAUGAAAAAAGAAAAAGAAGAUUUGGCUUUUUUUUUUUAUUUGUUUUUGUUAAUUUUAUUAUGUCAGCUUGAUUUUAUGUCAACAACCUUGUCAAUUCAUUAUGGUUAGUAAUCAACAGUUUUAAUAACAAUGCUUCCUAACAUAAAGUUUAAAGGGGAAAAUAAGAGAUUGCAAACUCAAAACCUUGAUGUCUUUUAGGCUUUUCUUGUUUCUUUGUCCUUUUGUAUUUGUUGUUUUAGUUAUAAAAUUGUGGAAGUAGCAUCUUGAUUGCCACAUUUUCGAUAAAAAAGUACCAAUUUAAAAAAACAUUUUAUCUUUAAUGAUAAGUAAGUUUUCUUUGACUUUUUUCUUUUUCUUGAAAGACAAAGACAAUAGUAUUCCAUAAAAAAGGAUAUGUGUUAAUUAAAUUAUUUGAAGGCAAGAAAUUAAGAUUAACAUCAAUAUUCGCUUCCAAAUUCUCACUAUUAUUUCUUUCUUUAAAUAAAGAAAAAAAUAAUAUUGUUUUUGAUCAUUCAUUUGAUUAAUUAAUCUGAAAUUGUCGUUGUAUUAGUAAAAUGAGUCGUAAUCACAAUAUGCAUGCGAUGUGUUUUCAUUGUACAAGUAAUUAUUGUAUAACUAAAGCAAAAAGAAAGUAAUUGCUACAUAACAUUAUUUUACUUAAAGGGAAACAUUUAAUUAAAAAAAAGUAAUCCCAAACUUAAAACAUUUUUUAAACAAAACGCUCCCCUUCUUAAACUAAAGUGAGAAUCAAUUAAGUAUGGUACAGCUUAUAGAUACAUUUAUGCCACCAGUAAUGCUUUGUUUCAGAAUUAUCUUUCCUUUUUAGAAACAAUAAAGAUGAAUUAUAUAUUAAAAAAGAGAGGGAUAAGAGUAUUCCUUUACAACCAGACAAAAAAGACCCACGACUACAUCAAAAACAGCCAAUGGGGCUUAAAAAUUUGGGUAGACCAGUACUUACCUUAGGUCCUGCCAAGUAGUAUUAAAAAGAAAAAAUUACAAAAGGUAAGAAAACCAUAACAAAAGGACCUGUACAUAAUCUUUUCCUAGAAGAAAGAUCCAAAAAAGGGUUCAAUUAAUAUCCCUUAAAAAAAAAAAAGCAGUAUAAACGAAGAAACAUCAAUGGUUCCCAUGAAAGUAGCAGCGAGCAUUAUGUUGCACAACAAAAGUAAAUAAAGCAGGGGACAGAACACCUCACACUAGGUUAAUAUUCUUUUCCGGGGCUAGCAUGCUGUCGUUGAUCCGAAACAAAUCUGAUAUCAAUCACUUUUUGUCUUUCUUAAUAUCAAUCACUUUUACAUAGAAUUUAAUUUUAAUUUUACAUUUGAAUUGUUGUGCUAGGUUAUGGUCGUAGAGGGGUCAACUUGAUGUAAGUUAAGCAACUUGGAUUUACGGCAUAAAACUCAACUAAAUUCCAACAAAGAUUAGUUCCUAACCCAUAUAGUAAAUUUGCAUAUCACCCACAUUAUAAACUAAUCAAUUACUGAAAACAUGAAAUUACCACUAGUACGUGCUUGCUAAAUCUCAUAAAUAAAUCAUCUUAAUAAGCAAUAAUUAUGUGUGCGAGGGCUAAUUAUUGUAGUUAACAUUCCAUGAAUUUUACCUCAAAAUUUGUGUUAAUAUUCUAGGUUGUGAUCAAGUCAUAUGUUCAAGUUUCUAACAUUUAAAUAGACUAGGAGUACUUCAUGAAUGAAGGGGUUUAAUUUGAAGUAAUAGCUUCAAGUAUGGAAUAAGAAAAACAAAGAUUAUGCUGUUUUUUUUUCCUUUUUUUUAAUAUUUUCUUGUCUUAGGUUGAUUUUAUGUCAACACUCUUAUUCACUAUUUGGUAAAUUUGGACACGUGUAUUUCUGCAGUAAUGUUUGUGAAAUGGUUUGGACAGCUAUUUAUUUCAGAUGUGCUGAGAGGUAGUUUAAUUAUUUUUGUUGACUGAGUUGUAUUUUCAAAGGUUGGGCGAACUUGUUAAAGAGUCCAACUGGACCUAUUUAUCCCCAAAAUUGAGCUUAAUUUUGGCAUAUGGCAUGUGGCAUGCCGCAUUGCCAAAGCUCUUCAAGGAAGAGCACAAGCAAAACCAGAGGCAAUGCGACGAGUAAAGGCCAGAUAAAUAAGAAGGCUAACCAUAAUUUAACCAAAAACAAAAAUGAAAAAAGAAAGAAAGAAAGAUAGUACACAUCAUGUCAUCACUCAUCAAUUAGACAUCCCAUCGUCACCAACCCAGGGUCCUUGGUCAACUUCAUCCACAUACGUUGUCCAGUAAAAAUCACUCAAGUGUCUCGCAUUGCUCGAAAAGGACAAAAAGACUGCCACGUGCUACCUUACGGGCAAUUGCUACUAGAGUUCUCCACCGCCCGCUUGGUGUCGCCUGUACAGCCACAACCACAGCCACCACCAUUUGCAUUUCUCCUGAUUCAGAAUUCUUAUCACAUUACUACUGUUGGAAAAGUGUUUGACAAACAACUUUCACCUGGUAAGUUGGACUCACUAUAACCUUUAUUAUGAAAUAUUUUAUACGCAUCGCUUUUGGAUUACAAAGCAUUACAAGGACGAAUUAUAAAGCAUUUUAAUUCUCAUGGUUUUUUUUUUUUUAAAGAGUGAUUUUGGGUUCAACUUUAAGAAAUUGUCUGCCACUUGUUCAUUGUUACAAAACAGGGUCGGAAGAGAAGCAGCUUCAACAUCAUCCACUUGUUCAGUCAACCAAUAAUUAGCUGCUGUUUUCAUUAACCAAUUUACAUUUGAGAAACAACAAAAACAAUGGCAAAAGCACUUCUUUCCAUGAUCCUGGAGCAGCAGUUGGGUGGUUCGUUCAUUCCUCAAGAGAUAAAGCAUCAUGUCGGAUUGGCUGUAGGUCUUGAAGAAGAAAUCCAAAAACUCACCAGCAACUUUGACGCCAUUCAAGCUGUGCUUGAAGAUGCGAAAGGAUAAACCAAACAGGGCAUGCCUAACCCAAGGCGCGGAGGAUAAGGUAUACCGAUGUGGAUGCGGCCCAUAUCCUAAGCUGUUUCCCCACAGACCCCCCAACAGUGUCCCAUAACUCUAAUCCUACAUCCACCACGGAAGAAUAACAAGACUCCCAAGGAGCGGAGGACGGCAAUGGAGGCAGCUGGCUCCGAUUCCGAUGGCAGAGAAUUCAGGAACCCACAGGAAAUGUGGAGGGAGCAAAUUGGAGAUGCAGAUGAAGGAGAUAACCAUAAGAAGACUCAGUGGUACAGUGAAGGCGUUGCCUACUGGGAAGUAAGUCUUUCUUAACUCUGGUUCUUACAUUUGUAUGUGGGUACCAUUAGCUAACUCAUAGUAUAGUUAUUGGAUUCUUUGGUUGUGCUAAGAGAAGGGUGUGGAGGCAUCGGUAGAUGGGGUGUUGGGUGGAUUUGGGCAAGUAAAUGAGGCAGAUAUUAAGGGUAGUGAGGUUUUUCUCAAUACCCUUUUGCAUGAAAGAUUCGAUGGCGGUGGAAGAAAUCACCAUCUUGUUGCUCUUGGUACUUCUCUUUCACUCUCUGUGUCCUCAACUUUAUAUUGUUUUUAUGAAGUUAUAUACCCAUAUAUGUUCUGUUGAGGUAGUUUGGUUUAUGUUAUUAUUAUUAUUUUUUUUACACUAAAAAUCAACCUUAGGUUAUUAUGCGCCAUUAAAUGUGGAAGUGCAAAGUUGGUGAUGGGAUCCUACUUCAUUAGAAUGUAGCAUUGGUGGAAAACCUAAUUAACUAUAAAUUAAACAAAAAACAUAGUGGUGACAGCAGAAAGGGAUGUUGUGAUAGAUGAAAUUUUGAGUUAAAUAUCCGCAAUUAGUGCUUGAAACCGGAAACCAAUAUAACUUGAUAACACAACCAUGAAAAGUUUAUGUCCCAUAAUCCCACCCCAUAAAAGAAAAUAAAUAAAUAAAGAAGAGAAAGGCAUGGAAAUUUGCAUGAAUAUGCAUUUUCUGAAUUAUUUUGCAUGAUAUCUUCACCAAAAAUCAGUCUUAGUAGUGCAAGAAGCAUGUCAUGCAUUAGAGGUGUUGCUUUGAUUUAGAAUGCCAGCGUUUUAGGUGUUGCUCUUAUUUAGAAUGGUAUAAUGCAAUUGAGAAUUGGGUUUACUACAUGCUAUUUUGCUUAAUAAAAAACCAUCUUUAAGCAAUAUUCUUUUUUAAAUUUGGGAAGAAGCUUGCUGGGAGUUCUCUCUGUCUCUUAAGGGUUGUGUGCUUGUGGGGGGUGGGGGAUGGGGCACCCCUGGACCCAAUUUGAGGCUGUUGUGAGUGCUCAGAAUAAAGGAAAGAAAUUUCUGUGUUUAAGAUUGAAAAAUUACUUUCACAUUUCAUCAGCAGCGAAGAUGCUCUAUCUUGCUAAUAUUCUGGAACUUGUUAUCUUUUGAAAGGCAAAAAUUAGAUAUGUCUUCAGUAUGUUUUAUUACUAGGAGAUUGAUUCUUCGACAUGAUUAGGAUCUAUAAUUGCCUAUAUAUGAAGUUGGUCUUAAUACUUGUGAGUUGGUGGACUAUACUGGGGCAAUUGGUGGACUAUACUGGGGCAAUUGACUGAAAUCUUGCGAAGGGGAAUUGUAGGGGAAAUUAUUUAGGAAACUAAGCAGUUGGAGUUUGGCUUUAAUAUAAAGAUAUUUAGGUAACUAAGCAGUAAUGGUUUGGCUUUAAUAUGAAGAUAAUUAAGUGAUUUCCACAAGUUUUAUUUUAAGUAUUAUGAUAUAAGAUGCACUUAAGCACUUGGCUUUAUGAUUUGUGCAUGUAUCCCCUGCUAAAAGAGCUGGGUUUAAAUUACCCUCCCCUAAUAAAAUAAAAUAAAACAUGAAAAUUGAUGGUUGUGCCCUCAAACUUUUGCCUUCAUAUGGUUUAUGUUGGUGGAAUUAAAACAAACUCUUUUGAUGAUCUUAGUGCAGAAGAAUCUGGUACAUUUUAGGGCUUAGCAUACUAAAUUAAACUAUGUCAUAAUUCUCAAAACACUGCAAUGCUGACCUUUAUUUCAAGUCCAUACAUUGAAGCACUAGAAAUACCUGCAAAUGGUUCUAAAGCAUACUUAAAAUAUUGCUGCAGUACUGAUCUGUUUGGUAUUUCAUUUUUCUUGAUGUUUUUAAUUCUAAUUGAAAAUCAUAAAUCUAGUUGACAUUCUGAGCUCUUAGUUUCUAUGUUAAUUUAACAUACUGCAGAUUGUGGUUCUGGCAUAGGGAGAAUAACCAAGAAUCUUCUCAUAAGAUAUUUUAACGAGGUAAGGUCAUUUUUCUCUUUCUAUUAGCAUAUUUUUAAUAUUUCUGACAUUUACCAUCUUUGCAGUUAAUUGAUAACAUGGUUCAUAGUGCAUAAUUCUUACUACCUAAAGAAUUUCUCUGUUGUAUUUGAAUGAAAAGCAAAAUUGGGUAGUGCCUUUUAAAAAAUUCAUGCAGGACAUGAGGAGGGUACCCGUUAAUUUCAAGGUACCUAAACCUUAACCCUAUAAAAAAUCAAAUAUCUAAACUCUAUUAAUUACCUGAAUAAUUUUGAAAGUUACUACCCUAACCUUAACCUUAACCUUAAUACAUUCCCACUACCCUAUAAUUACCCUAACUCGUUUAAAAACCCGAUUAGAUAAAAAAUUUAUUAAAAUGUUCUUCAUUGGUACCCAAUUACUCAAACCCGAACCUGUAUUCAUAUACAAUAAUAUUUCUUCUACAUAGUACAUAUAAUUAACUACUAAUUAAAUUAAUAAAAACACAAAUAAUAAAAUUUAAAUUUAAAUAAUCAAAAACUAUAAAUUGUUUAUAAAUGAACAUAAUAUAUAAUAUAAAUCAAUAUUAUGUUAUUGUUUAAUAGUUAUUAACUUAUAUAAUAGUAAUGAUAUUCUUUAUAAAUGAAUAUAAUAAAUAAUAUAAAGUAUAUGUAUUAAAAGAUAUUACAAGUUAUAUACUAUAAAGUGUGUAUAUAUAUAUUAUAAUUAAUAAUUUUAUAAGUUAUAAUUUUUAUAAUGUUAACAAAAUAUAAAAAGUAAAUACAUUUAUUUUUAAAGUAUAUAUAUAUAUAUAUUAAAAGUAUUUUAGUGUAUAUAUAUAAUAGUGAUUAUAUUCUUUAUAAAUGAAUUCAAUAUAUAUAAAGUAUAGAUAUUAAAGACAUUACAAGUUAAUUAAUAAUCAUAGUUUCAUUAAUUAAUUUAAUUAAUUAUAUGAGUUUGUCCUUUACUACAAGAAAUUAAAAAAAAUAGUUAAGUUUCAAAACUAUUCUAAUCUCACAACUUCUUUUUAGAUAAUUAAGUUUAUAUAUAUCAAAGUAUCUAUAUUAUAAUUAAUAAUUUGUAAGUUAUAAUUUUUGUAAUGUUAACACAAAAUAGAAAGUAAAUAUGGUUAUAUUUAAAGUGUGUAUAUAUAUACACACACACACUAAAAGUGUUUUAUUAUAUGUAUAAUAAUAAUUAUAUUUUUUAUAAAUGAAUCCAAUAUAUAUAAAGUAAAUAUAUUAAAAGAAAUUACAAGGUAAUUAAUAAUCAUAGUUUUAUGAAUUAAUUUAAUUAAUUAUAUGAGUUUAUCCUUAAUUAUAUGAAAUUAAAAAAAAUAACUAGGUUUCAAAACUAUUCUAAUCUCACAACUUCUCUUAAGCUUUGCAUAUUAUAAGUUUAUAUAAACAAAAGUGUAUAUAUUAUAAUUAAUAAUUUUAUAUGUUAUAAUUUUUUUUAAUUUUAAUACAAAAUAGAAAGUAAAUAUAUUUAUAUUUAAAGUAUAUAUAUACUAAAAGUAUUAGUAUAUAUAUAAUACAGUAAUUAUAUUUCUUAUAAAUGAACUCAAUAUAUAUAAUGUAUAUAUUAAAAAACAUUUCAAGUUAAUUAAUAAUUAUAGUUUAAUAAAUUAAUUUAAUUAACUAUAUAGUUUUGUCUUUAAUUAUAUGAAAUUAAAAAAAAUAGUUAGAUUCCAAAACUAUUCUAAUCUCAAAGACUCUCUUUAAGUAUAUAUAUUAUGAGUUAUAAUUUUUGUAAUAUUAAUACAAAGUAAAAAGUAACUAUAUUUAUAUUAGAAGUAUAUAUAUAAUAGUAAUUAUAUUCUUUUGUAAUAUGAUAUGAUAUUCAUAUUAUUUAAACAUAAUUAAUAAUCUAAUAAUUUUUUAAUUGAAAUAUUUUAAUGUAAUCACAUUAAUAAUUUGAGUAACCAGACUUUUUAAUAUAUUUGUCAGCUUUUAAUAAAUAUAUUAAUGUUGAUUAUUUUUAAUUUAAUCAUUUAAAUAACAACAAAAUAUAUAUAAACAGGUAUUGGGAUCGAGUUCGAGGUGGGUACCCGUGUAACUUGAAUAGUAACAUAAUCGGGUUCAGGUAGCGGGUACCCAAGAGGUACUACCCCGAACCUGAUAUGGGUAGUGAAAUCACUAUCCGAACCCGUCCUAAACUUGAUUAUAGGGUAUCUUAAUCCGAUAUAACCNUAUAUAACAGUAAUUAUAUUUCUUAUAAAUGAACUCAAUAUAUAUAAUGUAUAAAUAUUUAAAAACAUUCCAAGUUAAUUAAUAAUUAUAGUUUUAUGAAUUAAUUUAAUUAACAAUAUUGGUUUGUUUUUAAUUAUAUGAAAUUAAAAAAAAUAAGUUGACAAACUACUUUAAUCUCACAAUCUCCUUUUAGGUAUAUAUAUUAUUAUGAGGUUAUAAUUUUUGUAAUGUUAACAUAAAAUUGAAAGUAAAUAUGUUUAUAUUUGAAGUAUAUAUAUAAUAGUAAUUAUAUUCUUUUUAAUAUGAUAUGAUAUUCAUAUUGUUUAAACAUAAUUAAUAAUCUAAUAAUUUUUAAUUUAAAUAUAUUAAUAACAUCACAUUAAUAAUUUGACUAACCAUAUUUUUAAUAUAUUUGUCAGCUUUUAAUAAAUAUAUUAAUGUUGAUUUUUUUAAUUUAAUCAUUUAAAUAACAACAAAAUAUAUAUAAACAGGUAUUGGGAUCGAGUUCGAGGUGGGUACCCGUGUAACUUGAAUAGUAACAUAAUCGGGUUCAGGUAGCGGGUACCCAAGAGGUACUACCCCGAACCUGAUAUGGGUAGUGAAAUCACUAUCCGAACCCGUCCUAAACUUGAUUAUAGGGUAUCUUAAUCCGAUAUAACCGGGUUGGAUACCUGUGGGUAUCUUAUAAUAGGGUAUGCAUUGCCAUCCCUACACAUUAAUAUGUAAUUCCAAUACAGUGAACAUGAUGUGGAACAUGGUGGACUUUUUCUUUUUCCUCUCUUUUUCUUUCAUCGAAUGAUAUGAAUCAGUGACAUAGUAUUAGUUGGAGCUACUAUCUUAAUAAAGCUGCAUAGUACUUUGUGAUAGCUAUGCUUUUGGACCCCUCUUCCCUUUACCAUUCUCCAGGUUGAUCUACUUGAGCCAGUUUCGCAUUUCUUAGAUGCUGCCCGUGAAAGUUUGUCUCAGGAAUAUUUUGUAGCCUCUGAUGCGCACAAAGCAAAUAAUUCUACUGUGUCUCCCUUCAGGUCAUGUACUUCAAGACUACAUUCACACAUGGAUACAUGCUUCUUGAUGUCUUGAAGUAUUCAUAACUAUGGUUAAGUCCAUGUAAGCUAUGUAUUUCCAACUUUUCACGUUUCCCUAUAUUGCGGAUGUAGCCAUGUAAUUUGCACCUCAAGCAGGCAUGUUGUUUGAGUACAAUCCUGGGAAAAACUUACAGAAGUUAAGGUAAACAUGUUAAAUAUGGGUUUGCAUCUGGAACUCACAUUUGAAUCUGGGCAACAUAGUCUGUACUCUGUAGGCGGCUGGAUUCAAGUAAAUUUUUGCAAACAAUUAUUUACUCUUUUGUGUGUGUUGGGGUGGGGGGGGUAGGGGACAGCAUAUGGGCUAGUGAAUGAGCCCUUUAAGUUGGUGAUAUAUGUGCUUGUCUUCUUCUGAUGCUUCUGGCUGUUAAAUUUUACUUUAUAAAACAGAAAUUUGACGACCAUUUUUUUUUUGUCUUUUGCUUUUUCAGGAGUUCACCCCUGAUGCUGGAAGGUACAAUGUUAUUUGGAUUCAGUGGUGCAUUGGUCAUCUCACAGAUGAUGACUUUGUCUCAUUUUUUAAGAGAGCAAAGGUGAAUAAAUCUUCUUCUUGAGACAGAACUUACUUUUUAUUUGACAUGUUGUGCUGUGUGGAAGUGCAUGGAAAGAUCAAAAUUAUGUGUUGAAAUUUUCUUGCCUGCUGUCUACUAUACAUUCGAAGUGCCUUGUUCUGAUUUUUGAAUUAUGAACUGUCAGAUCAUUGCAAUGGUAUCUCAAAUUUUCCUUUUCCAAAUUUAUUGCUUCUAGCUUUCUCUCUUGUAACUUCUUUUAAACCUUCUCACAGCUAUAGGAAUUAAGGUUGUCUAGCGAACAUAACAUAGCAAACACCGGAAGGAUGAUAUCGUCAAACUCUUUUUUCUUUUUGUCCUUUCUUUUUGCAAUGUGUCGUGUUGUUCAUUCUAUUCUUCUUCCUGCUAGGUAACUAGCGGAUUUGAUGGGUUAGUUUGGAGUGUUUGGGCCCAUCCCUAGCACCACAGAAACAAGGCUGGAUAAUACUUUAUAAUUCAUACAGCUAUUUUGCUAUCAUCCGUUUUCUCACCUUACCAAAGCUUGUGACCAAAAUUUUGUUGUGCCUUGUGCAUUGAAAUAAGUUUUAAGAAAUGAUGGUAGUUUGACUUUUGUCCUUUAAGUUUGUAAAUGGUGGGAAAUAAAAUUAAAUCCAGAAAGUGCCAUAUUCAUUUCAUGCCACCUUGAGUCCCUACUCUCCUGCUUCCCUUGCUGCAACCUUUUCUUUUUUUCCAGGUACUGUUGAGCAUAACUUUUUGCUCUGCCUUCAAUGUAUUUUCAUCAAAAUUAAGCAAAACAUAUUAAUAAUAAAAAGCUCCAACAUGGAAAUUCUUGGGCAUGUGUAUGUGUAUGUAAUUUGGAGGCCUGAUCUCUAAGUUGUGUCCUGGAAAGACCCUUGUUGAAAUUUAUUAUUCUUGCAUAUAUGAUUUAAAAGAUUUUAAUUUGUUCAAGUUUUGUUUAAGGCAUUCCUCAAACUUUCUUAUGUUUUGGUAUUCUGUGGUAAAUUUUCAUAAAGUUGUGUUUUUCUUUUUUGAAAUGCCGCAUGUCAUCUCACGUAUGAGAAGACAUAAAGUUGCUUUUUUGAGCUGAUAUUACUUUUUAACUUUGUCUUAUUAUGUAAUUAUCUGCCCUCUACAACUUUGAAGUAACAUCAUAAUUAAUAAUAAUUAAAAGAUAAAUGGAUAAAGGAAUUUUUAAGCUCCAUUUUCUCGUUCCAUUGCUUGAUACCAAGGGAAGCAGCAAGUUUUUGUUUUAUGCAUUCCUGAAACUUUCUUAUUUUUUGGUAUCCUGCUGCAAAAUUUUCAUAAAGUUGCUUUCUAGAGCUGAUAUUACUGUUUAACUUUGUUUUAUUAUGUAUUCAUCUGCCCGCUACUGCUUUGAAGUAUACUAGUUAAUGUCUUAAAUGUUUAAUUAAGGAUAAAUGGGUAAAGGAAUAUUUAAUCUCCAUUGUCUUGUUUCAUUGCUUGAUACCAAGGGAAACAGCCAAAAAGUGUUGAAACUUAUAAUUCGCAGGUUCAGGGAUGAGUUUCAUCUACUCAAAUGGGUAUGGGGUAUAAUUUUAUUAUGCUACCAAUUUGGGACACCUUUUGGUAACACUGUCUAUGUACAACUUUCUUCAGUGAAAAUUCAUGAAGGAAAGUUGACCUAGUGAUGUAGUGCGGAUGUAGAAACAAUAACAAGAAGUCAACUGCUCAUUAGUCUCUUUCAAACCAACCCUAGGGAAAGGUCGUUGAAAGCUGACGUGUACUCCUCAAUGGACAUACUAUUUUGCUUGAGUGAAUGAAAUUUCUCAUUCAACUCCAUUUAAUCAGCAGGCAAAAAUUGCCUUCUCAUCUUCAUUUUCAUGUGUUCCCAAGUGUUGAUUUUUGGCUUGCCUUGAUGUGCUUGCCGCUCUUCAACUCUCUUCUACCAUUGAAGUGCAGCCCCUUCAACUUAAGCUUCACAAACAGCACCUUUCUUUGUUCUGCCAUUGGUUUCUACUAAAAAUAAUUUUCGAAACUAUCUUUCUGAUCUGAAUAAUCUUUUGCAUGCUUCAUUUUCCGGAAGUCAUCUACCUUAAUUCUAACUCCACCACCAUUCAAGUCUAGGCAUGUAACAAUCAGCCUUCCAAUCUACCACAAACAGCAUUAUUUGCUGGUCGAGCAUUAUGAAAGGGGUUUUCAUCCUCUCCAUAUUCAAUUUCAUCCACAAGACCACCUACCGGUAAACCGAAAGGGUCUGUAUUGCCUUGUGGAUUCUCCAUACAGGCUCCCAUUGGUUCCUGUCACUUUAAAUCUUGCACAGCCUGCAACAAAUCUUCAAUCAUACCCUUCAACUCAGCCAGUUCUGUUUGCUGGUCUUGAUUUCUUUUCCACAUCCGCUAACAAGUCCUCUACCACGAUUAGCCAUGGUUUAUAAGCUAAAAUCCUAGUUCAACUUUAAGAUCUCUUCAUCUGAUACCACUUUGAUGUAGUAUGGAAGUAGAAACAGCAAAAACAAAAGAAAAACAAUGACGAAAACCAGAACAAAGGCUAAAAUUGAUCUUAAGAUCAAAGUAGGAACAAGUUACAGCAGCUUUUAAUUGUAGCCCUUCGAUACAAACAACCCCAUCUAAUCUUAGCCAUUCAAACUAAUUAAAAAUGAUCACAUGCUAAUCACGACACAUGACUAGAUAGAAAACAUAAUUACUAACUUUUAACUAAAGUAAAACAUAAUAAGAUAACCAAUUGGAGAUAAAUUUAAGAAUGCUCUUGCAUAGCCUAGCCCAACAAUUAAACUUGCCUAAGGCUUGACUUAACCUAGUACUCAAGUCUCAUAAUUUGCUUGCAUUCAACUCACAAAAUACUUGGAUUCGAUCAGUUUAUUGUUGAGUUAUUCUUGAGCUCUAGUGACCAAUGGAGUCUAGUUCAAGUGUUUAUAUUACUCAGUCAAGAUAGUUCAAGAGUGUAAUCAACUUUUAAUUUUUUGAUAUAUUUUAAAAUUUCAUGUAUGUAAUACUCGUAUAAAACUAAAUAAUACAAAGCUCAAUCAAGCCAGCUUGGAGGUCUCAGACAUAUGUACCCUCCCAAAAAAUGUUCAAGUUGAGCUUCAGGUCUUAGUUUUGUAAUUGAGUCGUGUCAUGUUCAAGCUUGUCAUUUUGUCAACUUGAUUUGGGUCAGUUAUGCAUCUAGACUUUAACCAACUCAAACUGACUAAAAAGGUUACUGAAUCAAUAGUUGAGACAGGGAGAAUUCAAAAACAAAGUAAUCUGGAAUUCUAAAUAUCCAAACUUAACAACCUAAACACCUUUAAAUGACAAGUGGGCAGUUAUACCCCUUUUGCAGUAAAUGCAUAAUUUCACUUGACUUGUCUUGCAUGUGGGGAACUUGUCAGUGGAGUUGUUCAGUGGCAACAUGAGUUUCACUGAGCUAUCACUUGUUUGCAGGAUUUGUUUUGGAUAAAGAAGACCGAAGCAUCACCAGAUCUGAUUUAUACUUCAAGGACCUAUUUCGUCGGUGUGGAUUGCACCUGUAUAAAAUAAAGGUUAUGGCGGUAAAGGGGUCAACUUGACGUAGUUACGCAACUUGGACUUACACCAUAAAAUUCAACCAAAUUCCAACAAAGAUUAGUUGCCAACCCAUCUAGUUGUGUCUGUUACACAUAACCUUUGACUUGCAACAUAACAAUCCCAAGAUGACACAUCUAAAACUGAUAAGUUUAUAUAGAUCAUGCACUAAUAGCCUCAUAUGUUGCCAUUGUCUUAACAACUAAGUCUCUAAGCAAACAUUCAAAAAUUUAGAUCUUGAAACGUUAAAUUACAAGGUCUAGCUAAAAAUCCAAUGAUAGGUGCGGGCUUUAGACGAUGAGAGAGGGCUUCUCCUAUUGUGAAGCCCUCGUUCCAUUGACUUUCAGAUGUGCCCCAAGAACAUAACUUCAGUGAGAGGCGGUGAGUGAUCUAUAUUGUUUGAUAAGUUUUAGAUAUCAUAUCAUCUUUUGUAUCCUUUUAUUCUUAUUUGAUGUUGCUGAGUUGAAUCGAUAAGGGUGUGAUUUCUAGUUGCAUGUUCGAAGUUCCCAUUAGAAAUGGGGGCAGGUUUGGUUUGCAAUCCCCCCACUUCAGUUUAGGGUUUUCAACUAUCAUAAUGUAUCCUUCCUUUUGUUAUUGAUUUGUUUAUUGUUUUGAAAACAGGACCAGAAAGGACUCCCUGAGGAAUUGUUUGCUGUAAAGACGUAUGCUUUAACAACUGAAGGGCCAAAGAAGGUUCUUAAGACAAGAUCCAAGGCGCAAGCCAACAGACCUGGCAUCAUCAAAUGAUUUGUUGCCUCUAACUUCUUGCAUUGUUGUAGGAGCACUCAAACUUUCUGGUGCUUCCUAUGUAAUUUAUUAGUGUAUUACCUCAAAUUGUUUACUUUAUAAGCUCUCUGUGGACAAAUUUUGUCCUUUUUCGUUUGAAGCUGUAUAUAUAUCUCUGAUAUACCUUUGAGUUGAAUUUAUAAACAUAUAUACUUAAUUUUUUAAUUAUUGCUUUCAUAUUUUAAUUUUAUCUUAAAUUUUUAUUUUUUUUACUUUUCAAACAAAAAUAAAGAGUAAAUUUUAGUAUUCCUUUUUACCAAUUCUGUAAUCCUUAGCCUAAUAAUAUUUUACACGUAUAUUUUUGUUCCUAUUCGCAAGACCGGCCCUCUCUCAUAUUUUUGUGUUAUGUUCCAAACGGUGCCGUUUGGCACCUUGUUCCUUACAACCCUAACUAUAAAUUCAUUCUUUUCUCUCUUACUUCGCUUCAUUUUUCCCCUUCUCUCUGAACCGUCGGUGGCUCCCUCUCACAUCUCUCUAAACCAUCAGUUCAUUUCCUCCUCUCUUUCUCUUUCGGCUGGAUGUAAUGAGAAUCUCCCAACCCCAGAAAAAGGAAAUCAACUUUCUCUCCCUCACACUGCCAGAACCUUCCUUUCACCCUCACAAAUCAUUCCCCAACCGAACCCAUUUCCCAGAUCUCUUUCUUUGUAAGCAUUGGAUUUUUGUUUUGGUGCUUUUUUGCCUUUUGGUUGUGGUAUCCGGUUGCUAGAUUAAAAAGUUAGAAAUUUUUUUGCUCUCUUCUGGAGAUUUUUGUUGAAAAAGCCCCUCCUUUUGUGAAGAUUUCUCUUUUUAUAUAUAGAGGCCGAAAAUUCUCUCCUUAGUAUUCGGUCGGCCAUUGAUUCUCUCCUUAUCAGGGUUAUCCUAAUUUUCAUUGAAUAAAAAUGAAAAGGAAAGAUAGACUUCUAAGAUAAUAAAAACAAAAAUAAAAUAAUAAUAAAAGUGCAUAAAAAAAUAGUAUCUACAACUUGAGGGAAUCUAUGUUUAGUUCUCAUAUGUAGGUUUAAAUUUUUUUUUCUUUGUUUGAGAUGGAUAUCAAACCCUUUCUUCAUGAACACCACUUGCUCUAUGAUGACUAUGAUGGAUCAGAGGCACUUUGUAAUAUAUGCAAUCAGAAAAUUCGUGGUAUGGCUUAUUGUUGUGAAAGAUGCAAAUUCUCAUUGCAUGAUUCUUGUGCUCAUCAACAGCUACCUCCUCAGAUAAGCGAUCCUUGCCAUCUCCAACACAACCUUACUCUCGAAAGGUCAAAUUACAUAGAUUACAUAUGUGCUAAAUGUUUCAAUCUUUCUCGAGGCCAUAGAUAUCAUUGCAAAGAGUGUGAUUUUAGCCUUGGGUAUCAAUGUGCUUUUUCAACUAAUGAUGAGAAAAAUAAACUCAAUGAUGAGACAUCUAAAAAAAUUGGUGAUUUUAUCGUCUUUAAUUAUAGGAGAGUGAGAAAGUAUGAGUAUAUAUGUAGUUGGUGUGAGAACCAUUUGUCCGGAAUGUCUUAUGCUUGUCUUGGCAGUGGUGCUUAUUUCUGGUUCCAUGAUUCCUGCCUAAUCAACAUGCCUAGCAUAAUCUUCAAACACCCAUUUCAUCCAUCACACCCUCUUUCAUUAUGCAACAGUCACUUUGAUUAUCGGUUGUGCAAUGCUUGCAACUUACCAGUAUGGGAGUUUAUAAAAGCCUAUCGUUGUAGAAAAUGUGAAUUCUACCUUCAUGUUCAUUGUGCUAAACUACGACCCAGUCUUAAGGUUGAGUUACAUGAGCAUGAUCUUACUUUUUUUCGAAUAAAAGUUAAUAUCGCUUCCCACCGAUGCAGGAUAUGCGGUUUUGAUUUUGAUGCUUCAGGGGAUGAAAGUGCUUUUUAUCGUUGUGUCCAUUGUAAUUUCAAUUACCAUUUCGAAUGUCUUACAAUACCACAUUCUACUUCACACAAGUAUCAUAGGCAUGAUCUCAUGCUUAUGGAUUCAUUUAUAGAAGAUGUUUCUGAAGAAUAUAAUUGUGAUAUAUGUGAAGAAGAAAGAAAACCCAAACAUAGUGUUUUUUGUUGCAAGAAAUGCAAAUUUGUUGCUCACAUCGAAUGUGCACUCAAUAAGGUAAGGGGACAUUUACUCUCUCUCUCUAGAGAAAUUUAAUAAAUAUUUUUUUAUUAGAUAAACUAUUAAUUAUUUGAUCAUAGGUCACAUGUAAUGUGCCCCUUAGAAAAAUUUUGAUGCUAAUGUUUUCACUUCCUCAGGUUGUAGAUACGAAACUUGAUCAAAGUUUGACCUUUAGUUUGUUGGAUAACAAAGCUUCAACAUCGAAGGUAAUGGAAUUGGGUCUUCUAUAUUGAUAUUAUUGUGAUGUUUUCACUUGCCAAUAAUGUUUUUUUUUUUAAGUUUACAUCACUUGAGGUCUUCUAUGAUUCUUUGGAUUUAUAUAUUAUAAAGAUUUUGUAGUAAUAAACACUAUUUAUGUUUUUGAAUAAAAUUCAAUAAAAAAAAUAAAAAAUGUAAAUAAUAUAGGUAAGAAACCUCUACUUAUAUAACAGUAUUCAAAAUUAAUUUGGAGAUGGCUUUAGUAAAAAUAUUGAAUGCUGAAUAAAAUAAAAACACAUACUAGCAUCAUGUUAAUUUCUGAAUAUAUAUAUUUGAUUAUUUAAUUAUUGCUUCCAUAGUUUAGUUUUAUCUUAAAUUUUCAUUUCAUUUACUUUUUAAACACAAUUAACAAGUAAAUUUUACUAUUAAUUUUGACCUAUUUGUAAUUUUUUGGUUUUCAUUCACCAUUUUGAAUUUGUUUCAAAACCAUCUGUAUAUUAACAUGUCAAUAAAAUAUAAAUGAAAUUUGUCACGUAAAUUCCACAUAUUAUGUGAAUUAUGUGAAUGUAGUCACAUGGACAUAACUGUAGUGCUUAGAUGGCAAAUCCGUUUCAUAUUUAAUAGUGUAUUGAUGGAUAGAUGAAUUUAAAAUAAAUUUAAAAAAACGUAGAUGGAAAAAAUCGAGUUUGUUUAGUCAUAAAUGAAAAUAAAAUAUUAUGACAAUGCUACAAACUAAGAAUGCACUUUACUUAAAAAAUGGAUGAAGAUUAAUAACUUUCUUCACUCAACCUGGUUGUGCAGGUGCAAAUUGAACAUUUUGAUCAUCAACAUCCCUUAAGCUAUAAUGAGACAAUUGAACAGAAUGAAAGUCUUCUUUGCAAUGCUUGCCGUCAAGAAAUUUUUUAUCAACACUAUGCUUGUGAAGAUUGUAAAUACUACUUACAUGAAACGUGCACUACAUUGCCGUAUGAAGUGUCACACCCUCUUCAUUGCCAGCAUCUUCUCAAGCUCUUCACGGAUAUAGUUGAAUUUACAUGUCAUGGAUGUAGGGAACAUUCUGGUGGGUUUGCUUACAUGUGCCUUCCUUGUGAUUUCCAACUUGAUGUGAAAUGUGCUACUACUCCAAUCCCACCUCAAAAUGAGAGGCAAAAGCUGAAAGAGAUGGAGAAAGUUUCCAAGUUGUGCCCUUUCAAUCAAAAUCAUAAGCUAGACUUCUUCAACCGUAGACUCAAUUUCAAAGAUUUGGCUUUGGAAUGCGAUGCUUGCAAGCUACCAAUCUUGGGUCCAGGUUAUACUUGUCGUGAUUGUUUCAAUAUCAAAAUUCAUGAAUCUUGUCUUGCACUUAUGCGGGAGAUGCAACACACAUUUCAUCUGUUACACCCGCUUCAUCCACAAAUCGGCGAUUGGGAAAAUUGUUCUGCUUGUAGAUUUAAAAUCAUUGAGAGUAUUGGUUAUAGUUGUCGGCAGUGUGAUUUCCACCUUCAUCUUCAUUGUGCUAAUUCCUUGAAGCUAGCUUUAAAAAUUAAGUCUCACAUGCAUAAUCUUUAUUAUUUUGGACCAGAUUAUGAGAAAUCUUACCAAUUAUGUAACAAAUGCAAAAGUUACAUUGGUAAGGAACCUUUCUAUUAUUGCGUGGAGUGCAAUAUGAAUUUGCACUUAAAAUGUGUUCCCAUACCAUGUUCAAUUAAAUCCAAAUGUCACAUGCAUUGGUUGACUCUUAAAAAUCAUUUUGUGGAAGAUGAUUCUGGAGAAUACUAUUGUGACAUUUGCGAAGAAGAAAGAAAUUCAAAAAAUCAUUGCUAUUAUUGUGAAGAGUGUGCUGGACAAUUUGUUGCUCACAUCGAGUGUGUGUUUCUUAAAGUAAGUUUAUCACUAUCUUUUUUUCUGUAGAUUUUUUUUAUGCCACAUUAUUGAUUUUUUAAAGGAAAAUAAGAAUCUAAAUUGCACAUCACAUGAUCAUAUCCAUCACCUCUUUGAUUUAUUAGACUUUAUUAAUGGUUAAAGUAUCUCAUAGGUCCAUAUACCAUAGAAUUUUUGUUAAUUUAAGUCUUUUACCUAAACUGGUUAAUUGAGUCUCUAUAUUUUGAGAUUUUAUAUAAUUGAGUCAUUUUGCUUAACUGCAUCUAAAUUAACCAUUAGUGGUGUUGGAGUGGCACGAACAUGUUAGAUAAAAAAAAAACAAAUUGGCCACGUGGCAUUUUUUUCUUUUUUCUUUAUUCUUCUCUCAUGUGGCAUUAGUGGUGUUGGAGUGGCAUUUCGAUUAUCCUAGAUCUAAAAUCAUAAACUUGUAAAAAAGAAACUUGUUUCUUUUCACUGCUGUGUCCUUGACUUGAUGUUAAUUGUCAAUGGUUGUGUUUUUCAUGUUGUAGGAUUUUGAAUUUACAAAUGGAAAUUUUCAUGAAAUUUCCAACUUGAAAGAUGUUGAUUCACCUAUUGAGAGUUCCUUUAUGGAUAAGUUGCUUUCCCAACCCCAUGCUGAAGUUUACUUGAACCAAAACAGAAUGGUAGUUAAGUUCUAUAUAAGUUCAUUUUAAAGAUUUCAUCUUUUAUGCGAAUAUGAAUUUUAUUUUAUGAAUAGUUGAAUGGAAGAAAAGUUUCACGAUUUUGUGGAUGCUAUUGUUGUUGCAGAAGUAUUGGGUGGACAAGAAGUUAAACAAAUACUGCUUCAUGUUGUUUGCAAGAAACCUUACAAUCACUUGGUCAGAAGACCACCGUUACUGGCAUUGGUCAUACCAAAGAGAAACAAACAGGUUAGCGUUGAUUUAUUAUCCAUUCAGAAUCCUUACUUCAUAGUUCUAGCUCGAGAGCUUUCCUUAUCCAUAAACUUUUGAUUUUACAGUGAUGUGUUGAUUAAUGUUGUCGAACUUCUAGAUGUGUGUUGGCUAGAAAUGCAUGUGAAAUUCAAUGUAAAAAAGCUCUCACCAAAAACAUUGUAUGGACUUGUGUUCGUGCUUAUGUUGACAAAAGAAGCAUAUGGAUGGGAACAUCUAGUGAACUUCGGAUUCACUCUUCCAAAUGGGUACAAAGUUGAACACAAGGAAUCUUUGAAGUCCAAGCCGAGAGGAGAAUGGAUAGAAAUCAUUGUUGGAGAAUUUACAACUUCAUCUGAAAUUGUCGGAGAAUUAGAUAUUUACUGUCACGAAUAUGAUGUAUUAUUUUGGAAGAGAGGACUUAUUGUUAAAGGAGUUGCUAUUCUACCAAAGAAUUAAGUAAUAAAUUAGUAUUUUUUCACAAUAAAUCUAAAAGUAUCAUAGCUAUUUUAUUUGUUCAUAAUCCUACAGAUUCCAAAAUGACAUGAACUUGAAAGGAACAAACUCAUCCAAUUAUCACCUCAACAACUAAUUUUCUAGUCCUCAUUAUACUAUGUAAGUUCCAUGCUAAAUGCAAUGAACAAGCCCAUUGAUUUUUUUGAUAUGUUUUAUUAGAUUUUUAGACCACCAGUGACUAGUGGCUGGCUAUCAAAAUCUGAGUUUGGGGAUCAGAAUCUGCGAUAGAAGGAUUGGAUAGAGAGCGAGAGAAAGAAGGAAAGAAGGAAAAAUGAAAAAAGAAAAAAUAAAUGUCCUUUAAAUAGAAGGCUUAAAAUGACUAGUUUUGGACAAAUGAGAAAAAAAAUAGAAAAGCCAUGUGAUUAAUUUCUUUUUUAGUCUAACACAUCAACGUUAGGAUUUUUUGGCAUGUUAACGCAACAUUAGCACCAAUAACGGCUAAUUUGAGUGGAGUUAGAUAAAAAGACUUAAUGGUACAAAAUUUGAGUGUACAGAGACUAAAUUAACCAAUUUUGAAUAGAUUGACUAAAUUGACGAAAAAAAUCUUUAAUAUAGGGAUUUAUGAGGUACUUUGACAAAAAAUCUUUAAUAUAGGGAUCUAUGAGGUACUUUGACUAUUAAUAAAUUUCAAUCAACCAAAGAGAUGAUGGAUAUGAUCAUGUAAUGUGUAUGUGUAAUUUAAAUUCUUAUUUUUCCUUUUAAAAAAUUCAAUAAUGUGGUAUAAAAGAAUUCUACAAUGAGAAAAAAUAAUUGUUAGCGUCUCAGCAUUUUCUGAAACCUUUUCAGCACUUCGAAGCCUUGUCCAUUAAUUAAUCAACUUGUUUCAGGCAUGUUCUCAUAGUAACACAAGUCUUUACGUUGUGUAGACCUUUUAUUUCUUUUUGACCUCUUGCAAUCUUGAGCAAGGCUGGUUGUGUAUAUAGUGGAGCAUAGUUGUUUAUCCCCACAUAGUUGUGUAUAUAGGGAGAUGUAUGUCUAAGCUAUAGGGAUGGUUUUUGUUCACUUGCUUUUUCGUAUAUUGAUUUUGCUUAAGGUAUAAAGGUAUAGAAUUUUUAAAAAAAGAUACAAAAUUACAGUAUUAGCAUCUUGAUAGCCAUAUUUGGAAUAAAAAAGUAGCAAUUAAAAGAAGCAUUUUAUCUUUAAUGAUGAGUAAGCUUUCUUUGGCCUUUUUCUUUUUUAUAUUCUUUCAAUAAUUUCCUUCUUUAAAUAGAGAAAAAAAAAACAAUGUUGACAAGGCAUGAAGCACAUGCCAUUUUCUUGUUUUUGGUAAAAGGGCUUGAGGGAAUCUUUAUUUAGGUUUUGUAUUUAAACAGCCUCUCUCAUCAAAAGGCUAGUAGUUGAUCAUCUCUCUCUCUUCAUCUACCUAAAUUUCAUUUUUUUUGUUUGUUUGAGAAAACAAGGUAGAGACUGUUCUGCUAUUAGGAUAUUCUAUACUUGUUUUGGACAGAAAUUUAGUACCUCUUCUAAUCUUCAACUGAAAUACCCCAUACUUUGAUAUGAUGAUCAAUAAAGUUGGCCGGAUGUCAAAAUCAGUCAUGAAGAAGGAUCAUAUGGUUGAUCCAAGUAGGGGAAACGAUGUCAAGCCUAACUCUAUAAAAUACUUGUCAUGACAUACAUGUGGUGGAUAGCAUGGUUGCAUAUUAGGAGAGUCCCAAAAAAUCGAUAAAAGUCGAUAUUGUACCUAUAGGCACAACAAAGUUGAUUUAAGCCUCGAACUAGAUCAAAUAGAGAAUUUAAGAUGAAAUUAAGAAUAUUAAAGUUCCAGAAUGGUUUAAUAUGGUGAUUUGGAGUUCGAAUGUCAAUUUGGAGUCAAACCGAAAUUUUCACUAUCUAGGGGCAAAAUGGUCAUUUGCCACCUGGGGACAAAAUGAGAAUUUUUAGAAAAGAUUUUUUGGCCCCAUAUGACUUAUUGAAGUAUGAUUUGAGGUUAAGAAGUGAAAAAAAUUUAUUCUUGGUAUUUUUUGGAGCAUAGGGGUAAAAUGGUAAUUUUACCACCCUAAGGGCAAAAUAGUAAUUUUCCACUACCAGGACAUUUGUCCAGCACAUGGUCUUCCCUUAUCCUCAUUUUGACCAGUGACUAAUCAUGUGGUGGAGAUAAAAAGGUUUAAAAUUUUUAAAGUUUUAAAAAUGGACCAAUGGAAACAUGCCACGUGUCAAGCAAGAAUACUUUAUUAUUUUUCUUAAAAAUCAGCCCAUAUUUAUCCCAUUUUCUCUUCAUGUGGCCGGCCACAGUAAGAACAAGAGAGGAAAGGAAAAAAAACACAAAACCUAGGUGGAAAAAUUGAAGAAAAAGUGUGGGAUUUCAAAGGAUCAAGCAAUAAAAGGUAAAAUUUCUUGAUUUUGACUUGUGAUCUACCUUUCCCAUGCAUUUCUCCUUAUUUUUCAUGGUUAAAUUUCAUGUUUUCAUGGUGAAUUUAUGGCUGCCCAAAUGGGUACGGAGAGAGAAUGAAGUUAGAUUGAUUUGAUUUUAAGUUAUGUUAGUGUUUUUAGUUAGUUUAGCAUAUUUAGAAACAAAACAACAAGAAAAGAAUUCAUUUUCCCCCAUCACCAUCAUUGGCUGAAUUUUUUAGGGAGGAUAUUGUGGCUGAAAUUGAUGAUAUUUGGGUGAUAUUUGAUGUUUGGUGAGGCUAUAAAUUAAAUGAGAAAUUUUGGUAUGAAAAUCUGAAUUUUUACCUAAUGUAUAGACAUGUGUGAUUAUUGAUCCGGGACUGAUAAAUUGAAUCUCAUUCACAGUCACUGAGGUAAUUUAGGUAUAAUUGGAGCGUAGAAAGUGAGAAGAAUUGAUUUGGAGUUAAAUUGGAGAUUUUAGCCGAUUAGGUCGAGUAUAGUGUGACUUAGGUCGAAUAUCACAUUUAAGUGAUUAAUCAGACAUUUUGCAUCCCAUCUCAUGCGUUCAUUUAGAUUAGAGAGCCUAAAAUAGUUUAUGAUAAAUUGACACAAUUUAUUGAAAUUCAUGCCACGUAUGAUGUAUAGGUGGUGAGCCCUCUAACAAGGGUAAAGAAAUAGUGCCCGAAGACCGAGAAUAGGAAUAUAUCGAACUCCUAGUAUUGUGAGUAACCUUAUCAUCAUUUUUAUUAUCUAAAGUAUGUUUUUAAUCGGUUUUGGUGAAAUUUUAUGAAAAUGAGUUUAAAUGGUAAAUCUUGAGUUUUACAAACAAAAUGUGUCUACACAAAAAGAUUUUAUAAAUUGUUUUAAAAUUGAAUGAUGAUUUUGAAAAAAAGAGUAAUUGGAGGCCACUUGUUAUGAAUUAAAUUUAUGAUUUAAAUCUAAUGGCUUAUGACAGUAUUUGCAUGAAUGAUUGAAUUGGUAUUUGUGUUGAAAUAUAUGAAAUGUGUUUUUAACCUUGAAAGGCUGUGAAUUAUAAUAAUUGCCAUGUCAUGCUAGAAUAAAUUUUAUUGAUUUGUGGAUUAUAUAUUAAUUAAUCACUGCAGUAGGGGGUCUUUGUGGAUCAGCCUUUUAGAAAGACACGGUAAAUCCCAUUAUAUUCUUACUUCGAACGGAGAGGCGCGUAGGGUAUCUCCUGGGGUAAAGCUUAGAGUUCACUUCAAGCCGAACCACCACUUGAAGGGGAACUCAGCCAACGCCAAGGAACGGCUGUGUUUUUUCAAACUAAAAAUAUGUUUUACGUGUAUAUGAAAUUUUUAACAGCCUUGGCGGCUCGAGUGUACGCCUCUGAUCAAGGUGUUAUCGAGUAUAUUUGAUGGCAUGAGCCAAGUGCUUAUGAAAGUCAUAAGCCCUAAUGAGAAAUUAAAUAAAAUACAACCGUUUGCAUGGAUUUGGAUGAAUUUUCAAAUUGCGAAAUACUUAAAAUGAUGGGAUAUUUUAAUUGUCUCUUUUUACUCGAUUUUAGCUGAUUUAAAUGAUGUUUGUUUACUCACUAGGAAUGUAUAAUCUCACCACCCUCAUUUCCACUCAUUUCCACCCAUUUCAGGCUCAGAGUAGGCUGUAGAUAGUUGAUUCCAUUGAGGGCUUCUAUUGGAUUAGCGUCCUCCACACAGUAGGUUCACAGUUUCUUUAAUUCUAGUUAUUAUGGGCUCACUUAAUAUUGUAAAUUUAAUAGUUUAUUGUGCUACAAUAUGAUGAAUUUAUUUUAUUUUUACGUUACAAAAAGUAUUUACGCAUAACUCCAAAAUUUCUGUUUAUAAGAAAAUAAAAUAUUUUAUUGAAUAUUUUGUUUUAUCUUCUUAUUAUAUUCAAAUAAUUAUAAUUUCAUUUUAAAUAAAGGUUUUAGAUGCCUAAACUUAUUUUUAAUUGUGAAUUAUGUGAUUGGUACUUGUUUACUACAUUUUUAACUAGUUUUGAAAUUUUCAGUGGAAAAAUGAACAAAAUGCCCCUAUGAGACAAAAAUUUUUAUUUUAUCAGUUUUAAGUUGCAAAAUAACUCAAAAUCCUUUAGAGCAUAAAAUUUGGCAACGGUUACUCACCGGGGGAAAUGAGAAACUGAUAUUAAGCAUUGCGGGGUUUCGGUUGGCAUUCUGGGAGAUGAGUACCCAUCGGGGCAUCGCGGCGGUUGUCACAGGCUCAAGGGUAGUUCCGGGUCGUGACAUCAACCAUCUUGGUGCUGCAAAAAGGGGGUUGUAGCUAGAAAUUAACAGCAAAAAAGAUGCAAACAAGGCUGUUGAUGUGAAUGAUAUAGCUUGGUUUGGGUUAUACAAGGCACAACAAUCUUUUGAAUGUCAAAUACACUUUCCUAUAUUUAAGCUUAUUCUUCAUAAUGUGUAGGACUGCAGGGCAUUUUAUUCAAUUAUAUUUUGGUUAGAUUGUAGGGAAAAGAAAGCUAGAGAAAAAGACAACAGAGAGAAACAUUUUUUGACAAUGAUUCAAAAUUUAAUUUCAUUAAUAAGUUAAAGAAUUAUAGCAAAUUGUCAAAAAGGUCAAAAAAAAAUUUUUCUGCUUCUUUUAAUCUCUCUUGGCUAGAAGAAAUGUGCAUUCUUGAACUAGUGAUUUGCAAAUAAGUGGCUGCUUUUCUUGUAUACUUUUGAGUUGAAUGACCAUGUACUUAUCCAUUUUGUAUAUUUCAACAAAUUUAUGUUAAUAUUCAAGUUUCUAAUAUUUGAAUGAGUUUAUAUUUGAUGCAUUAACUAUGUAUAUAAGAUACACUGUCAGUGUAUCAAAUAUGAAUCCUAUUUAAAUAGAUUAAGAGUACAUAGUUAAAAAUUGCAGAGGGCUUAAUUUGAGAUAGUAGUUUUUUGUAUGAAAGAAGAAAAAGAAGAUUUUGCUGCUUUUUUUUAUUUGUUUUUGUUAAUUUUAUUGUGUCAGCUUGAUUUUAUGUCAAUAGCCUUAUCAAUUCAUCUUGGUUAGUAAUCAACUGCUUUAAUAACGAUGCUUCCCAACAAAAAGUUUAAAAGGGAAAAUAGGAGAUUCCAAACUUAAAACCUUGAUGUCCUUGAUGCUUUUCUUAUUUCUCUGUCUUUUUCUAUUUAUUGUUUUAGUUACAAAAUUGUAGAAGUAGCAUCUUGAUUGCCACAUUUUUAAUUAAAGAAGUACCAAUUUAAGAAAUAUUUUAUCUUUAAUGAUAAGUGAGUUUUCUUUGACCCUUUUCUUUUUCUUGAAAGAUUGAGAAUAGUCUUCCAUGAAAAAAGAGUAUAUCUUAAUUAAAUUAUUGAAGUCAAGAAACUAAGAUUAGCUUCCAUAUUUUCACAAUUAUUUCCUUAUUUUAAAAAAGUAAAAAAUAAUGUUAUUUUUUAUCACUCACUUGAUUAAUUAAUAUGAAAUUGUCGUUGUAUUAGUAAAAUGAAUUUAACAUUAAUUAAUCACAAUAUACGCAUGAUGUGUUUUCAUCGUGCAAGUAAUUGUUGUAUAACUAAAGCAAAAGGAAAGUAAUUGCUAUAUAACAUUAGUUUACUUAGAGGGCAAUAUUUAAUUAAAAAAAAAUAAUUCCAAACUUAAAACCUUUAUCCUCUUAAAAACCAAUGAAUAGAGUAAAGUUAAUUCUCCGUAAAGUGAUUUGAUUUCAAAAUGCCAAAGGCCCUUGAUGCAUUUCUUUUUUUUCUUUAAACAAAACACUCCCCUUGCUAAAACUAAAGUGAGAAUCAAUUAAGUAUGGUACAAUUUAUAGAUACAUUUAUGUCACUAGAAAUACUUUGUUUCAGAGUUAAUUUUUUUAGAAAUAAUAAAGAUGAAUUAUAUAUUAAAAAAGAGAAGGACAAGAGUAUCUCUUUACAACUUGACAAAAAGGACCCGCGGCUACAUCAAAAAACAACCAAUGGGGCUUGAAAACUUGGGUAGAUUAGUACUUACCAUAAGUCCAGCCAGAGGCGGAGGGAAGGGGGGCUAAGAAGGCCCCGCCCCCAAAAUUUCAAAAAUUUAUAUUUUUUUGUUUUAUUUUAAAAAUUGAUAAUUUUAUCUUUAUUUUUUAAAAAUUUUAUAAUUUUAUCCUUUCAAAUAUUAAAAUUUUUAUUUUCUCAUUCUCAAAUUUAAAAUAUUGACUACGCUACUGAAUCCAGUCAAAUAGUAUUAAAAAGAAAACAUUACAAAAGAUAAAAAAACCCACCCUAUACAUAGUAAAAUGACCUGUACAUAAUCGUUUCCUAAAAGGAGGAUCUAAAACGGUGUUCAGCCAUUAUCCUACAGAAAAAGAGCAGGUAAAAAAAAAACAUCAAUGGUUCUCAUGAAGGUAGCAGUGAGCACUGUGAUGCACAGCAAAAGUAAAUAAAGUAAGGGGACAGAACACCUCACACUAGGUUAAUAUUUCUUUCCAGGGUUGGCAUGGAGUCAUUGAUCCAAAGCAAAUUUGUUGAUCUUGAGACACCUUCUUUGGCCAGCGUGUUAGCUUUUAUAUUAGCAGAUCGAGAACAUCUUCCAAUCUUGCCAAGUGUAUUAAAUGUUUGAAUUAUCAGAGUCCUCAUUCUUCAUGUCUUCCUUAAUAUCAAUCACUUUUACAUAGAAUUUAAUUUUAAUUUUACAUUUGGAUUGUUGUGCUAGGGUAUGGCCGUAAAGGGGUCAACUUGGAUUUACAGCAUAAAACUCAACUAAAUUCCAACAAAGAUUAGUUCCCAACCCAUACAGUAUAUUUGUAUAAGUUACUUGACUAAUUUACAUUGAAGAAGUAAAUUUGCAUAUCAACCACAUCAUAAGCUAAUCAAUCACUGGAAAUAUGAAAUUACCACUAGUGCUUGCUAAAUUUUAUAAACAAAUCAUCUUAAUAAGCAAUAACUAUAUGUGCGAGGGCUAAUUGUUUGAGUUAACAUUCCAUGAAAUUUACCCCAAAAUUUAUGUUAAUAUUCUAGCUUGUGAUUAAGUCAAAUAUUCAAGUUUCCAACAUUUGAAUAGAUUAGGAGUACUUCAUAAAUGAAGGGGUUUAAUUUGAGGUAAUAGCUUCAAGUAUGGAAGAAGAAAAACAAGAUUAUGGUGCUUAUUUUUUUAUCUUUUUUUUUUAUUUUCUUGUCUUGUGUUGAUUUUAUGUCAACACUCUUAUUCGCUAUUUGGUAAUUUUGGACGUGUGUAUUUCUGCAGUAAUGUUUAUGAAAUGGUAUGGAUAGCAUUGAUAGCUGUGGAUCACGAGACAUAUAUACACUUUAGAUAACUAUUUAUUUGAGACGUGCUGAGAGGUGAUUUAAUUAUUUCUGUUAGCUGAGUUGUUUUUUCGGAGGUUCAGCCGACUUCUUAAAGAGUCCAACUGGAGCUAUUUAUCCCCAAAAUGGAGCUUAAUUUGGGCAUGUGGCAUGUGACAUGCGACAUUGCCACAUCUUCUCAAGAAAAGGGCACAGGCAAAACCAGAGGAAAUGCGAUAAGUAAAGGCCAAAUAAAUAAAAAGGCUAAUCAUAAUUUAACCAAAAAAAAAAAGAGAAACAGAAAGAAAGAUGGUGCACAUCUUGUCAUCAUCCAUCGAUUAGACAUCCCAUCCCUCACCAACCCAACGUCCUUGGACAACUUCUUCCACAUAUGUUGUCCAAUAAAAAUCUCUCAAGUGUCUCGCAUUGCUUGAAAUGAAAAAAAAGACUGCCACGUGCUACCUUCUUGGCAAUUGCUACCAGCGUUCUCCUCCUUCCGCUUGGUGUCGCCUGUACAGCCACAACCACCACCACCACCACCAUUUGCAAUUCUCCUGAUUCAGAAUUCUUAUCACAUUACUACUGUUGGAAAAGUGUUUGACAAGCAACCUUCAGCUGGUAAGUUAGCUUCACUUUCACCUUUAUUAUGAAAAAUUUUAUACGCAUCGCUUUUGGAUUACAAAGCAUCCUGGUCAAAUUGUUUCCGUAGUGAGGUAGAAGUUGUCAUUCAAGAAAAAUUACGAGGACGACUUAUAAAGCAUUUUAAUUCUCAUGGUUUUUGUUUUUUAAAAGAAUAAUUUUGGGUUCAACUGUAAGAAAUUAUCUUCCACUUGUUCAUUCUUAAAAAACAGGGUCGGAAGAGAAGCAGCUUCAACCUCUUCCACUUGUUCGGUCAAUCAAUAAUUAACUGCUGUUUUCGUUAAUCAAUUUACAUUUGAGUAACAACAAAAACAAUGGCAAAAGCACUUCUUUCCAUGAUCCUGGAGCAGUUGGGUGGUUCUUUCAUUCCUCAAGAGAUAAAGCACCAUAUCGGAUUGGCUGUAGGUCUUGAAGAAGAAAUCCAAAAACUCACCAGCCACUUUGAGGCCAUUCAAGCUGUGCUUGAAGAUGCGGAAAGAAAACAGGUGAAGUAGGCCAGUGUGAGACAUUGGUUAUCUAAGCUCAAAAAUGUUUCCUAUGAUGUGGAGGAUGUGUUGGAUGAGUGGAACACUGCAAAACUCAAAUCAAAACUUGAGAAAGAAGAGAGAGCAACUGAACAUGCUUCUUUGCCAAGGAAGGUAUGCUACUCUUUCUCCUUCUCUUCCUCUAAAAUCAUACUACAGCACAACAUCGCUCAGAAAAUCAAAGAAUUGAAUGGACAAUUAGACUUUAUUUCUGCUGAGAAAGAUAGGUACAAAUUCGAACUAUGGAGGGGAAUUCAUGAAGAAUCUGAACUACAAAUAACUACCUCUUUCAUAGAUGUUACUGAUGUAUAUGGCAGAGACCAAGAUAAGAAUGCUGUAUUAAACAUGUUGUUGGAAGAGAAUAGUGAAAAAGAUUCCACUCUCCAAAUCAUCACUAUAGUAGGGAUGGGAGGAGUAGGGAAAACUACUCUUGCUCGACUAGCCUACAAUGACAAUAUUGUGGAUACUCAUUUCGAGAAAAAAAUUUGGGUGUGUGUCUCAGAUCCUUUUGAUGGCAUCAAGAUUGCCAAAGCGAUUCUUGAAUCUCUUGGAGAUGCUGUGCCAAACUUUGUUGAAUUACAAACUCUACUACAACGUAUUAGGAAGUCAGUUGUAGGAAAAAGAUUUCUUCUUGUUUUAGAUGAUGUGUGGAAUGAAGAUGACUGGAAGUGGAAACCCUUCAAAGAUUCUCUCAGUUGUGGUUCUUUGGGAAGCAAAAUCUUAAUGACCACGCGUAAGGAGAAUGUUGCGGUUGCAAUGGGUUGCACUACUUUGUUCCCACUAGGGAAGUUGGCCAAAGAAGAAUGUUGGCUGUUGUUUAGUCGGGUAGCCUUUUUUGGAAGGACUAGCAGGGAAUGCCAGAUGUUGGAAGAUUUUGGUAGGAAAAUAGCAGACAAAUGCCAAGGUUUGCCACUUGCUGUGAAGACUCUUGGGGGUCUCAUGCGCUCCAAAAGAACUAUAGAACAAUGGCAAAGUGUUUUGAAUAGCGAAAUAUGGGAGUUGAAGGAGGCUGAAAGAGGUAUUUUCCCUCCCUUAUUGUUGAGUUAUUAUGAUUUGUCCCCAGCUUUAAAACAAUGCUUCUCAUUUUGUGCCAUAUUUCCGAAAGACUGUGAUAGAGAAAGAUAGGCUGAUCAAACUAUGGAUGGCGCAAGGUUUCCUUAAGGAGAAGCAAAUCAAAGAUAUGGAAAUCCUUGGUCAAGAGUAUUUUGAAGACUUAGCAAUGUGCUCUUUUUUUCAAGACUUUGAAAGAGAUGGCGAUGGCAACAUAAAUAAAUGCAAAAUGCAUGAUUUAGUACAUGAUUUGGCCCAGUUUCUGACGAAGGGUGAGUGUUUCAUGGUAGAGGUCUAUGGUGUUGAACAGCCUCAGGUAGAUACUUACAGUGAAAAAGGUCGUCAUUUAAUGUUGGCGCUUGGAGAGAAGGUCAUAUUUCCUACCUACAUUUAUAAUGUUAAGAAAUUGCGUAGCCUCCUAGUUGAACCAAUCAAUUUUUAUGCUUCAAUAAUGAGCGAAUCCUUACCCAAGUUAUGUAAACAGUUGACUUGUCUGAGAACAUUGGACUUGAGUACCAAGUAUCAUACUAUCUUUGGUAGCACAAUUACAGAAAUUCCAAAAGAGAUAGCAAAAUUGAUUCAUUUGAGAUACCUUAACAUAAGUAACAAUGAUGAUUUAGAAGAAUUGCCAGAAGCAUUGUGUGAAUUGCUUAAUUUACAAACCUUAGACCUCAGUUUUUGCAAAAAGCUAAAGAGAUUGCCAAAUGGAAUUGGAAAACUAGUAAACUUGAGGCAUCUUAAGAAUUAUGGUACUUGGAGAGUAAGGUUCAUGCCAAAAGGAAUGGAGAAAUUAACGUCUCUUCGAACACUAAGGGAGUUUCCAUUGAGUGAAGGUGGUACUAGUUGUGAAACAUCUUCGAUUGGGGAACUGGGAAGCUUGACCCACCUUGGAGACUAUCUUGAGAUUAGAGGAUUGGGAAAUGUGAGAGAUGUGAAUAAGGCCAGGAAAGCAAAUCUUCGGAGCAAGGAAUGCCUCUUUAAUCUGUUACUCAAAUUUGAUAUGGAUGAGAACAAGUCAGGAGGGGGGUUGCCAAAUGGUGAUGCACUUGUUCUUGAAGCCUUACAGCCACCUCCUUACUUGGAAUGUUUAGAGAUACAUAACUACAGAGGCUCGAGCACAUUGCCAAAGUGGAUGUUGGCAUUGACCAACUUGAGGCAUCUUGCAGUCUGCUCGUGCAGAAACUGGGAGAGAUUGCCUCCCCUGGGGAAACUUCCAUCACUUGAAUCACUUUGGAUCUAUGACAUAAGGAGAGUAAAGAAAGUGGGAGUUGAAUUUUUAGGAAUAGAAAGAGAUGAGGGGCAAGGAUCUUCAUCCUCAACUGUUAUUCCCUUCCCGAAUCUGAAAAGACUUGAAAUUCAUGACAUGAAUGAGUUGGAAGAGUGGGAAUAUGGGGAGUUUCAUUUCCUUGGCAAGAGAAAAGAGCAAAUUAGUAUAAUGCCAUGUCUCAGUUUCUUAGUGAUUGAUAGAUGCCCGAGGUUAAAGGCACUACCACACCACCUUCAAAAUUCAAGCAUUGAGACAUUGGAGAUAAGAUGGUGUUCUAUUCUGGAAACAGGGUGCAUUAUCUCUCGCAUUCCUAACAUCCGAAUAAACUAUAUGGAGGUGAAAAGAGAUAAAGUUUGAACUCUUCUUGGGUCCAGAAGAUCACAAAUGCAAGCAGAAGCUCAUCAGGUUCUUUUCUUUUUAAAUCUAUUACUACCUUGCCAAUUUGGAAUACAUAAUCUACAUUUUUGUCUGAAUCAUUGCAUGCAUACAUGGUUUAUUGAUGCAAAAUUUAGCUGAAUAUCGAACUGGUUUGCAUAAUUAGCUGAUGCAAUGAGGUUAGAAAGCCCACUAAGGUGAAAAGUGGCCAAACUACCGUAUUGGUUGGCCUAACCAAGAAUAACUAGAACCUCUCCCUCUUUUGAAAAGAGUCUAGAAAGAAUAAGCACUGCUCAUUCAAGAAUAAUAUUCUUUUUUAAUGUUAAAAUUGAGAGAAAGCUCAUACAUUCAUUAAAGUUAAUAAAAUUGAAAUGUUUGCAUGUGCUUGGUAACACUUAAUUUCGAAAGUUUUUGUUGUAUAAUCUGCGGACAAACUAUAUAUGCUUAAUAUUGCAAUUUAUUUCCUAGGAAGUGUAUAAUAUUUGUGAGGUCUACAUUUUUAGAACCUAACAAAAUCCACGCUUUUAGGAGGAAGAAGCUGAACCAGCACUAGAUGCUCUAUCCAAGCUGAGAGAUAAAGGAAUCAAACAAUAGCAGCAGAGUGAUGAAGAAAAUCCAACCAUGAAGGAAUCGACAGAGGAGCAGCAGACUGAUAGAGAAAAUCUAGCCAUGGGGGAAUCAAUAGAGGAGCAGCAGACUGAUGAAGAAAAUCCAUCCAUGGAGGAACCAACAGAGAAGUAGUAGGGGGAAAAAAAUAUUAGUUUUGGCCUUGUCUAUCUUUUUUUUUUUUGAAUAAGUAAGGAUUUUCAUUGGCCUUGCCUAUCUAGUUGAAGCAGGAUUCUCCUUGUACUUGUUGUCUAGCAUAAGCUUUGACUAUCUUUGGGUUGUAUUUCAAUAUUAAUUGCAGGCUUGCUCACAGAAUUUUCAUCACGAGAACAUUUAUAUCAUCAACGUUUCUCAAGACAUUGAUUUAUGGAUCCUCUGCCUUUUCAUGGAGUGACUUUCCUCCCUUCCUCUUCUUUUCUUCCACAGUGCACUGCUUCUUCAUCGAGCAAUCCUUAAGGGAAAAAGGAUAGUGAUGAUAAGCCAUUGCGAUCAAAGACUGUCCCUCAACUCUAUUCAAGUUCAGGCGAUUACAGGUUGAAUUUAUAGGUGUAUGAACAACCCUUAUUCUAGUAGGAUUCGGACUGGUAUUAAUCCCUCUCUAGUAGUGAAAAACAAAUAACUAUCAGGUUAUCUUAAUAAAGACAUAAAUUAUCUAGUUAUCUUAAUAAAGACAAAUAAAAUAUUUGUAUGCAUAUGUCUACAAUUUAAAGUAUUCAAAGGGUAAACAUGAUACAUGGUCACUAAAUUCAAAGGAGGCACGAGUAAUGUUACUAGCUAAGAAAAGUAUUAUAAGGUUGAUUAAAUAAAUAUUGUAUCAUCUUACUCAAAAAUACAAUAACAUCUAAAUUCUUUUUUACUUAUAUUUUAAUACUUACUUCUUUGACCUGAAACAACAUUUUAAACAAACAGAAAAUGGAACACAUGGAAUCUUAAUUAAUUAACAUAGAGCAAAUGGAAAUUAAGAUCACCCCAGAGGAUUCUGCACUGGAUGUGAACUGAAGGGUAUCCUUAGGGUGUGAAGACCUUUCCUUGACACGUUCUUGCAAAAUUAACAAAUCAAUUAAAAGUAUAAAACCUGGUCCUAUCGAGCUUGGUAGUCCUUUUAUUCCAUUCGUACCAAAAUCUUCACCUCCCGCCCAUCCCAAGAGUGGUGGUUCCACUUAGCCAUCUAAAACUCAUUACUCAGUAACAUAUAUGAUUUGAAGAAUGUAGCAGUAUAAUCUGUAUCUGAUAUUUUAACCAGCUUGUUUUUUGUAUCCUGUCCAGACAAUAACUUCAAGUUGCUUAUGUAUGCAGCUUAAAUUGUAAUAUAUUUCUUAGUUAAUAGGAUUAUAUAUUAAGAACUUAAUGUUGUGGCUUAGUAUAUAUUAAUUUAUAAUAUACUUGAAAAGAAUUAAAGAAACCUCAAUUUCACAUAUCAUACUAGUUUGUCAACUCUAUGUAUUUAUAAUAAUCAUGCUUAUAAAAUUCAUAGAUAUAUUAGCGAAUAUAUUUUAAAUAUGCAUUUAAAAUUUGGUAGCACUUCACCACAAAUUUAUUAUACAUGUUAAUUAUAAUGUAUUUCUUAGUCAAUAGGAUUAUAUAUUAAGAAUUUAAUGUUGUGGUUUAGUAUAUAUUGUUGUUGAUACAGAGAAACUAAAGCUAUGCCAAGUGAUUGGAUUAUAGAAUGGCAAGCUUCUAAAUAUUUACACACACAAAAAUAUGAGAUUUUCAAAAUAAAUCAAAAAAAUUUUGCGAGGGAGUCGACAAAUGCAUUUGUCUCUCCAUGAACAAAUUUGACAUCACCAAUGAUACUAUUCUAGCAAUCAAUUUGGUCGGGAAUCCACCAUUUGUUUCAAGACUUUGAGUUAGCAUUUCAAAUUCAAGAUAGCGUCACCUUUGAAUCGAAAUCAAUAACAUGUUUUUUGGUACCAUCAAGGUUUUAUUACAUUUCAAACUCCAAAAUAAUUGGAUUGCUUGUUUGAUUGCAAGCAAUAAUGAAAAAUGACAUAGUCAUUUCCCUGACCAAAUAUAUCAUAAAUUCUUUUAACUUUCAAAAAAAAAAAAUUAUUCAGCUCUACUAGCACUACCUUUGAGACCAAUAGAGAUUAAACAUUAAAUCUUAAUCUUUGAAAUUUCUUAAUAUGUCUUGUUAAUAUGAAUCGGGUCUAAUUUGGAAAAAAUUUCUGUGUUUGAGAUUGAAAAAUUACUUUCACAUCACAUCAGACUAAGGCUGCUUUAUCUUGCUAAUAUUCUGCAACUUGUUAUCCUCAGAAAGGCAAAGGUUAGUUAUGUCUUCAAAAUGUUUAAUCGAAAGGAGAUUGAUUCUUCAUCAUGACUUCAAGGAUAUAUAAUUGCCUAUUUAAGAAGUGGGUUUAAAUACUUGUGAGUUGUUUUGACGAUACAAGGGCAGUUGACUGAAAUCUUGCAAAGGGGACUUUUUGGGGGAAAUUAUUUAGGAAACAGCUAAGCAGUUGGAGUUCAGCUUUAAUAUGAAGAUAUUAAGGUAACUAUGCAGUAGUCAUUUGGCUUUACUAUGGAGAUAAUUAAGUGAUUCCCACUAGUUUUAUUAUAAAUAAUAUGAUAAUAGAUGCACUUAAAUAUUUGAUUCAAUGAUAGGUGCAUGUAUCCCCCACUAAAUAUCCAAAUUGAACAACCUAAACACCUUUAAAUGACAAGUGGGCAGUUAUACCUCUUUUGCAGUAAUUGCAUAAAUUCACUUGAAUUGGCUUGCAUGUGGAGAACUAGUCAGUGGACUUGUUCAGCGAGUUUCACUGAGCUAUCAUUUGUUUGCAGGAUUUGUUGGGAUAAAGAAGACCGAAGCAUCACCAGAUCUAAUUUAUACUUCAAGGACCUAUUUCGUCGGUAUGGAUUGCACUUGUAUAAAAUAAAGGUACCUUCUAUUGCAUAUUGACCACCUAAUAAGUAGUUGAUAAUGCUUUUUUAAACUGAAUAAUCUGUUAGUUUUCUUGUAAAUGCUUUUGACAACUGUUGUUUCAUGAGCCAUAAUUCUAACUAUAUUUUGACACUGAAAGAAUAUACGAUACAAAAAGCUGCGCAGGUCUGCUGUGGUAUCUUAAAUGGUGCUCAAAGUUCUUAAUCAGCCUCAACUUCCAAUUUUUUUUUUUUAAUUCUGAAAAACAAAAACCCCUCACUGGCUAAAAUAAAGUGGGAAUCAAAUCAGUUUGGUACAAUUUGUAGAUAUGAUACAUUUAUGCCACCAAUGAUACUUUGCUACAGAGUUAUCUAUAUCAUAUAUUCUUUUUGUUUUUCUUAUUAUCAAUCAUUUUUACGGAGAAAUUAUGAUCUUGAAGUCAAAACUGGAUGUUGGAAUAAUUAAAGUAAUAAUCAACCUCAAAAUUGUGUGCUGGGUUAUGGCGGUAGAGGGGGUCAACUAGAUGUAAGUGACACCAUUUGGACUUAUACCAUAAAAUGAAACCAAAUUCCAACAAAGAUUAGCUGCCAAUCCAUACGGUUGUGUUUGUUAAACAUAACUUUUGACUUGCAACAUAACAAACCUACGAUGACACAUCUAAAACUGAUAAGUUUAUAUAGAUCAUGCACUAAUAGCCUCAUAUGUUGCAGUGUCUUAAUAACUAAGUCUCUAAGCAAACAUUCAAAAAUUUAGAUCUUUGAACUUUUAAAAUAUAAUGUCUAGCUAAAAACAUUCAAAAAUUUAGAUCUUGAUAGGUGUGGGCUUUAUAGGAUGGGAGGGCUUCUCCUAUUGUGAAGCCCACAUUCCAGAAACUUUCAGAUGUGCCCCAAAAACAUAACACUAGUGAGAGGCGUUGUGUGAUCUAUAUUGUUUGGUAGGUUUUAGAUAUCAUAUCAUCUUUUGUAUCCUUAUAUACUUAUUUGAUGUUGCUGAGUUGAAUCGAUAAGGGUGUGAUUUCUAGUUGCAUGUUCAAAGUUCCCAUUAGAAAUAGGGGCAGGUUUGGUUUGCAAUCCCCCUACUUCAGUUUACGGUUUUCAGCUAUCAUAAUGUAUCCUUUUGUUAUUUAUUUGUUUAUUGUUUUGGAAACAGGACCAGAAAGGACUCCCUGAGGAAUUGUUUGCUGUAAAGAUGUAUGCUUUAACAACUGAAGUGCCAAAGAAGGUUCUUAAGACAAGAUCCAAGGCGCAAGCCAACAGACCUGGCAUCAUCAAAUGAUUUGUUGCCUAUAACUUGUUGCAUUGUUGUAGGAGUACUCAAACUUUCUGGUGUAGGAUGUGAUUGUAUCUUCCUAUGUAAUUUAUUAGCGUAUUACCUCAAACUCGUUUUACUUUACAAGCUCCUUGUGGACAAAUUUUGCUCUUUUUCGUUUGAAGCUGUAUAUUUAUCGCUGGUAUACGUUUGAGUUGAAUGACCAUAUAUUUGUUCACUGUUGAUGGAAAGAAUCUUUACAAGUUGCAAUUAUAAAGUCAUUUGUUCAUGUUAUUUCAUAGCUUGUCUAAGGAAGAAGCAAAUCCUUAUGAAUUUUCCAUUAUAAGAAGAAAGAUGGAAGACCAAAGAGGGCAUGAAUAGAAAUUACAAGAAAUGAUUGUACUUUUAUUGAACUUAUUUGGGAUAAUCAAUCAUAAACAUAUAUAUAUAUAUUAUGAACUUUGAAGCUUUGUCAAUUAAUGAGCUUGUUUGAGGCAUGUUCUCGUAGCAGCACAAGUCUUUUCACAAAUUUUUCUUUUUUGGAACGUAUAUCUUUCUUAAUGAUUAGAGCAAUUGAAACUUCUGUUGAAAAGGGAAGAAAGGGGAUUCGAAACUUGAAAUUUUGAUCUUCUUAAAAUCCAAUAAGUAGAGUAAGGCUUAGUAUCUUUAAAGUGAUUUGCUUUCAAAAUGUCCAAAGUCCUUGAUGCUCUUCUUCUGUAAACAAAACGCCCUCACUUGCUAAAUUAAAGAGGGAAUCAAUUCAGCAUGGUACAAUAAUAAAAAUCAAUGCUGCUCCUACUUGGCCUAGAUGAGGCAUAUACCUUUUUACAGAUUUAGAACAAUUGAAACUUGAGUUUAAAGGUAAAAAAGGGAUUCCAAACUUAAAACUUUUAUCCUCUUAAAAAUCAAUAAGUAGAGUAAUAAGGUUGAUUAUCUAUAAGUGAUUUGAGGUUCUUGGUGUUUUUCUUCUUUUGUAAACAAAACUAAAGUGGGAAUCAAUUAAGUAGGGUACUAUUUAUAGAAAUGGAUACAUUUAUGCCACCAAUGAUACUUUGCUUCAGAGUUAUAUCUAUCAUGUCUUCUUUUUGUUUUUCUUAAUAUCUAUCAUUUUUACAUAGACAUUAAGAGAAUAAAUGUAUACUGGUAUAAUUAAGGUCCUUUGAAAAACAAAUAAAUGGGCAAGUCUGCCAUUGGAAGUAGGCCCAAAAGUCUGCAAAGUCUUGCACAUAAAAAAAUAGUGUCUACAGCCUUUCCCAUCAAGAGGCUGUCAUCUCUCUUUCCAUCUACCAUUCUUUGUUUGAGAUGGCUAUCAAAUCCAUCUUUCAUGAACACCACUUGCUCUAUGAUGACUCCAAUGAAUAUGAAUACGCACUUUGUGAUAUAUGCAGUCAGCAAAUUUGUGGUUUGGUCUAUUCUUGUGAAAGAUGCAAGUUUGCAUUACAUGUUUCUUGCGUUCAUCAACAGCUACCUCCUCAGAUAAGUGCACAUCCUUUCCAUUCCCAACACAAUCUUACUCUCGUAAGGUCAAAUUACAUAGAUUACAUAUGUGCUAAAUGUUUCAAUCUUUCUCGAGGCCAUAGAAACCAUUGCAAAGAUUGUGAUUUUAGCCUUGAGUAUGCAUGUGCUUUUUCAACUAAUGAUGUGAAAAAUAGACUCAAUGAUGAUGGUUUCAACAAGUCCUUCACCCUCUUUAACUAUAGGAAAGUGAGAAAGUAUGAGUAUAUAUGCAGUUGGUGUGAGAACCAUUUGUCUGGAAUGUCCUAUGGUUGUCUUGACAAUGAUGUUUAUAUCUGGUUCCACGAUUCCUGCCUAAUCAACAUGCCUAGCAUAAUCGUCAAACACCCAUCUCAUCCAUCACACCCUCUUCUAUUAUGCAAUAGUCACUUUGAUAAUAGGUUGUGCAGUGCUUGCAACCUACCAAUAUGGGAGUUCAGAAAAGCCUAUUGGUGUAGAAAAUGUGAAUUCCACCUUCAUCUUCAGUGUGCUAAACUACAACCCAGUCUCAAGGUUGAGUUACAUGAGCAUGAUCUUACUUUUUUCCAAAUAAAAGCUAAUACCGCUACCCACCUAUGCAGGAUAUGUGGUAUUAAUUUUGAUUUUCAUGCUAUAGGUGGUGAAAUUGCUUUUAAUCGUUGUGUCCAGUGUAAUUUCAAUUACCAUUUCAAAUGUCUUAGAAUACCAAAUUUUACUUCACACAAGUAUCAUAGGCAUGAGCUCAUGCUUAUGGAUUCCUAUAUAGAAGAUGAUUCUAAGAAAUAUUAUUGUGAUAUAUGUGAAGAGGAAAGAAAACCCAAGCAUUGGGUUUAUUGUUGCGAGAAAUGCAAAUUUGUUGCUCACAUCAAAUGUGCACUCAAUAAGGUAAGGAGACAUUUACUCUUUCUCUAAAGAAAUUUAAUAAAUGUUUUUUUCAUUAGAUAAACUAUUAAUUAUAGCUCACAUAUAAUGUGCCCUUUCGAAAAAUUUUGAUGCUAAUAUUGUCAUUUCCCCAGGUUGUAGUAUGAAACUUGACCAAAGUUCAAACUCUAGUUUGUUGGAUAGUGAAGCUUCAACAUUGAAGGUGAUGGAAUUGGGUCUUCUAUACUGAUAUUAUUGUGAUGUUUUCACUUGCCAAUAAAUUUUUUUGAAGUUUGCAUCACUUUAGGUCUUCUAUUAUUCCUUGGAUUUAUAUAUUAUAAAGAUUUUUUAGUAAUAAACACCAAUUACGUUUUAGAAUAAAAUUCAAUGAAAAAAAACUAAAAACUGUAAAUAAUAUAGGUAAGAAACCUCUACUUAUAUAGCCGUAUUCAAAAUUAAUUGGAGACGGCGUUAGUAAAACUAUUGAAUGUUGAAUAAAAUAAAAACAAAUACGUGCAUCAUAUUAAUUUAUGAACAUAUAUAUUUGAUUGUUUAAUUAUUGCUUCUACAUUUUAGUUUUAUCUUAAAUUUUCAUUUCUUUUACUUUUUAAACAAAAAUAAAAAGUAAAUUUUACUAUUAAUAUUGAUCUAGUUGUAAUUUUUCAUUUUCAUUCAUCCAUUUUGAAUUUGUUCCAAAUCUAUCUGUAUAUUAACAUGCGAGGAAAAUAUAAAUGGAAUUUGUCUGAUAAAUUCCACAUGUUAUGUGAAUUAUGUGAAUGUAGUCACAUGGACGUAAAUGUAGUGCUUAGAUGGCAAAUUCGUUCCAUAUUUAAUAGUGUAUUGAUGGAUAGAUGAAUUUAAAAUAAAUUCAAAAAGAUAUAGAUGGAAAAAAUUGAGUUUGUUUAUUCAUAAAUGAAAAUAAAAUAUUAUGACAAUGUUACAAACUAAGGAUGCCCUUUACUUAAAAAAUAGAGGAAGAUUAAUAACUUUAUUCACUCAACUUGGUUGUGUAGGUGCAUAUUGAACAUUUUGAUCAUCAACAUCCCUUGAGCUAUAAUGAGGCUAUUGAGCAGAAUGAAAGUCUUCUUUGCAAUGGUUGCUGUCAGGAAAUUUUUGAUCAACACUAUGCUUGUGAAGAUUGUAAAUACUACUUACAUGGAACGUGCACUACAUUGUCGUAUGAGGUGUCACACCCUCUUCAUUGCCAGCAUCCUCUCAAGCUCUUCACGGAUAAAGUUGAAUUUAUAUGUCAUGGAUGUAGGGACCAUUCUAAUGGGUUUGCUUACAUGUGCCUUCCAUGUGAUUUCCAACUUGAUGUGAAAUGUGCUACCACUCCAAUCCCACCUAAAAAUGAAGGGCAAAAGCAGACAGAGAUGGAGGAAGUUUCCAAGCUGUGCCCUUUCAAUCAAAAUCAUAAGCUAGACUUCUUCAACCGUAGACCCAAUCUCAAAGAUUUGGCUUUGGAAUGCGAUGCUUGCAAGCUACCAAUCUUGGGUCCAGGUUAUACUUGUGGUGAUUGUUUCGGUAUCAAAUUUCAUGAAUCUUGUCUUGCACUUAUGCGGGAGAUGCAACUCACCAUUCAUCCAUUACACACCCUUCAUCCACAAAUCGGCGAUUGGAUAAAUCGUUCUACCUGCGGAUUUAAAAUCAUUGAAAGUAUCAAUUAUAGUUAUUGGCAGUGUGAUUUCCAGCUUCAUCUUCAUUGUGCUAAUUCCCUGAAGCUGGCCUUAAAAAUUAAGUCUCACAUGCAUAAUCUUUAUUAGUUUGAACCAUAUUAUGAGAAAUCCUACCACUUUUGUAACAAAUGCAAAAGUUACAUUGGUGAGGAACCUUUCUAUUAUUGCGUGGAGUGCAAUAUGAAUUUGCACUUAAAAUGUGUUCCCAUACCAUGUUCAGUUAAAUCCAAAUGUCACAUGCA
rnacentral:lncRNA from 1 species